UUUUGACGACGAAGAGAGAGCCUUCAACAUCCUUACGACUCCAUUGGCUGAGAUCGAUGUUGAACUCGUAGAAGGUGACAUGAGCGGCCGUGAUGAGGAUCUCCUCAAUGAAUGGAUCGAUUCGCUGAAGAACUGUCAGGUUUAGGAGUUUUGUGCUCUGCUGGUCCAGAUUAGGCAUCAAUUUUCCGUUCUGCGACAUUUUUCAUAGUCCUUUUGGGCUCUGCCCCGAGCACAAGCCCCAUGGUUUUUCUGUGAGCUCUCUCUUUUGUAAAUAAAGUGUUUCAUGAGAUAGUCGAGAGAGAGUGAAAGAGUUGAACAGCUAAACAAGGUGAGGUGAACACUUUCGGACUGAGACUCGAGAUUGAUCUUUGCUUUAACGUCUUUCAAACAUUUGGGAAAUAGCAUUUAUUUCUUUCACAGGGAUUUGUCUGUGGUAUACCCCAAAAAAAGGGUAUUUAUCUAAAAAUACCUCCAUACUCAAAAAUUUCUCGUAUAUGCCUUUUCUAAUAUGCAGUUACGAAAUUACCCUAAUGAAAAACCUAAAUCAACUAAACUACCACAAUCAAUCGUGUAACAAAAUCCCUAAUUUUUUCUCAUGAGCAGCUUCUUCUUCAGCCCGUUCUUCUGGGUUUCUCCUCCUCCAUUUUACAAAUCCCUAUUAUUUUACAACAAUUCUUCUACACACUCUCGCCUCUCUGCAAAUCAGUAGCUGCAAUUCCCCCACUCUGCUUCAGCAUCUCCUCUUCCAGGUACUUUUAGAAAGUCAAAUUUUUUGUUUUAAUGUAAAAUAAAAUUUGAAAGUUUCAAAGCUCAAGUUAUUGAUUUUUCUGAAAAAAAUCAUUUGCAGCUGGUAUUGAAAUGUGUGCAAAGUCUUGUGCCAAAAGCUUAAUUUUCAUUUCUCGCAAAAGUCAGAUGACAAGACUUCACUUGAUUAGGCUUAUGCUUGUCUUUUACCUUGCAUUAAUUUUCAUCUCUUGUAAAAGUCAGAUAAUAAGGCUUCACUCGAUUAGACUAAUAAUUGAUUUAACAUAUUCAUUUUCUGAUUAAUUGUCAUCCAAUUUGCACGCACAUCGGAUAGAAUUCAUCCAAAAAAAUGGCUCGUAAGGUACGGGAGUCCAAAUACUUAUAAACCUACACACCAAGCCUUAGCUUAGCAAUAUGACACUCAAUUAUAGUUCAUAACCGAUAUGCAUGGUGGCCAUAUAUGGGGCUGAGUGACUUCACAGAUUUCAUACAAGGUGAAUAGCAGGUCUUCUUCUCAACUUACUUCGUCUGUGAAGAGAGAUUUCAUCAAAAAAUUGGUAAAACUCAUUCAAAAGACCGACUUAUGAUGUUAGAAAGACCAAAUACCCUAUAAAAUGCUUAAUAAAGUGGUCGCACAAUUAUUCUUGUGUACACAGUACCAAUGCAAUAGAAAAUAGGGUAAACAUUAAUGUCUCUAGCUACUCAGUCCAAUAGACAGUAUAAUCUAAAGAUGUCGUGUUGUUGUAUUGUUACACUGGUGAGACAAUUGCUGCAUGUUGCAGACAUGAUACCUCUAGUACUUCAAAAGAUAGCAUAUCACGAAACACAUCCAGACUGUAGUGAGGUUAUUUCGAAAAUUCCUUGGCCCAUUGUGUGAGUGCGUGACAUCCCGCAACAAAAAUCAGGGUAUGUACUAUAUAUAUAAUGUGUUUUGAACAUAAUAAUAAAAAUGAUGAUUUUUAACAAUUGAUUUAUAUGAAUAUUUUUAGUGGUGACUGUGGAGCAUUUUUGUUGCGGUACUUGGAGGUCCUAGCCCAUGGACUUGAUGUCAAUUCAUACUGCCAACAAGAUCAUGUUACACAAUUUCGACAAGCCUUGGCUGUAAAAUUAUUUGGGCAUAGGUCAUGGAAAAAAACUCCGUAGUGUCAUUUUUUGGAUUAUGAGAUGUAAUAGUUGUAAUGAGGAUGUUGUUGAUAUUUGAUGUCAUUAAAGACAAUUGACAGCAUUAAUAUAUUUUAUUUCUUUGUUAUUUAUAUUAAUGAUAGAUAAGAUAGUUUGCACAAUAUAUGCACAGGGAAUACACUGUAAGAGAAUACACGACUGCAGUCGGGUAUUUGCACAGAUACACGACUGCGGUCGGGUAUUUGGAAAUAAACAUAAUACGCUCUGUGUAAAAUACUCGACUGCAGUCGGGUAUUUGGAAAUAAACAUAAUACGCUCUGUGUAAAAUACUCGACUGCAGUCGGGUAUUUGCACAGAUACACGACUGCGGUCGGGUAUUUGGAAAUAAACAUAAUACGCUCUGUGUAAAAUACUCGACUGCAGUCGGGUAUUUGCACAGAUACACGACUGCGGUCGGGUAUUUGAAAAUAAACAUAAUAAGCUGUAACAAAAUACUCGACUGCGGUCGGGUAUUUGCAAAUAAACAUAAUAAGCUCUGUGACAAAAUACUCGACUGCAGUUGUGUAUUUGCACAAAUACACGACUGUAGUCGGGUAUUUACAAAUAAAAAUGACAAGCUCUCUGUGAAAAAAUACUCGACUGCAGUCGAGUAUUUGCACAGAUACGCGACUAUAGUUGAGUAUUUAGAAAUAAAUAUGACAAGCUCUCUGUGACAGUCGGGUAUUUACACAGAUACACGACUGUAGUCGAGUAUUUAGAAAUAAACAUGACCAGUUUUGUAACAGUCAAAAUACACUAUUGUACUGGGGUAUGUGCACAGAAUAAAAACUCUUUUCAAUCAUUCAUUAUAUUGAUGACACAAUCAAUAUAGAUUUUAAACAUAUCAAACUUCAAAUAAAUGAAACUAACUAUAGUCUGGUUGCCUAUCAAAUAACACAAAUCCAAUAGUUAUUGAAAUCGUAAAUAAGUCGUAAUACAAUAGAAGUUGUUUAACAUUCAUCAUAAAUUUUUGGCAUAUUCAACCCAAACACUCGGUCCAUAUUUUAUAAGCCUCUGGUCGCCUCCCUUCAAUACUUGUUCUUAGAAAGUCACACAAACAUGUUUAUUCAUCUGCGAAACAAAAAGGUAGAAAUUUAUCACUAAAUAUGAAAGAUAUUAAAAAAAUUAAAACAACAAAAAAUAACAAGUAUAUAAGGUUCAUAGUAGUCGUGUAACUUAUUAACAAUUAUAGUAUGUAAGUUUAUACGUACACGCUAGUAGUCGUGUAACUUAUUAACACACAUGACUAUAGUCUAGUAAUAGUAAAAGGAUAUAUAUAGUGAAAAAUAUAUAUUUUUUGAACCAAUAGAAUAAUAAGGUGUCAUAAUAAUUGAAUUUUUUUGCACAUUUUCACGACUACAGUCGUGUAAAUACAUACAUACACGACUGAUGUCGUGUAUGUCGGGUGCAGAAAAAAAAUUUGACAACAACUUCAGAUUUUAACGAAUGUAGUUAUAAAAUCCAUCAAAUAACAGUCAUAUGAUGCAAAUGUAAUAAAAAUAUGAGUUGCUUUAGUGUUUAUCACAAACCAAACAAAACCCUAAAAAUAAUAUAAUGUCAACAAAUUGAAUAGAUAGCCCAAAAUAAAAUAAAAAAAGUUUCAAAUACCUUAUUCAUGGGAUGAAUAAUACACCCAGCUGCAAACAAACUCAGUGCAUUAGCUGUUUGUGAGUGAUUUUGAGUGUGGUGUGAGUUUUUGUAUAGGUGAUAAAUACGUGAGAAGCAAAGAGUGUUGUGAGUUGUGUGUGUGUUUUAUAUUUUUCUUUAGGGAUAUUUUAGACAAUGUACCACAUAAAAAGGCAUACUUAAAUAAUUUUCAAACAUGAGGUAUAUUUAACUAAAUACACUACUUUUAAGGCAUAUUUAAUUAAAAACCCCUUUCUUUCAAUUUCUCUACUUUUUUUUGUUUUCCUUUAUGUCAUUUAGACCCCAAAAUUAGAUUUAUUAUAAUCAUAUUUUACCCAUUCACUAUUAACCCCUUUUAUUUUUAAAAUUGUCAAUAUUAAUGUAUUAGAAUAAUGUUAGAAAUCCCAAUUAUUAUCUCAAUGUUUAAAUCAUAACUAAUAUGAUAACUCAUCGGUUACUGCAACAUUAACUUAAUUAUUAAUGUUUAUCAUGAAAUGAUGAGAUUAUUAGUCAAGAAAGAAUUAGAAAAUAUCAAUGACUAAUACAAUGUGGCAAUUACAGUUGAAUAUUAAUACAAUAAUUAGGAUCCCAAAAGCUAGUGAAUGUAUUAUAAUAUAUGUGUGUUACACCACUUUAUGUCUCUCAAAUUCAAAUAAGUAAUUUCAUAAACCUGAUCUUUUAUUACAUUAAUUAGGAAUGCAUACAUGAACGAAAGAUGUGCAAUUUUUGUUCUAUUUUUCACUAUUAUUUACCAUUCAUCUGCUUACGUCACUUGAUUUUUUGCGAUUAAUAUGCUUAAAUGGAUCUCUUAGAUAUAAAUAAAAUAAACGAAAAGUCUUAAGAGAAAAAAAAAUGAGGACCGAAAUUAUUACACCUACGACAAAUUUGCCCGGAGAGCAAUAAACCAAACUUGCUUAGGAAAUACAAUGAUUAGUUAACAACUAAAAGAGCCUUCACCUUACAACUUAAAGCUUCUGUCAAGCAAACACCCAUUGAAAGCUGUUUAGGUCCGUUUUUAGAUCAUCGGAAAUUUGACAAAAUCAUAAAAACCCUCAUCUUAGAAAUUCCAAGCAUCAGGCAGUAGAUCAGGCAGUAGUCCGACUUUAUUGAUAUUGAGAGUAACACAAUAAAAGUUUCGUACAGAUUUUGCAAACGAAAAGCACAUAAUACACUUAACUAGGAGGAAAAAUUAAAGUGUACAUAUUACAAUCUGCUAACAAUAUACAAUAGUAUAUUGUAUAUACAAUAGUAUAUAUACAAAUUAACUAGGCACCAAUAAGAGUAUGAUACAACCAUUCUAAAUGAAAGAGAAUACAAUUGUUUUACAACUAUGUCACAUCAGGAGAUAUGUUAGCAGGAUUAAUCCAGAUACCUUCGAACCCAAUUAACGAACUCGAGUCAGAAACCAGGGGCCCCUAACUGAACCUUACAAUCUUGAAGGAAGAAGGAGACUUGUGGUCCAGAUAGGAGACUUACUAGAUCUCCUGCAAAAGAGAAUAUCUAUUGCUUUGAACCUCCAUUGAAAUUUCUUUUUCCCUUUUUCUUGUUUUGACUUGGAACUUUCCAGCAUCAUCUAUUUGAUCUUUUUUGAAGGUAAAAUAGCAAUCUAUAGGUUGCCAACAUGUUAUUCUGCCAAACCCCACCCCACCCCCCCGGGGGACAACAAAUCGACCUAGCACACACCUUUCUUCAUUGCCCACACCUACAGAACUAUAAUAAAAAGACUACGUUACUAUUGGGGUAGAGAAAAUAUACAGACUGUAUUAUUAUUACAUCGCAUUUUACUAAUUAACUAGUGCAAGACUUCUUUAGUGUCAAAUCAAGAACUAAUUAGAAAAGACAACUCAUGAUAAUACAGACCUUAAUAAGCAAUUGCUAACAACAUCCCAUAUACUCCUAUUUUAGCCUUCAUUAUCCUGGUAAAAACACAAAUAAGUCUUGCAAACGAACAUUAUAAGUAAAUUCAACAUUAAUUAAGAUUAGGUAUCUACUGCACCUAAUAGCAUGGUCAACCAUCUAGUUCCUGUAGCCUUCCAUGUACCUAUGUUAGUUACAUUUUACAUAUUAAGCCACGAAAACGAAGAAUCACAGCCUGGUAAAGAAAGACAUUAAUUAAUAGUUUUUGUUUAAAAAGUUCUCGUUUAGAUCUUUCCUAGUCAAUGAAUCAAUGUAAUUUAAAGAGAACUCUUCUAUUUCAAACAGUGUUAGAAGAUAUUUGCAAAGCCUAAAGAUAAUAUACAAGGACCAAGAUAUACACAGAUUGUUUCUUUAUGGGACUAAAGAGCUUUUUUAGAUGUUAAAACUGUUUCAAACUGUUUUUCUGGUUUGGUUUAACUAAGGAAGAGCUUGUGGAAGAUUAAAAAUGAUGUUUCCUGUUCUCUGUAGGAAGCUUUUAGGAGAUUUUUUGGGCUUUUUUGAAAGGUUGAAUUGUCAAAAAUACCUUCAUGUUAUUGUUUGCUAAAAGAUGUUAUGGACAACUAAACAACCAACAAUAUUUUGUUAAAAGCUCUACUAGUGUAGGAUCUACUUAAAGAAGCUAUACCAAACAGACUCUUAGACUGAAUAACUCGAUCUUAAGUUUGUAAAAUUGGGCUCAGAAUCUCCACUAACAACCCCGCUUCGGUGAGAAAGCCCAAGCCUGUUACUUUGUAUAACCUUAUUCUGUAUGUUUGAUUGCAGGAACUGGCCAAUCAUACCGACGAGGUGAGUGUGCAGCAUGACGUGCUUGACGGGAUGGUUACUUUCUAUGAUACAACUAAAGCUAGCCUCAACAUAUAUCAGGUGCCUGCUUGUUUUUACCUUAUAGAUACUAAUAUUGUUUAGACGUGUAAUCUCUCUCUCCAUUGAACGCUAGACGGCUCGUCUCAAGCCUUCUACGUACUUCAGAGUCCUUCAUUAGCUUUUUAUGUAUAAAGUUUUGAUCUUUUUCCUUCAUUUGCUUGAAGCUCAUUACUGCAGAUUUGUUUUACAGGUUGGUAGUGUAACAUUCGACUUGCUGUUGCUUCUAGUGUUGGGAUCGUAUUUAAUUGUGCUUUUCAGCUUUCUUGUCAUAACAACUUGGGUAUUACUCUUUCUCCAUAUCAAGCUUGAAGUUCUAAAUUUCAGUUUUAUCUUGUAUUUGAUUUUUUAUAAUUUCAUUGCAAACAGAUUAGAAUAGAAACUUCAAAAGUUCCAAGGUUUCCAACAGGGUCUUGAUGAUCUAAUCAGUUUGUUUCGAAGACCCCAUCCCGUAAGGUAAAAAAAGCUUGAUGCGGAAGCACGAUGCUGCACCUGUCCUGUGUAACUUUUUCAGGGAAGAUUUUCUCUGAUAACCGAGGUGGAAGUCUCCCAGGAGAAGUUGGCAAAUGAUAACUACGAAUGUGUUAUGGUUUAGCUCAGUGACACAAAGGACAUUUUUCAACAAUUGAUCCUAGGAAGAUGCCUAUAGCUUGUUGUGCCAAACAUAGAAAAUCAAAGAUGCGAAAAAAUUUUGUUGAGAUUCAUUUUAGUUAAAAUUGUUUUAUUGAGUGUUUAGCAAACGAGAAAAUGGAAGAAAGUUGAGAGAAUAAAACUGAAGCUAAGAGGAUUCUAGAACAUCUUUCAAUUUGUUCCGAAUACUCAAAAUGUGAAUACAUUGUUGUUUAUGUACACAGCUGAAGAUAACAGCUCAAUUGUAUAACUAACUACUACUUAGCAAUUUACUAACUGUAACUAAUCAAACUAAAUCUUCACGUGCACUGGUAAUCACAUAACCACUAGGUGCCAGCUGGACAGCCAAGUCAUCAACCUUUAACCGUGUGCCAUAGCUGCUGCAAUCCUCUGCUUUAUCUUCUGUUUUGCAUACUGUACAGCAAGCAUGAUGAGCUUCCUUAACAAUUUUUUUUGGGGCAGAGAAUAAUGCUUAUGUGAUUUCUGAACUUGGGGAUUAUGGCGGAUAGAGGCACUAAGGCAAGAGAAAUGUCUGAAUUAUCGAAACAAGAUGAAUUAUUUUUUGUUUAUCGCAGCAGACGAUCUAUGAGCGGAAUUUCUUACAACAAAAGAUGUGUGUCCACCGGCUUGUAUUUAGUCUCGUAAUGCAUUAUAUAUAUGCACGCACACACAGUUUGAGAAGAAUCAGACCAUUGAUUUUCUUUUGAGCCAAUCAACAGAAUGUACAUUUCUUCUAAGAUCUUGUAACCGAAACCGCAGUUUUUCAAGUUUGAUGCAUCUGGGAAAAUUGUCAGAUGGAAUAAAACCACCAUGCGCCAAGGUACCAAUGAUGUUUCUUCCAGCUUAUGAGCACUUCAAAUCAACUUAGGUCAUAUUUACACAAGGGCGCACAUGAUAUCAAUCUAAUGGCAAUUAUAUCAUCUAAAAUCCAAAACCAAGAGUCUCCCAUUUUCCCGUUCUCUACUCUGUUCAUAUUAUCAUAACUUCGAAGAUUGCAAGGCAGCCGCAGAUCCAGCGCAAUCUCUCAGAUCUUUGCUCCUUCCUCAUUGCAGUUAGUCAAAAGAUAAACAGAGGUGUCCCAUGUCAACAAGAAGGUAAUCAUAAAAGAACAACAGAAUUGUAAAACAUAUUUUGUUAUAGAUGAAAUGAUAUGAGCAUCCAUGUAUCUAUCCAGCAUUUAGGACACCGCAAUAUAUUCAUAUGAAACGUAAAACGAUUUAAUAUCAAUUUUCUUAAGGAGACUGAGCAGGUUGUCUCGCAAGUGGCGCAUUAGUAUUGUAACGUCUGUGGGGUCUUACAUUAUCCACAAAAAUAACUCGUCCAUCUAGUAAAUUAGAGAAAAAUGAUGCAAUUUCACCUUCCCACUCAUGUCUGCCAAGGCUUUUUGGGCUUCCUCUUCUGUACGGAAAGUCACAUACCCGUAACCUUUUGAUCUGUUCUUACCUUUAUCCAUUAUUAUGGUAGCUGCAAAAAGAAAAGAAUCGGAUAUUAGAAAACAGUGAAGAGGGAACAGGGGUUGAGACUUAAAAUAGAAAUAGACCAAACCCUCAGUGACUUGGCCAAAUUGUGAAAAAGCAUCAGCUAACAUUCCUUUAGUGGUUGAGAAAGAUACGCCUGCAAAGGAUGCCAGUUAAUUUUAUCAUAAUUAGAUGGUAAGAUUGCAAAUUCUGCAGCCAAAGGCAGUACGCAACUGAAUGAAGGAAAUCAAAUAUGAACAUGUUUUCAAUCUCAAAAUAUGAAGAGUAGCAGAAGUAACUUGUGAAACAGUUAUAAGUUCAAGGGAAUUAGAUGAUGGCAUGGUUGAAUUUUAUAAAUAUUUGAUAUUUUGGACCGAACAGGGCAAACAGAUGGAUCCAGAUAAUUAAGAAAAACAUCAAUUCCAUGCAACCAAAUUAGUGUGGACAAUGCAAUUGCCUUUCCCUAUGAGAGUAGAGGGCCUAAAUACAAGCAAAAACCUACUGAUGCAUCUACAGAAGCUCACAUUCACUAGCUGCAUGAUUAAAUCACUGGAUGGUCUCACUAUGCAGUAAAGAAUGAAAUAAUUAACGACCUGAUAAGCUGCAAGGUGAAGAAAAUAUUCACCAGAAAAGUUCAAAAUCAAAUCAACGUGGCUUUGAUUAUGGAAAAAAUGAAACAAUAUGUAGUGAAUGAAUCUUCUCGUAACUAUGCAAGACACAAUCACUUCCCAGGAUCUCAGAUAUAGAUUUACCAAGUUGCACAGAUUGAAGAACGAAUCCAGAAAGAAUCAAUUUAAGACAAGAAUUAAGAGAACUGAAAACAAUAGAAACAAACACAGACAACACAAGAAUCAAUUACGUGGUUCGGUUGCACCAAGGAGGCACAACCUACAUCCACGGGAGAUGCUUUCUGGAGAGCUUUUAUUGAAUAACAAUGGAGGAUCUUUUACGGGGCUUUUACUUAAGAUUACAGAGAACUCAUCUUUCACAUUCUCUGAUAUCUCUCUCUCUCUUAACACGGUUACACACCCGCUCAGCUCACAAACUGAACUACAAGAGCAACGAAUCAGCUAAAUCCAGAUUGCACAGCUUGUUGACACGUUGAGUAACAAACUUAACGAACUGAAUCAAGUUGCCUCGCACGGCUAUCACGUGCAUCACUUAAAGCUUUCCCUUAAACGACAAAGAUGAACUGCCGUUUCAAGCUUAAGAAACAAGUGAUUACACACGUGCUUCAGCCCGUGACUUUUAAGUGCUCUUAUCUUAUAUUGCCAAAACGCUGCCGUUUAGAGCUGAUGAGUUUGAUUCACCAGCAAGCCUCACACAAUAUCAGUUGAGCAACACUAUAAAAUUAUUCAAAGAAAUCUCUAGGUCAGUAUCCAAAUAUGUGGCUCCGUCAGAAGCAGAAAAGUUCAAAACCAAAGUAAGAGGUGAGCAGAAGCGGCCCAGUUUAGUUAUAUGCCAUGCAUGCGAUCAAAAUUGAAUGGUUAAAUUCAGUUGUUUCCAAUAAUUUUAUGUUGUAUCUUUUUUAAGAAUAAAGAAAACUUGCAUUAAAACUAAAAGUAGGGUAAUACCUGAUUUUCUAAAUAGAUUGCAAUGUAAUUUUGAAAAAUAAAACAAUAAUUUACGAAAUGGUUAUAACAUUAUUUUAAUUUUUUUUUCAAAAAGGAAAAACAACAAAAAUAAGAAAUAAAGAAUGAGGGCUACAAACUUUUUAUCUUAAACGGCCGUUAGAUUAUUUGUAAAUGAAAGCAACGGUCAGAUAUUGGUGGCUUAUGGAAACAGGUAAUCAUAAGGACUACGAGUUUUUUUUUUUUUUUUUUGUUCCAUUGAUAUAUAACAAUCGGGAUUCUAUUAAUAUUUACAAUUAGAAUUUUAUCUAACUAUCUUUGAUAAUUCUAAACUAGUACAACCCAAAUUCCUAUUCUCAUAUAAUAUGAAAGAGAGAUAUAUAUUCUUUUCCUCUAUUAACGAAGAGACAUUUUUACUUCUAUCCAAUUUAACUGGAACGAGAAUUAAAUCCUUUCAAUAGUCAGGACUCAGACCUCAUACACGCUAAUUUGAGAGUGUGAGGUGUGACAAUGGGCCAAGAGACCAUUGACAAGUACAAAAGAGUGAUUGCAAUUAAUUCAAACCGCUACACACGCUAAAUUAAGGGUCCAUUUUUGUUUAUUUCAUUGCAAAGUAGUUUGCACAAUUAAUUCAAACCGCUACACACACUAUUGCAUCUUUUGAAAAAGAAAAAUGGAAUAGUUUGAAUUGCCCAUGACAAGAAUGCUUGUGUUGUGAAAAGAAAUCCAAUGGUUUGUAAAUGGGUUGAAUUUUUCGCUUACUUCAAUGACUUGCUUAUGCCCAAUAUAUUACUUUGCACAGUAGUAUUUGGGAUCCUAACAAUCAACUCUUAAUUUGGUCCCAAUAUAUUACUUUAUGAAUGCUUGUGCUGUUUUUUUAAUAUAAAAUAAUUUAUUUAACUAAUCAUAGAAAUAAGAGAGAAAAGGGGGCAUUUGUUGACUCAAAGUCAAUUACAAAUAUUCCAUGCCUAACUUCCACGCACCCUAAAACGGUUUGAUUUGCUUUCAUGCGUUCAUGAAUUUCCAUGAAAGAGAGUGCCUCCCGUCUCUUUACGGACAGUGACUCCAAUUAUGUUAGCGUGACAAAUACAUAACGUUAUUACAUACAAGAAUAAGUUUUUGGAGCCGAGACUUGAGGGAGGUUCUAUCUAAUUCUAAAGAUUGUAACCAAAUCAUUAUCCCCAAUUUUUUUCAGUUAAAUAAAAUAAAAUUUAUGCUUAAAUAUAAAUAAUACUUUGGACAUUCUUGAUAUUUGUCCUUUUAAGAUAAACAGCAACCCAAUUAUCUAUUUGUUUGUCUUUUUUUUUUAGUAACAGUUUGUUAGCAUAAAUAUUUACCUGUGAAGUCGAGGAGGAGAAAAUAUUAGAAAAAUAAAAAGAAAAAAAAAUUAAGGGAGAUAGAAUCAGAUUUUCUUUUUUGAGCAAAGAACAUACGUAAAAAGAUAUUAAAUCUAUUAAGUCUAAUUGUCUAUAACAGUAAAUUGCAUAACGAAUAAUUUAUCAGCGUAAAAUAAAUUUUAUUAUGUUAUGAGUGUUCUGAUUAUUUUCUAGAGUACGAAUUGUCCCAUCGUAAAACAAACGACGAGAAAUAUAACCUUUGCGGUGGUCUUUUACCGUGUCGUUGUAAAAAGGUUAGUAGUUGAGUACUAUUAGUAAUUUAAUGCACCAAUAUUCUUUCUUUGUCUUAUGAAAUUUUUUCGUUAUCCAAGAGUUUUAAUUGAAAUACUUGGCUUCCAGUUAUUUUGUAAAGCUGUUGAAAACUACCACAGUAAUUUUUAUUUGAGGGCCAAUGUUUAGCGAUUUGGGGUCAAUUCAAAGUCAACUAACGUGUAAAACAUGAUUUCCUUUCAUGAACUUCCAAGAAAGAAAGGAGACCAUUCACCUUCUUCGUGACAACAAAUGAUGUUGAUAUGACAAAUACAAACGCUAUUACAGUAUAAGACCGAGACUUGAUAAAUUGUUAAAUUACAUGUCAUUUUCUUGUUGACUAAAUUGGAAGAAAAAAAUUAAAAUAAAAUAAAAUUGUAAUCAGGGUGAUGUGUGGAAUAUAUUGAAAUAAAUAAAUGGAGAAGAGAAAUUCGUUGAUCAAUAUUCAAGAACUCAUCCAAAGUGACCGUUAAAGUCUGGAGGUUCCGUAUGAUUAGCAUUUAUUUUUAAUUUUUUGGCUUAACAUCAUAUGUAGUCAUUGGUCGUGUGAUCUAGGACAGGUUUAGAAAUCUUUUUUUUUAACUUCCGUAUUCUUAUUAUUUAAUUAGUUAUAGGAUUUUUUAGUAUUUGAGUAGUGAUCGCAUGUCUCCUAAUCUAAAAAUAUGUUUCUACGAGUACAAAUAAAAACUAAGAUUUUAACAACCUUUUAUACUAAACCCUAAAAAUACAUGAAUUUAUCAAAAUAAAUAAAUUUGAAUUGGUAUGCCAUAAUAAAAAUUUUACUUGCCAAAACAAAUUAAAAAAAUGUGACGCUUAAAUCAAAUGUUGACAAAAAUAGACAAAAAUCCAACAAGAAUCUCAAAAAUAAGAAAGAUAUCUUCAAACAAAAAUAAAAGCGCUCAAGAGAAAUUUGGCGACGAUCUGCUAAUCCAUAUUAAAAAUGUCACUUUGACUCACACUCUUUUCCUCGAGAACUUCAGAAUGAUAUAUUAUGAGCCUAAGACAAAUAGCUAUUGCUCAAGUUAUGGCCUUAUGAAUACAUCUUACUCAAUGGCCAUCCUAAAUCAAUAGAGCAACUUGGACGUGUCGAACAUGUUUGCAUUCAAAUUUAGGUAAAAAUCUAUUCUUAUUGAAGGUAUAUAUAGGUGCCUGUGAAGUCUCAUACCGGAUAUAAUGUGAAAGCAAAUCAUGAAUUUAAUCAUUCAGCCAAUUAUUAGUGUGUACGUAUGGUAGGGAUGGCAAAAACCCCGACCGUAGGUAUAGUAUUACCCAGAUUUGGCCUAAUCAUUUUUUUUUAACACCUAGACUUUUUCAAUCAGAGCUUAAAAACCUAUAAUAUUAUAUAUAUUUUUAAUUUAUUUUAUAAUUUUAUAUUUUCAAAUUUUAUUUUAAUAAAAUUAGACUUGAAAAUAUGAAUUUUAAAUAUUUAAAACUUUAAAUAUAGAUAAUAAGUGGACCAAAUGAACAAAAUAAUAGAUAUUUUAUAAUAUUCUUCAUAAAAAUCCAAGUUUUGAGCUGGCCCAUAAGCUUGUGUGGUGAAGUCUGGGAACCCGCGUUGCCCAAGGUUCCGUCAGAAUCCAGGCUGUGCAGAUAUUUAUGACAUCCCAUAUGGACGGAGAGGAAAUAUUUUCAGUUGACUGAAUUAAAUAAAAAUAUAUUACAAUCAUAUUAUAUAUUAACAGAAAAAAUAAAAAGAAAUGAAGAAAAACGUAUGCAAGACUUAGAGAAGUCAAUUAAAAGCUGGGAGUAUCAUCAGUUCAAUUGGUUAUAAAUAGCGUAGAGCCAUCCUCUCGUUGUUGCAGAACUGAAGGAAAGAGAGACAUAAAGAGUGUGUGUAGGUGAUUAUAAUUAAGAAGAUAUAAUGUGUGGUUCAAAAAGAGUGUGGGUGAGUGAGUUGAUUUUCAUAUUAUUAGUAGUAAAAGGGUGGUGGAGUGAAGGAUGUUUGGAGCAAGAGAGGUCUGCUCUCCUCCAACUCAAACAUUUCUUCAAUGGUGAUCAACGUCUUCAAAACUGGGUAGACGCAGGAGAUGAUGAGAAUUAUUCAGAUUGUUGUCAGUGGGAAGGGGUUGAGUGUAAUAACACCACUGGCAGAGUGAUUGAAUUACAUCUAGGAUAUACUCGGAAUUGGGAAUCAGCAGAGUGGUAUAUGAAUGCCUCUCUCUUUACUUCCUUUCAACAAUUAGAGUCUCUUGAUCUAAGUUGGAACAAUAUAGCUGGUUGUGUUGAAAAUGAAGGUCCUUAAUUUACUCUAUUUUAGUUCUUCCUCGUAAUUUCUUACAUUUAUCUGAUCCCUUUGGGCUUUUGUUUAAUUUGUACAUGAUACAAUAACAUUUUUUUUAGUUUUUAUUUUUUAUUUUUUGGCAGGUCUAGAGAGGCUAUCAAGGUUGAACAACUUGAAGUUUCUUUAUUUAGACGAUAACCACUUCAACAACAGCAUCUUUUCAUCUCUAGGUGGUCUUUCAUCACUCAGACGCUUAUCAUUGGUUGAUAAUAGAUUGAAUGGAAGUAUUGAUAUUAAAGGUAAGCAAGCUUCAUCCCUUCUCCCGUGUCCCAUCUUUUGUGGAUCUUAUUUCAUUGACCGGCUGGAAGUAUUGAUAUAAGAUCUGGCUAAACUCUUGCUAGUUUAAGCUUCAAGGAUUUAAAUAUUAUAAAAAUAGGUUUAAGAAAUUAUCAAUAUAUGCAAUUUUCAAUGCUUCUCAUAAUCAGACACAAUUCAAUCUAAUUAUUUUGUAUGUCCUGUCUUCAAAAGUAAAGAAUUGUACACUAAAUGGAAAUCGACAUCGUAGCUUUUUAUUUUUUCUAAUGCUCUUUUUUCGUUAACAAGUUUAUAUCCUAAGAGGGAUUGGAUUAAAAAAAAAAAAAAGUUUUGAUGUUCAAGGUAGGCCAUAAUAACCUGCAUGUUAUUUGUCUGCCUGUAUCUAAAUUUGUGCACUGAAUUUAGUAUUUUGGUUAUUGUGAAGGGAUCAGAUAUUGGCUUCCAUAGACCAACUUGUAUUUAGUUAAUUAAUUAAUUAACUACAUUUAGUAUUUAACAAAUUAAAAUUUAGUGUUUAAUCUAUUUUAAUUUUUUUAAGAAAAAAGAAAAAGAUAUAGCAGUAGGUAAAGCUAAAAUAAAUUUUAAUUCCUUACAAAUUUAAAUUCAUGGUUGUCAGCUAAAUAUACUUGCUUAAAGCCACUUAGUCGAGCCCUUUGAGAGCUGCUUUAAAUUUUUCGGAUUAGCCAUAUUCUUUUCUUAUUAAUAAAAAUCUUUUCGUUGAGAUUUAACAUAAAAAAGGAGAAAAUAAGUUAUUUAAUUAACUCUGUUUUAAGUGUUGGAAUAAAUACAGGACUGGAUUCCUUGAGUAACUUGGAGGAGAUGGACAUGAGCGACAAUGCAAUCGAAAAUCUAGUGGUUCCUAAAGGUAUACAAAAUGUUCAAAUAUUAAUAAUUUGGAGGACAAUUUAAUUGAUUUGAUUAGGGAAUGCCCAAUGACACUUACCCAAAAUAAUUUAAUCCGAAAUUGUAUCUCAAAUAGAUUACAGAGGUUUGAGGAAGUUGAAUACCUUUUAUUUGGAAGCAAGGUGUUGCAAUCAAUAAAGAAAUUCGUUGGUAAAUAUUCAAGGACUCAUCCAAAGUGAUCAUUAAAGUCUAGAGGUUUGCUCUCCUCCAAUUCAAACAUUUCUUCAAUGAUGAUCAACGUCUUCAAAACUGGGUAGACGCGGGAGAUGAUGAGAAUUAUUCAGAUUGUUUUCAGUGGGAAGGGGUUGAGUGCAACAACACCACUGGCAGAGUGAUUAAAUUAUAUCUAGGAUAUGCUCGGAAUUGGGAAUCAGCAGAGUGGCAUAUGAAUGCUUCUCUGUUUACUCCCUUUCAACAAUUAGAGUCUCUUCAUCUAAUUGGGAACAAUAUAGCCGAUUGUGUUGAAAAUGAAGGUCCUUAAUUUACUCUAUUUUAAUUCUUCCUCAUAAUUUCUUACAUUAAUCUGAUCCCUUUUGGCUUUUGUUUAAUUUGUAGGUGAUACAAUAAAAUUAUUUUUUAUUUUUUGUCAGGUCUAGAGAGGUUAUCAAAGUUGAACAACUUGAAGUUUCUUCGUUUAGAAUCUAACUACUUCAACAACAACAUCUUCUCAUCUCUAGGCGGUCUUUCAUCACUCAGAAACUUAUCAUUGGCUAGUAAUAAAUUGAAUGGAAGUAUUGAUAUUAAAGGUAAGCAAGCUUCAUCCCUUCUCCCAUGUCCCAUCUUUGUGGAUCUUAUUUCAUCGACCAGCUGGAAGUAUUGAUACGAGAUCUAGCUAGACUCUUGCUAGUUUAGGCUUCAAGGCUUUGAAUAUUAUAAAAAUAGGAUUAAGAAAUCAUCAAUAUAUGCAAUUUUCAAUGCUUCUCAUAAUCAGACAGAAUUCAAUCUAAUUAUUUUGUAUGUCCUGUCUUCAAAGGUAAAGAAUUGUACACUAAAUGGAAAUCGACAUUGUAGCUUUUUAUUUUUUUCUAAUGCUCUUUCUUCGUUAACGAGUUUAUAUCCUACGAGGGAUUGGAUUAAAAAAAAAAAAAGUUUUGAUGUUCAAGGUAAGCCAAAAUAACAUGCAUCUUAUUUAUCUGCCAAUAUCUAAAUUUGUGCAUUGAAUUUAGUAUUUUGUUUAGUGUGAAGAGAUCAUUUAUUGGCUUCCAAAAACCAACUUGUAUUUACUUAAUUAAUUAAUUAAUUAACACCAUUUAGUAUUUAACAAAUUAAAAUUUCGUGUUUAAUUUGUUUAAUUUUUUAUUUUUUGAAACAAGAAUAAGGUAUAGAAGUAGGUAAAGUUGAAAUAAAUUUUUAUUCCUUACAAAUUUAAAUUCGCCAUUGUCAGCCAAAUAUACCUACUUAAAACCACUCAAUCAGGCCCUUGGCAUCUGUUUUUUAGGUUUUUCUAAUUAGCCGUAUACUUUUUUGCUUAUUAAUAAAAUUCUUUUGCACCAAGAUUUAAAAAUAAAGGAGGAGAAAAUAAGUUAUUUAAUUAACCUUGUUUUAAGUGUUGGCAUAAAUACAGGACUGGAUUCCUUGAGCAACUUGGAGGAGCUGGACAUGAGCUUCAAUGCAAUCGACAAUCUAGUUGUUCCUAAAGGUAUACAAAACGUUCAAAUAUUGAUAAUUUGGAGGGCGGUUUAAGAGAUUUGAUUAGGGAAUGCCCAAUGACUUACCCAAAAUAAUUUAAUCCGAAAUUAUAUCCCAAACAGAUUACAAAGGUUUAAGGAAGUUGAAUACCCUUCAUUUAGGGGGAAGGGAAAAUGCAAUGAUAGAUGGAAGACAGGUGUUGCACUCAAUAGGAUCACUGUCGUCCCUCAAAACACUUUACCUUUUGUAUACCAAUUUUAUGGGAACAGUAGUUAAUCAAGGUAAGUAAAUCUUUUAUCUCGAAAAUAAUUGAAUUAAUAUAUAUAGCUAAAAUUUAUUGUUUCUACUUCUUUCUAAAUAGAAUUGCACAAUUUCACCAACUUGGAAGAAUUGAUAUUGCUCGAGUCUUAUCUCCAUGUAAGCCAGCUUCUACAAAGUAUCGCAUCAUUCACUUCGUUAAAGUAUUUGUCAAUGCAACAUAGUGUACUCAAGGGUGCCCUGCAUGGUCAAGGUAAAUUACGGGUAUAUGAAGCGUUUGUGAUAUUAAUUCGAUGAUAAUUCUUUCUUUUCAAGUUAAGUUUUUCUUGUAAAAUAAUUUUUUUCUUUUUAAUUUUAUAUAUUUUCACUGUCCAAUAGUUCUAUCUUCUCUAAUUUGCUGGAUUCUUGAUUAAGGUUAAUGAAAUUUUAGUUCUGUUAUGUUAAGAAUAUUUCGAUCGCUUAAAAGAGUAAAGAAAAAUAAGUAAAUUAACCCAAAAAAAAAAGAAAAGAAUAGGACCGGAUUAUCCUUAUUCCCUUGCAUUAUGUGAUCAAUAUCAAAAUUAUAACCAUUUCUUGUUUAUUGCUUGUAGAUUUUCGUAAAUUCAAGAAUUUGGAACGUCUGGACAUGGGUGGGGCGCAGGUUGACGUCAACACCAAUUUUCUUCAAAUUGUCGGCGAAUCGAUGCCUUCUCUUAAGUUUUUAUCACUGACAUAUUCAAGUCUUAAUAAAAACACCAUUCUUGAUCAAGGUUAAUUAAUGAUUCUCCGUCUCCCUCUCUCGCAUCAUAACUAAAUUUAAUUGAAAAUAUCUAUAAUGUGAGCUAUUUAUAAACUUAAUGAAAGAUGAUAAGGAGCCAUAAUAAUGACAAAAACAACUGUAAAAUUUUACAGUUAUUUUGUUGCCAUUACGUCAGAUUCUACUGUUCAACUAUCAGUGAUCAAACUUAAUUUUUAAUAUGUACUUUAAAGAUUUUAUGCAAUUAUUUAUCUAUGUGUACUGAAGGAUGAAUUAUAUAUUUUUCAGGACUUUGUCAGUUAGUGCAUCUGUACGAGUUAGACAUCGGCCGUAACGAUUUGAGAGGUAGCUUGCCAUGGUGCUUGGCAAACAUGACAUCCCUUCAAGUGUUAGAUGCCUCUUCUAAUCAACUUACUGGAAACAUCUCCCCAGGCCUUUGUGAGUUGGUGCUUCUGAGAGAGUUAUACAUUGAUAACAAUGAUUUAAGAGGUAGCUUGCCUUUGUGCUUGGCAAAUUUGACUUCCCUUCGAGUAUUAGAUGUCUCUUACAAUCAACUUACUGAAAACAUCUCAUCUUCCCUCAUGCAUCUAAUAUCUAUAGAAAAGCUCAUACUUUCAAAUAAUCACUUCUUCCAAAUCCCUAUUUCACUUGAACCACUUUUCAAUCUCUCAAAACUCAAGACUUUCGAUGGUGAAAUAUGCACAGAAACUGAGUCACAUUAUAAUUCUUUGACCCCAAAAUUCCAACUGACUUCUAUCUCACUGUCUGGUUACAUAGAUGGUGGCACAUUUCCUAAAUUCUUGUACCAUCAGCAUGACUUGAAGAAUGCUGAUCUCUCACACCUUAACUUGAGUGGAAAAUUUCCAAAUUGGUUGGUAGAAAACAAUACGAACUUAGAGACGCUUCUUCUUGCCAACAACUCUCUUUUUGGGUCAUUUCGGAUGCCAAUUCAUUCCCACCAGAAAUUGACAAUAGUGGAUGUCUCCAACAAUUUCUUUCAAGGCCAUAUUCCGGUGGAAAUCGGAACAUAUCUGCCAGGUUUAAUGGAUUUAAACUUAUCUAGAAAUGCUUUCAACAGUAGCAUUCCCUCUUCAUUUGCUGAUAUGAAAAUGUUGAAAAGGUUGGACAUAUCCUACAAUCAGUUGACUGGUGAAAUCCCUGAGCGCAUGGCCACGGGUUGCUUCUCUUUGGAAAUUCUUGCAUUGUCAAACAACAGUUUGCAAGGUCAUAUAUUCUCUAAAAAAUUUAACUUGACAAAUUUAAUGAGGUUGCAGUUGGAUGGUAAUAAUUUCACUGGAGAGAUCCCAGAAAGCUUAUCUAAGUGCCGUUUGUUAGGAGGACUAUAUCUGAGUGAUAAUCAUCUCUUUGGUAAGAUUCCAAGAUGGUUGGGUAAUUUUUCAGCUUUAGAAGAUAUUAUAAUGCCCAAUAACAAUCUUGAAGGACCAAUACCAAUCGAGUUUUGUCAGCUUGAUUCUCUGACGAUUUUAGACCUUUCAAACAAUGCUAUUUUCGGAACCUUACCAUCUUGUUUUAGUCCAUCAUUUAUCGAACAAGUUCAUUUGUCAAAAAACAAGAUAGAAGGACGGCUGGAAAGUAUAAUCCAUGACAGCCCUUAUUUGGUGACAUUAGAUCUUAGUUAUAACCGCUUCCACGGAAGUAUUCCAAAUUGGAUUGACAUACUUUUUCAGUUAAGCUACCUUCUUCUAGGUAAUAAUUAUAUUGAAGGAGAAAUACCAGUUGAAUUAUGCCAGUUGAAGGAAGUGCAGUUGAUUGAUCUUUCUCAUAAUAAUCUAUCUGGUCAUAUUCCUCCUUGCUUGGUUAACACUGCACUCAGUGAGGCAGUAGCUCCAACUUCUAGUUCGUGUGGUCGAGCGUCUGGCUAUGCACGUCCAUGUGAGAAAAAUACAAGUGGACCUCCGAUGGGAAAGGAAGAAACUGUACAGUUCACAACAAAGAAGAUGUCCUACUAUUAUCAAGGAAGAAUUUUGACGAGUAUGUCUGGGAUUGAUCUUUCUUGUAACAAACUGAUAGGUGAAAUUCCUACUCAAAUUGGAUAUCUUACUAGGAUUCAUGCACUAAAUCUAUCUCAUAACAAUUUGACGGGCACAAUCCCGACAACAUUUUCAAACCUGAAGCAAAUUGAAAGCUUGGACCUCUCCUACAACCUAUUGCAUGGGAAAAUCCCUCCUCAACUAGUUGCGCUAAAUACAUUGGCAGUCUUCAGAGUAGCAUACAAUAACUUAUCAGGUAAAAUUCCAGAUAGAAUUGCACAAUUUUCAACUUUUGAGGAAGAUAACUAUGAGGGGAAUCCUUUUCUUUGUGGAUUGCCACUGUCUAAAAGUUGCAAUGAUAGUGGAUUAUCAGCAGUGACACCGGAAGCUUACAUUGAAGAUGAAGAAGGUGAUUGUUUCAUUGACACGAGCAGUUUCCUGAUCACUUUUACAGUAUCUUAUGGAAUUGUUAUAAUAGGAAUUAUUGGAGUUUUGUACAUAAACCCCUAUUGGCGACGAAGAUGGUUUUACCUUGUUGAAGUAUGUAUGAUCUCUUGCUACUAUUUUGUAGUAGAUAAUCUUAUUCCUAGAAGAUUCUAUCGUGGAUGGAUGUAAUUUCCUUACAUUACAACUUAUAUGUAAUUUUUAAAGAAUUUUCUUUUGCAUGCAUGGAAUAGCAACUCAAUAAAAGUAUUUGAUGCAAAUUGUCCAAGAACAACUUAGUAAUUUCAUUGCAACUAUUCGGUUGUAUAUAUACAGUUAAUGAAAUUUUUAACCAUUCGCAGAAUACCCUUAGGAAUUUCUUUAGAUGGCGGCCAAAAAGAGAUUCGGGGCUCUACACGGUCUGGAUGAAGAUUAACUUAAUGCCCUCUGGAUUAUGUGUAAGUUCUCUUUUAAAUUUAAGGGUUGAGAUUUCAGGUCCGGAUGAAAGUUGAAUGCAGGUGACGAGACUUCACUGGGACAAACUUAAAAUAAAAAAUUAUAGUCCACAAUAAGUGUAAUACCCUACCCCUGGUUUUUGACCAUGCUGACCACCCAUAUAUAUAUAUAUAUAUAUAUAUAUAGAGAGAGAGAGAGAAGUAAAGAGAGAAGAGACGAGAGAGAGAGUGAAAGGAGUUGACCCGAGUUUGACCCGAAUCCGACCCGGAACCCGCGACUUUGACCCAGCGAUUUCUCCCAUUUCCGGCCACCGUUCCGGGCAAGCUUGGUACCGAUUCGAAGCUUGAGAGACGAGCUACGUGUCCAUGCCAUCCUUGCCGCCGGAAAACGAUCGGAAAGCCACCGAUCGAAGCUUUGAAGUUCCGCGGAAUCACCGGCUCGAUUCGCCGGUUUCCGGUGAAGCCAUCACUUGGGUUUGGUCCUUACCUUGCCCUCUGCCAUUUCCGACUAACCACUGACGCCGGGGACAUCGUUUUAUCGGUGAUCAGCCGUUAGAGGAUUCACGACUUCGGGAGCUCGAUUCGGAGCCAUCGCCGCGCGUGGGAGGUCACCACCGCCAUCAUUGGACUCAGCGUGGCUUGAACUUUCAGUUCUGAGCUUCCCGUCGCCGUCGGAUGAAUUCCGGUGACCGUUGACCGGCAAGGGUAUUUCGGUGAUUUCACAGUCUAAGGGCAAUUUUGUAAUUUCAGAUUUUGUGGGUAUUUUCGUAAUUGCAUUGAUUGAGGAUAAAGUUGGUAAUUUAUGAUUUUGAGGUUAAUUUGGUAAUUUUGAUAUGGGGGUAUUUUGGUAAUAUUGAAUUCAAGGGUAUUUUGGUAAAUUUUGUAAUUUGAGGGUAAAUAUGUAAUUUGUGGAAUCAAUGGAUAAUUGGUAAUUUUAAGUGAGGGCAGUGAGGUAAUUUGAGAUUACGAUGGUAACUCGGUAAUUUAAGUCGUAAAGGAUAUUUUGGUAAUUUUACGUUCCGAGGGUAAUUUCGUAAUUUCUGACAUUGUGGUUAUUUUUGUGAUCUGAAUUGAGGACUAUUUAGUAAUUGAAGAUUAUGAGGAUAAGUUGGUAAAAUAAUGAUGUUGGGGGCAUUUUGGUAAUUUUGGCAUGUAGGGGUAUUUCGGUAAUUUUGUGCAUGCGGGAAUAGUUUAUUGUUAAUAGAUAUUCGUUUCGAGAUUUAUUAUAUAAAAUUGGUUGUAUUUCAAUUUACGGAAAAUGAUUAUGGCGUUUCCUUGAUUAGGAGGAUUCGCGAACGAGAAUCAACCCGCGGACGUUGUUGGCACCAAAUCUGGAUAUUGUCACUCUGAGUGGAAUAUACGAAACUUAUUUUUAGAGUUAAUUAUGAUAGUAAAGCAUGUUUGCGGAAUAAGUAUUUUAAAUGUUCUGAUUUAAUGAUUUCUUGAAAUGGAUUUAAUGUGAUUUCCUCGAAAUGGAUUUAAUGUGAUUUCCUCGAAAUAGAUUUUAUUCAUGUGUUGAUAUUUUAUUAAAGUGUUUGGUCAAUGAUUUUGCGUAUCCAUUUUGAAUAACGCAUGAUAUUAUUUGAAAAAUAAGAAAAGUGGAUUCAAAUGUGGUAUGAUUUAAAAUAUGGUUAAGAGGAUUGUUUUUGAAAUCAUUAGACAGUACCCUUCCCCUCCAGAUACAGUGAUAUAAAUGAUAUGAGAUGAGAGGCCUUUGGGGUUCGUCUGAACACACAUAGAGGCUUUGGGCCGUGUGUUUGAGCGUUUUUGCCUUUAUAUGCAUGCAGUACAGAUAUUGAGUUACAGUGAUACAGAUAUGGGCUACAGACAUAUAUUGAGUACAGUGAUACGGAUAUGGGAUACAGAUCAGUUAUUGAGAUUCAGAGAUACAGUGAUACAGAUAUGAGAUACAGACAGUUGAGAUACAGAUGAGAUACAGGCCUUUGGGGCCCGUCUGAGUACACACAGAGGCUUUGGGCCGUGUGCUUGGGCGCUAUUGUCCUUUGGGGACUAGAUUAUGCAUGCACAGAUAUGAUGAGAUAUGAAAUAGUAUUUCCCUAUUUAUCCGUGUAGCUCUGGGGUGUGACGUUACCCAGAUAGUACGUCAUUGCCCGUCCGUUGAGGUCCGUAUAUGACGAGAUUAUUUCCCUGGGUACUUGUUUGAUGAUAGUUUUGGUAUUUAGUAUUUGAUAUGAUAAGUAUGGGUAAUUUUUAAAAACCUCCCCUGAGGUUUGAGGCUGUUGCAAGUAGAUGGUGAAAAUCAUUUUAUUUGUAAAAGACCCCCUACCGUCAGUUAAAAUUUUUAUUGACUAACUGUUGACUUUAAAAAGACAAUAUUACCGCCAAUAAUAGUUUACGUCAGUUAAAAUUUCCUUAAAAUCUUAAAAAAAUAAAAUUACAAACUUAAAAAAAUUAUAUUUUUAUAUCAAAUAAUUAAGAUUUGUAAUUUUAUUACAAACUUUAAAAAAUUACAUUUUUAUAUCAAAUAAUUAAGAUUUGUAAUUUUAUUACAAACUUAAAAAAAAUUAUUUUAAGAUUUGUAAUUUUAUUUUUUUAAGAUUUUAAGGAAAUAUCAAUAACUUAAUCAUGGUGAAAAUAAUUGUUUUAAUUACUUAUGAAAUUGUAAAUAUUUGGAAUUGUAAAUAUUGGGGGUAAUAUUGUCUUUUCAAAGUCAACAGUUAGUCAAUGGAAAUUUUAACUAACGGUAGGGGGCCUUUUACAAAUAAAAUAAUUUUCACCAUCUACUUGCAACAGCCUCAAACCUCAGGGGAGGUUUUUAAAAAUUAUCCUGAUAAGUAUUAUGUUUCCAUCGAUUUUAUGCAGAUUUAUGUAAUAUAGUAUUUCAGUGACUGAUUUGAAUUAAAUAAGUUUAUAUAAGUUCUUAUGAUAUUCUGAUGAAAUUGAUUUGAGAAAUUGAUUUGAGAAAGAUUAAAUCAUUUUAAAAGAAUUGAUUUUUUAAAAUUACUAUCCACUCACUGAGUUCACUGAGUUUUAUACUCAUUCCGCUUUUAUUAUAUUUUCUUCCCCCCACAGGAGAUUUGCAGGUACAUCAGUCGACCUAGUAUCGAAUGUUAGUUUUGAAAUUGUUGCCACGUGAUGGUGUUAGGAUGUCAUAGAGUUAAUACUGUGAUAUUUAGGAUAUUGCGAAUUGUAUUUAUUUAUUAUAUUUUGUAAUUAAGGAUAACCAUUGUAUUUUUUAAUAUUAGAAUGACUUGGGUGGUACUUGGUAUGUUGACUUGAGAAGUUGGUUAUGGAAGAUGGUUGGAUAUUGAAUUAUUUUAGGAGUAUUGUUUUGUAAUUUGCAGGUUUGAGAAUGUUAUAUUUAUAAGGGAGAUUCUGCCGAAAUUUUUAUAGAAUUCGUACUUAAUAUCGAUUCAAUUUUACGAGUUUAGAUGGACUUGCCCUGGGGGUGCGGGGCGGGUCGUUUCAGUAAGAGCAAUGGGUAGUUUAACUUAUGGAAGAUAACUAGAACUUGGAAUAACUAUCCGAUCUGCACCUCUUUAUUUGUUAUAUGCUAGUGGGGAUUUUAGGUAGCGUUUAUCGCCAGGGGAGUUACAGUAAUCGAUUCAUAUAUCCUCCUUUACUUCCGAGGGUAACCCAGCUCUAUACAAGAACAACAAGAGGGUUCAAUUAAGAACUCUCUCUCUUCCUCACAACAAAUACACCUAACAGACCAAACCGUGCGCAAAAUAAUUCUAUUCCGUUCUAUUCAUGUCAUGAAUCCCACAAGUCAAAAACUAUCGCAACUCAUUUUGUUUAAUCAGCAUAACUAAAUUGUGGGUAUAAAUGAGCAAACUUUUGAAGCCUGUAACUUAUAAUAAACGCAAACCCAAAAAUGACAUUUAAAUCCUCAUCAUCCCUAACAAAAAGAAACAGGAAUAAUUAUAUACCAAUAAUUUUUCCACAACAAAUACUGAUUUGAGUUGAAACACUAUACAAACUGGGUCCUAUACACUUGCAGAAAGCUACACAGUAGAGAAAAUCUAGCAGCUACAUAAUGGUAUCACUUUCAGCUGGUCACGAAUGGUGUGCAUUCAGCAGUGCUCGACAGACCAUGUCUACGAAUUGAUUGUCCUAUUACAUAUAAAAGCUGGUUAGAUAUACAAGGAAAAAAUUAAUAAUUGAAAAUGCAUCACAAAAAUUAAGAGUAUCGCAUUAGUGUUUGCACUCUAAGCAUGGCAAAGUGGUGGGGGGUUCAUUAUUUUGAAGACUGGGAUAAGUGAAAAAUAGUUCAAUCCACUGAUGAGCAUAAAUUUAUUUACAUGUCAAUUUAGAUAUCAUCAAAAAGUAAACAGUAAUUCACAGUCACUUAAAAGAGUGGACAAAAUGCAUACCAUGAAUGCAUUUUUGUACGUAAGAAAUCCAAAGAAUAUUUCUGAUAAUACAAAUAUGCUGGCUUUAAAUCUGCUGUCAAUAAGCAAUUAAGAAGAUUAUACCAGCUGCAUGGUAAAGUUCCCCUACUCUUAAUAACAGUAAACAUGAACAUGUCAGAUGCAAUUCUAGCAUCGACCAUUUGCAUAACCAGAAAUCCUAACCUGAACAAGCACCAGAAGUGCCUCCCGGACUUUCUCCUUGCUGAUAAAUGGUCCACAGUUUGAAGUAAGAGCAGGAGUAAGAGAUGGUGGAGGGAUUGGUGGUGGAAAAGGUUGAAGCACUGGGGCACCACAUGGGCGUUGUAGACUCAAGGGAGUAUUAAGUGGCGGAGCUGUUGGUGUAGAUGAAGAGACAGGCUGCAUCAUCCGCGCAGAGGAGGAUGGAGGAGGAACAAAGAAUAAGGAAGGCUUUACAAGAUUAGGUGUCCAGUUGCCAGAUUCAGAGGUGUCAAUGGGUGGCAUUAAAGGGGUAGGUGCUGAUAGAGGCGGGGAUGGUAUUUGCAAGGUUGGCACGAUAGGAUAAGCAACACUGGCGGGAUGAGAAGGUACAGAAAUAGUUGUAUCAGACUGCUAAGGUUGUGCAGAGAUUGCUGCAUUAGAAGUACUCCCCACAAUCAUAGCUGUCUGUAAUGAUAAGGACAGAUGUCAGAUACAAGGACUUCAUAGAAGUUGAACCUCACACUAAAAAGAAGUGAUAACAUAUGAAAAUAGUAUAUGACUUGCAGCAUUUUUGUGGUAAUGUUGCAUACUUAUGUAGAAACAUAUUAUUUCAAAGAAAACAUACACUGAAGAAGUUCACAAAAGCAGGAUCCUCAGGAACAUCAGCAGCAUUUGAGGGAGUUGACUCUAGAGGACCAUCCAUAACUGCCGUAGUUGGAACAGCUUCCAGUUCCUCAAACUCACUGCAGUUUAACAAUAAAAGGAACUCGAUGACCAAUUUAAGUAACAAUUAGAUGAUAUAAGAGGUUAGGGAAAAUGAUGAGCGGACCCUUAUGGAAGGUGAUUUCACCUUAGCUAAACACGAAAAUAAAAAGAAAUCAAGGCCGACUCCUCGAGUGCAAUGCAAAAAAUAUUUUCCCUCUUCUCUAACUCCUCUUAUUCAAAAUUGCUCAUCAUUGUGCUGUUCUUUGAGUUUUCACUAGAGUAGAGAACGCUAUUCUCCUGUUAAGUGCAGAGGAAAGAGAAGGGCAAGGGCCUGGUAUGACGCUAUUCUAUAGAAAGUGAGAAGGUGAAGGGUUAAAAUAUUUUGCAAUUUGGAGGUGGUGUUUGUUAGUGUUCGUACUUCUGAGUUUAUUACCUCUUUAGGAUCCAUAGAAAUUGCCUCUUGUUUAGCAUGCACUGUGCCUAAGAGUAAGGCGAGCUUGCAGAGUAUCUAUUAUUUAUUUACUUGGAUAUUCAAACAGGACUACCAGCAACCAAACCUGUCCCAGCACACUAAUCCCCAAACAAAACACUCCUUCAAGUGCAAGGAAAGAGUAACGUGGGCAUAUUUAUGGUUCAAGCACUACAAUAACUAAGAAUGUGAUGACUGUCCACAAACACUAUAUCAGAACCUUUUGAACUACAUCACAUGCUCGAAGAUUGUUUUUUCAGUCAUACAUAAAUUAGCCAUAAAAUUAAGGCCAUUAUACAACUAAAAAGAAAGAAAAAUUGUUUGCUACUACAUAUCAAAACUGGUAAUAGAAAUGUAAUAUGGCAGACUUCUUACUUAAACAGAUGAGAGGCUACAAAAAAAAAAUUGUGCAAAUAAAAUAUAUGAUAAAGAGCAUAAUACUUUCUUGGGGGCUAAAAAUAAUAUACAACAUGUAAAAUAUAAAUUGAGCUAUCAUUACCUUUUAGACGUGGCAACUUUCGACUUUUGAGGCACCUUGGAAUAUGCAUUCAGAAUCCUGCAUUUGGAAGCCAAAUAAAUAAUGUUAAAAACAAUUUUACAAUAGAAACAUUAAAAAUUGAUAAAUUACAGUUGCAAUUUAUGUAUGCGAAAAGAUAGCAUCACAUCCAGGGUCCUCCCCUAAACAUGCUUGUAACGAGAAUUAGUCUGCCUCCACUGUUAGCAACUGCUAACAAUAUACAAUAGUAAAAAUCACUCUCAUGAACUCACCAAUACCAGACACCAAUAAGAGUAUGAUACAACUAUUCUAAAUGGAAGAGAAAACCACUGUUUUAUAACUAUGUCGCAUCCAAAGAUAUGUUAGGAGGAUUAAUCCAAAUACCUUCGAACCCAAUUAACAAACUUGAGGCAAAAACCAGGGGCCCCAACUGAACCUUACAAUCUUGAAGGAAGGAGGCUUCUGGCAUUUUUCAGAUAGGUGAGUUACUAGAUCUCCUGCGAAGAGAAUAUCUUUUGCUUUGAACCUCCAUUGAAAUUUCUUUUUCCCUUUUUCUUGUUUUGACUUGGAACUUUCCAGCAUCAUCUAUUUGACCUUUUUUAAAGCUAAAAUAGCAAUCUAUGGGUUGUCAACAUCUUAUCUCCCCUUCCCCCCCCCCCCCCAAAAAAAAAAAAUCAAUGGGUUGUCAAUAAAUAGUGCCUACUCAACUUAUGUUUUCCAAGGGAUGACAAUGUGCAAAUCGACCUAGUAGCCACACUUUUCCCCCACUUUCAACCACCGUUAGGCAACUUUUCUAACCUUUCUUCAUUGCCCACAUCUACAGAACUAUCAUAUAAAGACUACAUUAUUAUUGGGGUAGAGGAAAAAAUACAGACUAUAUUAUUAUAUCUCAUUUUACUAAUUGGAAAAGACACUCAUGAUAAUACAGACCUUAAAAAGCAAUAGCUAGUAACACCCCAUGUACUCCUAUUUUAGCCUUCACUAUCCUAGUAAAAACACAAUUAAGUCUUGCAAAAGAACAUUCACAAGUAAAUUCAACAUUAAAUGAGAUUAGGUAUCCACUGCACCUUCAAUCGAUGACUGGGUGAAUAGCAUGGUCAACCAUCUAGUUCCUGCAGCCCUCCUUGUACCUAUGUUAGUUACAUUUUACAUAUUACGCCACGAAAAUGAAGGAUCACAGCCUGGUAAAGAAAGCCAUUAAUUAAUAGCUUUUGUUUAAAAAGUUCUCAUUUAGAUCUUUCCUAUUCAAUUAAUCAAUGUAAUCCAAAGAGAACUCUUCCAUUUCAAGCAGUGUUAGAAGAUAAUUGCAAAGCCUAAAGAUAAUAUACAAGGACCAAGAUAUCAAUAAAGUCAAAUAGUGAAUGUCAAAUAUAAAAAAUAAAUAAAAUAGUUGAACGUGAUCAUUUACUAUCAAGUUCUGUAAAACUGAAAAUACCAUUAUCCCUGUAGAGAUUCUCAAAAAACUCUUUAGCAAAUCAUUAAAUAGCAAAAAAAAGAACGAAAGUUCAAAAAAAAAAAUGUACAACAUCCAUAUCAGGAGAUAUUUUUCUUCUCAAUAUCAAUAUUUUCUAGCCGUGAAGCAAUUGAAAAGCUUAACACCAAGUGAAUUAUUAAGAAUUCAUCAUUUAAAUUCCCAAAUCGCAAAAUGUUGGUGCAACUAGGAAAGUGCAAAUGCAGUCACUUAACUAACACAAUAAGCACCAAUAGUGAGAAGCCCACUUUGUAUCAAAUUUGAAACAGAUAGAUAGAGGUCAAAAAAUUUAUAAAGACACUCAAUUGAAAGCCUUUCAAGCAGCUUUUGCAUGCAACAAGAGCAAAUCAAAGGCGAUGAGAAUGUAUUCAAAGACUAAUUUACAAUCAUCUAUAGACAUAAAUAUCUUGGAUACCUACUCUCUAUACCUUACUGUCCCACUGAAAAUCAUCAAAUCCCUCCAAACAAAAAUGACAAAAUGUAUAAGAAUUGUGUGGUCAAACUUCAAUAACUUAGCAGCCACAGCAAAAACUUAUGUAGACAUGCAAGCCACUCAAAAUAGUCAUAUUUUUUGCUUUCCAAACACAAGCCACUGUGUAAUGAAUGCUCAUAAAUUGCUACUACCAUGUUUGUUAAAACACGUGAAAACCACCAUAACUAACUCAAUGUAACUGAUGAUCACAUCACAUUCAUGGAAUCACAUAUCUGACAGUAUUAAUUAGUGCAAACUGCAUGCUUCUUGAAACUCCUUAUUUAUCACAUGGGUGCCAUUCCAAUCAACCAAUGAUUCUGAUCUAGUCAGCAAAUUCAACCCACGAGCGAGUAAUACCUCCUAUUGCUUCUUUACAUUUCUCAACAAAAUUCCACAUUCUACCCAUACUUCUGAACUUGAUGCUCCCAUAGACUAAUACAAUAUAAAGAUUUCUUCCCACACCACCCCAACCCCCACCCCUAAAAAACCAAUUUAAAUUCUCAUUGGAUGUACAACUUAUAGUCCAUACCAAAUUGAAAAAUUUGCAAAUAUAGAACCUCAAAGAAUCUGCUUGCGUUCCAUUUUCUACAGCAAGAAAAUUGACCUUUACCACAUGCAAGUCAACAUAUAAAACAAUCAUGUCUUUGUGAGAUGCACAUUUUCAGAUGAAUCUGGAGAGCAAUGAAACCAUAAAAACCUAAUAUGAGAACACCGAGGGCUCCAGAUAUCAUCUAUAGAAUCUUUGGUGCACCCUUGCAUGAUGAAAAAAAUUGAAGGCUUCGUCACCAACUCCCCAGGUUGUUUUGUUCUCCUAUCUCCUAAAUGCACAGGAAAGGCAACCCGUUCUUUUUUCCAAUCUUAAGGGGCACAGAAUGACUCCGGUAUAAAAUAGUCAGUUUCUAUACAAAAAUAACUCCUUUGCACUUGGCAUUGCACAUCUCAAAAUAAAAAGCAUGCAAGGAGGAGAAUAUAAUAGCAUUAAACAAGUUUUAUUAACCAAACUUCAAAGAUGCCAGACAAGGCAAAAAAGGAAUCUGUACAAGCCAGAUUCCAAGAAUAAUAAUUCCAAUAUACAAUUCAAGAAAACAAUAACUAAAACCAUGUUCAUGAGGCCUCAGUAGAAGCAACAUGUAAUAACCAUACUCUAUUAUUUGAAACACAUUUCCAAGUUUGGUUAAGAUUCUAAACUAUUCUCUAUCUGUCAAUUAUUAACAUGUAAAACAUAAUAAUAUACACUUAAACUACUACAGUAGUAAAACCAGUAAAACAACAAUACCUGCUAAAAAGAUUUGCUACCUCUUCACAUUCACGAGCAUUGUAGAACCAAAUCCCAUUUACUUCUUGGGAUGCAUUUCGAUAUAACAAAUACGGAACCUGAACUUCAAACUCAAAAUCUCCCAAAAGAUUUUCCACUAAAUUAUCUGCACAUAUACAAGAUAUUGAAGCUUAUCAGUGCAAAAACAUAUAUAAAAAGACAUGAAGGUUAGAAGACAUAACUAAAACUUAGCAACAACUGAUAAGCACAACAAGACAUGAAAUAUAACACUAGUUGUAAACAAGAUAGACACAUGGUAUCUAAAAAAUUGUACCAACCCCCUCUCCUGAUUGUCAUAAAACGGCCAAUAUUUAACCCUAGACAACAAAAUUGCAAAUACUCUAGCCUCUAUAUUAUUGGCAUAUAAAUAUUUUAGGUUAGGUACAUUAUAUUCUUCGUUCUAAAACCUCAAUUAUUAGCUAGUACUGUGAUAAAAUGAUUCAUCACUGAAAUUAAAACUAGGUCACGUACAAAUAAUCAAAACUGAAAUAGAAGCAACGAUAAACCAACCUGUAUUACGUCGAUUCAUCACAACAAACUGAAAUCGAGGCUGUGUGUUCCUGAAAAUUGAAAAAAAUAAUAAUUUCACCAACUUCAUGUGUAAUACAAUCUCCAAAACACCGAAUAUCAAAUGAAAAAAUGGAAAGCAUAAGAGAGAAAAGAAUCUAAUUUUAUUGACCUUUUGACGACGAACAGAGAUCCUUCAACAUCCUUACGACUCCAUUGGCUGAGAUCGAUGUUGAACUCGUAGAAGGUGACAUAAGCGGCCGUGAUGAGGAUCUCCUCAAUGAAUGGAUCGAUUCGCUGAAGAACUGUCAGGUUUAGGAGUUUUGUGCUCUGCUGGUCCAGAUUAGGCAUCAAUUUUCCGUUCUGCGACAUUUUUCGUAGUCCUUUCGGGCUCUGCCCCGAGCACAAGCCCCAUGGUUUUUCUGUGAGCUCUCUCUUUUGUAAAUAAAGUGUUUGAUGAGAUAGCCGAGAGAGAGUGAAAGAGUUGAACACCCAAACAAGGUGAGGUGAACAGUUUCGGAUUGAGACUCGAGAUUGAUCUUGCUUUAACGUCUUUCAAAUAUUUGGGAAAUAGCAUUUAUUUCUUUCAAUUUCUCUACUUUUUUUUUCCUUUAUGUCAUUUAGACCCAAAAAUUAGAUUUAUUAUAAAUUUAUAAUCAUAUUUUACCCAUUCACUAGUAACCCCUUUUAUUUUUGAAAUUUGUCAAUAUUAAUGUGUUAGAAUAAUGUUAGAAAUCCCAAUUAUUAUCUCAAUGUUUCAAUCAUAACUAAUGUGAUAACUCAUCGGUAACUGCAACAUUAACUUAAUUAUUAAUAUUUAUCAUGAAAUGAUGAGAUUAUUAUUCAAGAAAAAAUUAGUAAACAUCAAUGACUAAUAUAAUGUGACAAUUACAGCUGAAUAUUAGUACAAUAAUUAGGAUUCCUAAAGUUAGUGAUGUAUUAUAAUAUAUGUGUUAUACCACUUUAUGUCUCUCAAAUUCAAUUGAGUAAUUUCAUAUACCUGAGUACCUUUUAUUACAUUAAUUAAUUGGGUCCGCCUAACUUACGCUCAACGUAAGUUACGCUCAGCCCGUCCAAUUUCAUAUAGUCCCCCUAUACUCUAUACUAUUUAUAUUUUAUUCAUAAAUAUUAUAAAUUUUUUGAAAUGUAAAAUUUCAUUUAACCCCCUCUACUCAAUUUUAUUUUAUUAAAACCAUAGAGUAUGAAUUUGCCCCCAUAAUUUUAAAUUCUCAAAAUAACCCCCAUUUAAUUAAAAAUAUAAUUAUUUUUAAAUGAAUUAUAAUUAUAAUUAUAAUUUUAUUAUAAUCAUAAAUAUUUUUUUAAUAGAUUAUUGUUAUUAAAAUAAAAUUUUGUUUAGCCCCUCUACUCAAUUUUAUUUUAUUAAAACCAUAGAGUAUAAAUUCGCCCCCAUAAUUUUAAAUUCUCAAAAUAACCUCCAUUUAAUUAAAAAUAUAAUUAUUUUUAAAUGAAUUAUAAUUAUAAUUAUAAUUUUAUUAUAAUCAUAAAUAUUUUUUAAUAGAUUAUUGUUAUUAUUAAUAACGAUAAUAAAAAAUAUUAUAAUUAAUUAAUUAAUCUAUUAACAAUAAUUAAUAAUAUUUUUAUUAAAUUGUUAGUAAUAAUAAUAAUAAUUAAUGAUAAUCAACAUAUUUAUGAUUAUAAUAAAAUGGAAUAAACACUGAGUCUAUAUUUAUAUAGGAGACUCUUUUAUAUUUCUAUACAUUUUAAUUUCAAGUACUUUUAGGAUUUUUUUGUUACCUUCAUAAAUAAUGAUUUUGUAGGCAUCUCAUUAUUAAACGGUCAUUUUUAAGUGCUUCUAGUGUUGGGAUCGUAUUUAAUUGUGCUUUUCAGCUUUCUUGUCAUAACAACUAGGGUAUUACUCUUUCUCCAUAUCAAGCUUGAAGUUCUAAAUUUCAGUUUUAUCUUUUAUUUGAUGUUUUAUAAGUUCUAAAUUUCAGCUUUCUCUCAUAACAACUACGAACGUGUUAUGGUUUAGCUCAGUGACACAAAGGACAGUUUUCAACAAUUGAUCCUAGGAAGAUGCCCAUAGCUUGUUGUGCCAAAAAUAGAAAAUCUAAGAUGCGAAAAAAUUUUGUUGAGAUUCAUUUUUCAUCCUGAUGUUACAGCUGGCCUUUUUUUUUUUUUUUUUUGGCAGAGAAUAAUGCUUAUGUGAUUUCUGAACUUGGUUAUUGUUGAAAUGAGCUGAAAAUGAGCUGGAAAUGUGUUUGGUUAAUGAGAAAGAGAGCGAGAAAAUGAAAGAAAUCUAUUUCACUUUUUAUUUAUCAGAAUGAUUACAUUCACAAUGAAUCUAAGCUGAUAUUUAUACUUAAAUGAAUACACACGAGAUUCUUCUUGCUAGAUACUUCUAGAAACUCUACACGCACACUCACACUGAGCUAGUGGUUACUAAAACCGUUACAACAAUAUUGCCAGCUCAGCAUAACCAACUUAUAACUAACACACUCAGCUGCAGGGGAAACCAUCAAGCAUACGGUGCAUCCUCUGUAAUCAAGCUUCUUUAAGCAUGCUCUGCAGAUCAUACGUCUGAAUUAUCGAAACAAGAUGAAUUAUUUUUUGUUUAUUUUAGCAGGCGAUCUAUGAUCGGAAUUUCUUGCAACAAAAGAUGUGUGUCCACCAGCUUGUAUUCAAUUCGCGAACACAGUUUGAGAAGAAUCAGACCAUUAAUUUUCUUUUGAGCCAAUCAACAGAAUGUACAUUUCUUCUAAGAACCUGUAACCGAAACCGCAGUUUUUCAGGUUUGCUCCUUCCUCAUAGCAGUUAAUCAAACGAUAAACAGAGAUAUCCCAUGUCAACAAGAAGGUAAUCAUAAAAGAACAACAGAAUUGUUGCAACAUAUUCAUAUGAAAUGUAAAACAAUUUUGAGAAAAAAUAUUGGGAAGAUAUUUUUUUUUCAUAGAAGUUGCAAUCUUUACGUUAUUUACUAGUUGCAAUCAUACGCCUGCAAAGGAUGCCAGUUAAUUUUAUCACAAUUAGAUGGUAAGAUUGCAAAUUCUGCAGCCAAAGGUAGUACGGAGCUGAAUGAAGGAAAUCAAAUAUGAACAUGUUUUCAAUCUCAAAAUAUUAAGAGUAGCAUAAGUAACUUGUGAAACAGUCAUAAGUUCAAGGGAAUUAGAUGAUGGCAUGGUUGAAUUUAUAAAUAUUUGAUAUUUUGGACCGAACAGGGCAAACAGAUGGAUCCAGAUAAUUAAGAAAAACAUCAAUUCCAUGCAACCAAAUUAGUGUGUACAAUGCAAUUGCCUUUCCCUAUGAGAGUAGAGGGCCUAAGUACGCUGCCGUUUAGAGCUGAUGAGUUUGAUUCACCAGCAAGCCUCACACAAUAUCACUUGAGCAACACUAUAAAAUCAUUCAAAGAAAUCUCUAGGUCAGUAUCCAAAUAUGUGGCUCCGUCAGUUCCACCACAACCCAAAAUAUCAGAUCCCCCCAUUUGGAUUCGACUGAUCAAUUUGAGCAUAUAAAAUCGGGUUUUAAACUUCCCUAAUUAAAAUUUAUAUUCCACAGAAUCGUUUCCUUUAACAUGAUGCAUUACAUAAUAUUUUGUUUGCAAAAUAAAGAAGAAAGAUGACAUAAUAGAAACACUCACAGAGAGAGAAUACCUUUGACGAAAAGCUUAGAAGUGAAUCCUCUGUAAAAUACGAGUUGAGCUGCUGAAUUUUUCGAGUUUGAAUGAGAGACUGCGCCGUUUCUGAAAAUGUUUUUUUCUCAGUAGCGCCGCCAUUUUUGUAAUAGAGGGUAAAGAAAUAAGUAACAGAGUAAGAGGUGAGCAGAAACGGCCCAAUUUAGUUAUAUGCCAUGCAUGCGAUCAAAAUUGAAUGGUUAAAUGGCAGCCACUAUGUUACAUCUUGUGUAAGUAACAAACCGCCUACAUGGAUCGUUGGAUUUGGGAAUAUGAAAUCCAAUGGAUAAUAUUGAAUUUAACGAAAAAUAGAUUACAGGUUGCAUUAGUCCAAGUUUAUUUCAAACAAACCAGCUGACGAAAUAGCCGCUAAUCAAAUUUAAAAGGGAAAAAAAUUCAAAUUAUAGGUUAUAGAUCUUAUUUCCAUCUUAAAUCUAUUUGUCUUUCAUGGUGUCUCAAUGUGUAUACUAAUUUAUAAUUUGGAUUUAUAUUAGAGCUAAUGCUUCCCUAAAUAACUAAGAAAAUUUUCUUUUCAUUGAUUUAAUAUUUAUUUCCAAUAUCUUGUAUAUGUAGGAUUUGAAAAGAGGAAAAAUAGUAGGGAUGAUAAUGAGAGAAGAUAAAGGUGUCGAUUCUCAAAUCUAAUAUUAAUGCUAUACUUAUAUUCCUAUACUAAAUAAAUUAUCCAAGGUUCGUGGUUAACAAUACGUUGCAAAAUUUUAAUUUCUAUUUAAAGCUCUGUCUAAUAUGACUUUUCAUAAAGCUUAGAGAAAAGUAGAGCUUUUACCAAAAAAAAAUAAUUAUUAGAAUUGUCAAUGAUAAAUUUUAAAAAGUACUUUAAUAAAUAAGCUUUUAAAGUUAUAUAUAUUAUGAAAGAAAUGAAAUAAGAUUAUAUAAUAAAUUAAGAGUAUCUUAGAUAAUUGAACUUAAAAAAAAAAACUCGCUAAGAGGUUUAAAAUUUGAGUUUUAAUAGUGGAUACAAAAUAGUUUAUUUAAUUCUCAAAAGCUCUACUCAAAAUAGUUUAUUUAAUUCUCAAAAAAUAUUUUUUUCAUUGAGUAAAUAAUACUAAACAUGCACUAAAGUGUUAGGACCAGAAGUUGUACAAAAAAUGAUGGCUACAACUUAAAUUAUGAAUGGAGUAAUCGGAGAAUAUUGAAACCCGUUUAAUUUGGAUCGUGCAUUGAGGGACGAAAGGAUAAAAAAUUUAAUUUUGAAAUUGCUGUUGGGUACGGUACAAUGACUUACCGUUGACAGCUUUUGCAACCGGAUUACAAUCGGUUAGUUCAAUAAUUUUAUAUCCCCAUUUAACCGCCAUGUGCUGCUGUUACAUGGGUCAAUUAGUCAUGUCAUUACUGUUACUUACAGAUGCCGCAACAUAACCGGACCCUGGUUAAAUUCUGUUGUUUCCAAUAAUUUUAUGCUGUAUCUUCUUUAAUAAUAAAGAAAACUUGCAUUAAAAUUAAAAUUAGGGUAAUACCUGAUUUUAUAAAUAGAUUGCAAUGUAAUUUUGAAAAAUAAAACAAUAAUUUACAAAAUGUUUAUAACAUAAUUUUAAUUUUUUUCAAAAAGGAAAAACAACAAAAGUAAGAAAUAGAGAAUUAGGGCUACAAACUUUGUAUCUUAAACGGCCGUUAGAUUAUUUGUAAAUGAAAGCAACGGUCAGAUAUUGGUGGAUUAUGGAAACAUGUAAUCAUAAGGACUACGAGUUUUUUUUGUUACAUUGAUAUAUUACAAUCAAAAUUCUAUUGGUAUUUACAAUCAGAAUUUUAUUUGACUAUCUUUGAUAAUUCUAAACUAGUACAACCCAAAUUCUUAUUCUCAUAUAAUAUCAAAGAGAGAUAUAUAUUCUUCUCCUCUAUUAAUAAAGAGACAUUUUUACUUCCUUUUAAUAGUUAGGACUCAGAACUCAUACACGCUAGUUUGAGAGUGUGGGGUGUGACAAUGGGCCAAGAGACCAUUGACAAAUACAAAAGAGUGGUAGAAAUUAAUUCAAACCGCUACACACGCUAUUGCAACCAAAUUGAGGGCACAUUUUUGUUUAUUUAGUUGAAAAGUAGUCUGUAAAAUUAACUCAAACCGCUACAUACGCUAUUGCAACCCAAUUGAGGGCCCAUUUUGUUUAUUUUGUUGAAAAGUAGUUUGCGCAAUUAAUUCAAACCGCUACACACGCUAUUGCAUCUUUUGAAAAAGAAAAAUGGAAUAAUUUUUCAAAAUUAAUUUAGAGAAUAAGAUUUACUAAUAAUGAUGUUAGAAAUCUUGAUAUUUGAAUCUUAAUAUUAUCUAUCACUCAUUUAUUAAAUAAUAGAUUUCAUAGUUUGUAAAAUUACUUAACCACUUGAUAAAUGUUAUAUUUGUUGGGACUAGAUUGGGACUUAAAUAUUGGAAUAUCUAGUAUUGCAUAAAAAAAAACUUAACAAUUUAUCUUCACACGACUAAUUGUUUUUACAUCACAACUAACCUUAAUUAUUUUAAAAGUUAUAGUAUUAUUAAAUUGCCCUAACUAGUUAUCAAAAGGUGAAACCAUGUUUUAAAAAGAAAUUACUAAGAAACAUUUGUUUAAACGAAGGUUAAGGUUAUGAUCAAUUAAUUAAGAAGAAACUUACUAUCAAAGGUUAAGAUUAUGAACAAUUUAAGGAAGUUAUUGAGUAGAGAAAGGGACAGAAUGGUUGUCUGAUUUGUCGGUGACAAGAAUGCUUGUGUUGUGAAAAGAAAGCCGAUGGUUUGUAAAUUUGUUGAAUUUUUCGCUCGCUUCAAUGACUUGCUUAUGCCCAAUAUAUUACUUUGCACAGUAGUAUUUGGGAUCCUAACAAUCAACUCUUAAUUUGGUCCCAAUUAGUAUAGUAAUCAUCUAUUGAGCGGUAAAAUAUUAAUUCUAAUAGUCAUGAAAUCCAAUAUAUAAUAGAUUAAUAACACACAUAAAUUAAAACAUAACUGUCUGAAAUCAUAACAUUACUCUACUCUUCAGUGAAGUUCUCUUAAACUGAUUAUGUGAAAGCAAUAUUCGCUUUUUGAUUAUAUCCAUAACUUUGAAUUGAUAAAGUUGUAUUCAACAGCUCUUGAAAAGACUAAGCAGGUCUUCUUUGCAUUUGAUCACUGGCAUUUCAGUUAAGUUUGUCACUUACUUAAAAUUUUCUUGCUUUCAAUUUCCACUGUUAUUUUUUUUUAAUAAAAUAAUUUAUUUAAACUAGUCAUAGAAAUAAGAGAGAAAAGGGGUCAUUUCUUGACUCAAAGUCAAUUAUAAUUAUCAAAACUUGAGGGGACAUCGCAUGCCUAAAUUCCACGCACCCUAAAACGGUUUGAUUUGCUUUCACGCGUUCAUGAAUUUCCAUGAAAGAGCCUGCCUUUCGUCUCUUUCGGGACAAUGACUACAAUUAUGGAAAAAAUUAUAAUUCUCGUUAGAUUGUAACCAAAUUAUUAUCCCUAAUUUUUUUAAGUUAAAUAAAAUAAAAUUCAUGCCUAAGUAUUUAGUAAUUAGAGAGAGAUAGAGAGGAUUGAGGGCCAAUGUUUCACGAUUUGGGGUCAAUUCAAAGUCAACUAACGUGUAAAACACGUGUAUGCAUAGAAAACGCUUAGAUUAUUUGUGUUCCAAGUGCAAGAAAUUAAGAAAAGAAAAAUUGAUUUCCUUUCAUGAACUUCCAAGAAAGAAAGAAGACCCUUCACCUUCUUCGUUACAACAAAUGAAUGAAUGAUGUUGAUAUGACAAAUACAAGCGCUAUUACAGGGAACAGCAUAAGACUGAGACUUGAUAAAGUGUUUGUUAAAUUACAUGUUAUUUUCUUUUAACUUGAAUGAUGUUGAAAAUAAAAUAAAAUAAAAUUGUAAUCAGGGUGAUGUGUGGAAUAUAGUGAAAUAAAUAAAUAGAGAAGAGAAAUUUGUUGAUCAAUAUUAAAGACACAUCCAAAGUGAUCGUCAAAGUCUAGAGGUUCGGUAUGAUUAGCAUUUAUUUUAUUUUUUUUGGCUUAGCAUCAUAUAUAGUCACCUGUCGUGUGAUCUAGGACAGGUUUAGAAAUCCUUUUAUUUUAACUUCUGUAUUCUUAUUAUUUAAUUAGUUAUAGGGUUUUUAAGUAUUUGAGUAUUGAUCACAUGUCUCCUAAUCUAAAAAUAUGUUUUUACGAGUACAAAUAACAAACUAGGAUUUUAACAGCCUUUUAUACUAAACCCUAAAAAUACAUGAAUUUAUCAAAAUAAGUAAAUUAAUUUAAAUUGGUAUGGCAUAGUAGAAGUUUUACCUGCCGAAACAAAUUAAAAAAAUAUUACACUUAAAUCAAAUAUUGACAAAAAUAGAUAACAAUCUAAUGAGAAUCUUAACUAGACAUUUUUACUUCUAUCCAAUUUAACUGGAAUGAGAAUUAAGUCCUGUCAAUAGUUAGGACUCAUAACUCAUACACACUAAUUUGAGAGUGUGGGGUGUGACAAUGGGUCAAAAGACCAUUGACAAGUAUAAAAGAGUGGUCGUAAUUAAUUCAAACCGCUACACACGCUAUAUUGAGGGCCCACUUUUGUUUAUUUCGUUGAAAAGUAGUUUUCACAAUUAAUUCAAACUGCUACACAUGCUAUUGCGUUUUUUUUUUUUUUUUUUUGAAGGGAAGCAAUUUCAUUAAACCAAAACGAAUUACAGACUAUGUAAUAACCACAAAGGUGGAACGAAAUUCCACUCUUGGGGACCUGACAUAGAACCUACUGCCCUUGCAACAGAGUGAGCAGCCAGGUUCGCAGACCGACGUACAAACGAGAAUUGUACUUCUCUUAAAGACUUAGCUAAAGCUCGACAUUCAUCAACUAUUAAACCAAAACCGUUAGGCCCUGAAAACUCCUCAACUAGAGCUUGAAAUACUUGUAAACAAUCAGUUUCAACAAUGACACAAGGAAAUUGUAAGCCUUUAAGCCAACUAAGGGCCUCCCGAAUACCAAGAGCUUCAGCCUCCCUUGCUCCAAAAUUCCCAGCCAUUCCAGCACAUCUUGCUGUUAAGAAAACACCCUCUGAAUUUCGAAGCACACACCCAAAACCAAUAUUUCCCUGAGAUGAAAAGAUAGCAGCGUCAACAUUACAUUUGACCCAACCAAACUUUGGCCUCUCCCAACAUAUUGCCCCAUGGACCAGCUUAUGGACAUCAGUAUCAGCAUAGAAUUGUUGCUUCUUUGCUGCUUGCCACUGAUAGAGAAGUUGCCCAGCAGAAUUGAGCACUUGAUUCACUGAAUCAGUUUUGUUAUUCCAUACUUUGUCAUUCCGAUUAAUCCAAACUCUCCAGCAGAUCAUCAUGGCAACAUGGCAUUCUUCUUUGCUGCAGCGUGUAAAGAUGUGAUCAAGCCACUCUAAGAAAGAAUAACAAUGGCCAACAAAACCCACAGAGGAAGAAAUCCAGCAAGCCUUAGCAACAUUACACUCAACCAACGAAUGGAGAAUAGUUUCAUCAGAAGCAAGACACACAGCACAAGUAGGGGGGAUAUUCACCCUCUUAGAAAUUAAAUUAACUGCAGUAGGCAGCACAUUAGUUGCCGCUCGCCAAACAAAAUUCUUAACCUUAUUCGGCACAUUCAAGUUCCAUAGUUUUCGCCACACAUCUGUGAAAGGGUCAGGGGUAAGAGAAUGUAAAACCUUAUAACAGCUACGGACUGAAUAGCAUCCGCGAGAAUCAGCCAACCAAUACCACACAUCAUCAUUUCGGCGGGAACUAAGGGGAAUUUGAAGAAUCAACUCCUUGUCUCUUGCGUUGAAAAGAUCCGAAACAAGAUCAUAAUCCCAAGCUCGUUGAUUAGGCACCAGUAAACUACUAACAGGAGCUGCAGCAAGCUCGGCAUGGAGAUUAGAAGGAACAAAUCCAUUAUUAGUAUCAGGAAGCCACGGAUCCUUACCAAUGAAGAUCGAAUUUCCACAGCCAACUUGCAGUCUACUCCCUUGAAUUACCACAUCCUUUGCAGCCAAAAUAGAGCGCCACACAUAGCUAGGAUUAUGCCCCGCAGAAGCUUGAAGAACAGAGGUGCGCGGAUGGUAGCGAGCUUUAAUUAUCUUGGCCACAAGAGAUUCCGGACAAGUUAACAGCUUCCACAUUUGCUUUCCUAACAUCGCUAUAUUGAAUAAAUGAAGUUGUUUAAAACCAAGGCCACCAUAUCCUUUUGGUUUGCACAGAUUUUCCCAUUUGGACCAGUUUAAAAAAGAAAAAUGGAAUAGUUUUCCAAAAUUAAUUCAGAGAAGAAGAUUUACUAAUAAUGAUGUUAGAAAUCUUAAUAUUAUGUAUCACUCAUUUAUUAAAUAAUAGAUUUUAUAGUUUGUAAAUUUACUUAACCACUUGAUAAAUGUUAUAUUUGUUUGAAUUGAUCCAAUAGCUCUUGAAAAGCACAUAAUAAUCAUUAUAAAUUUAAUCAAAGACUAAGCAGGUCUUCUUUGCAUUUGAUCACUGGCAUUUCAGUUAAGUUUGUCAUUUAUUUAAAUUUUUCUUGCUUUCAAUUUCCACUGUUGUUUUUUUUAAUAAAAUAAUUUAUUUAAACUAGUCAUAGAAAUAAGAGAGAAAGGGCGCCAUUUCUUGACUCAAAGUCAAUUAUAAUUAUCAAAACUUGAGCGGACAUUGCAUGCCUAAAUUCCACGCACCCUAAAACGGUUUGAUUUGCCUUCACGCGUUCAUGAUUUUCCAUGAAAGAGAGUGCCUCUCGUCUCUUUCCGGACAGUGACUGCAAUUAUGUUAACGUGACGAAUACAAAACGUUAUUACAUACAAGAAUAAGUUUUUGGAGCCGAUACUUGAGGGAGGUUCUAUCUAAUUCUAAAGAUUGUAACCAAAUCAUUAUCCCUAAUUUUUUUAAGUUAAAUAAAAUAAAAUUCAUGCUUAAGUAUAAAUAAUUUUUUUAAGUUAAAUAUAAAAUAAAAUUCAUGAACUUCCUAGAAAGAAAGAAGACCCUUCACCUUCUUCGCGACAACAAAUGAUGUUGACAUGACAAAUACAAGCUCUAUUACAGGGAACAGCAUGAGACCGAGACUUGAUAAAUAUUAAAUAUAUAAAAUAAGUGGAGCAAACGAACAGAAUAAUAGAUAUUUUAUAAUAUUCUUCAUAAAAAUCCAUGUUUUGAGCCUGCCUAUAAGCUUAUCUAGUGAAGUCUGGGUAUCCGCGUUGCCCAAGGUUCCGUUUGAAUCCAGGCCGUGUAGAUGUUUAAGACAUCGCAUAUGGACGGAGUGGAAAUAUUUUCAGUUGACUGAAUUAAAUAAAAAUAUAUUACAAUCAUAUUAUAUAUUAGCAGCAAAAAUAAAAAGAAAUGAAGAAAAACGCAUGCAAGACUUAGACAAGUCAAUUAAAAGCUGGGAGUAUCAUCAGUUCAAUUGGUUAUAAAUAGCGUAGAGCCAUCCUCUCGUUGUUGCAGAACUGAAGCAAAGAGACUCAGAAAGAGUGUGUGUAGGUGAUUAUAAUUAAGAAGAUAUAAUGUGUGGUUCAAAAAGAGUGUGGGUGAGUGAGUUAAUUUUCAUAUUAUUAGUAGUAAAAGGGUGGUGGAGUGAGGGAUGUUUGGAGCAAGAGAGGUCUGCUCUCCUACAACUCAGACAUUUCUUCAAUGAUGAUCAACUUCUUCAAAACUGGGUAGACGAUGAGUAUUAUUCAGAUUGUUGUCAGUGGGAACGGGUUGAGUGCAACAACACCACUGGAAGAGUGAUUGAAUUACAACUACUAGAAACUCGAAAACAGGGAUCAGCAGAGUGGUAUAUGAAUGCCUCUCUGUUUACUCCAUUUCAACAAUUAGAGUCUCUUGAUUUAAUGGGGAACAAUAUAGCCGGUUGUGUUGAAAAUGAAGGUCCUUAAUUUACUCUAUUUUAAUUCUUCCUCGUAAUUUCUUACAUUUAUCUGAUCCCUUUUGAUUUUUGUUUAAUUUGUUCGUGAUACAAUAAAAUUACUUUUUAUUUUUUGUCAGGUCUAGAUAGGUUAUCAAGGUUGAACAACUUGAAGUUUCUUUACUUAAACCUUAACCACUUCAACAACAGCAUCUUUUCAUCCAUAGGUGGUCUUUCAUCACUCAGACGCUUAUCAUUGGCUAGUAAUGAAUUGAAUGGAAGUAUUGAUAUUAAAGGUAAGCAAGCUUCAUCCCUUCUCCCGUGUCCCAUCUUUUGUGGAUCUUAUUUUAUUGACCGGCUGGAAGUAUUGAUAUAAGAUCUGGCUAGACUCUUGCUAGUUUAAGCUUCAAGGAUUUAAAUAUUAUAAAAAUAGGUUUAAGAAAUUAUCAAUAUAUGCAAUUUUCAAUGCUUCUCAUAAUCAGACACAAUUCAAUCUAAUUAUUUUGUAUGUCCUGUCUUCAAAAGUAAAGAAUUGUACACUAAAUGGAAAUCGACAUCGUAGCUUUUUAUUUUUUCUAAUGCUCUUUUUUCGUUAACGAGUUUAUAUCCUAAGAGGGAUUGGAUUGAAAAAAAAAAAGUUUUGAUGUUCAAGGUAGGCCAUAAUAACCCGCAUCUUAUUUGUCUGCCUGUAUCUAAAUUUGUGCACUGAAUUUAGUAUUUUGGUUAUUGUGAAGGGAUCAGAUAUUGGCUUCCAUAGACCAACUUGUAUUUAGUUAAUUAAUUAAUUAACGACAUUUAAUAUUUAACAAAUUAAAAUUUCGUGUUUAAUCUAUUUUAAUUUUUUUAAGAAAAAAGAAAAAGAUAUAGCAAUAGGUAAAGCUAAAAUAAAUUUUAAUUCCUUACAAAUUUAAAUUCAUGGUUGUCAGCUAAAUAUACUUACUUAAAGCCACUCAGUCGAGCCCUUUGAGAGCUGCUUUAAAUUUUUAGCCAUAUUCUUUUCUUAUUAAUAAAAUUCUUUUCGCUGAGAUUUAACAUAAAAAAAGGAGAAAAUAAGUUAUUUAAUUAACUCUGUUUUAAGUGUUGGAAUAAAUACAGGACUGGAAUCCUUGAGUAACUUGGAGGAGCUGGGCAUGAGCGACAAUGCAAUCGACAAUCUAGUGGUUCCUAAAGGUAUACAAAAUGUUCAAAUAUUAAUAAUUUGGAGGACAGUUUAAUUGAUUUGAUUAGGGAAUGCCCAAUGACACUUACCCAAAAUAAUUUAAUCCGAAAUUGUAUCCCAAAUAGAUUACAGAGGUUUGAGGUAGUUGAAUACCUUUUAUUUGGGGAGGGGGGGGGGGGGGGGGGGGGGGGGGGGGAGGGAGGGAAAUUGCAGUGAUAUAUGGAAGCAAGGUGUUGCAAUAAAUAAAGAAAUUCGUUGGUCAAUAUUCAAGGACUCAUCCAAAGUAAUCGUUAAAGUCUAAAGCUCUGCUCUCCUCCAACUCAAACAUUUCUUCAAUGAUGAGAAUUAUUCAGAUUGUUGUCAGUGGGAAGGGGUUGAGUGCAACAACACCACUGGCAGAGUGAUUAAAUUAGAUCUAGGAGCCACUAGGAAUCGGGAAUCAGCAGAGUGGCAUAUGAAAGAUAACUAGAACUUGGAAUAACUUAAAUUAGCUAUAAAAUUAAGACCAUUAUACAACUAAAAAGAAAGAAAAAUUGUUUGCUACUACAUAUCAAAACUAGUAAUAGCAAUGAAAGAUGGCAGACUUCUUACUUAAACAGAUGAGAGGCUACAAAUAAAAAAUUUGUGCAAAUAAAUAUAUGAUAAAGAGCAUAAUACUUUCUUGGGGGCUAAAAAUAAUAUACAACUUGUGAAAUAUAAAUUGAGCUACCAUUACCUUUUAGAUGUGGCAACUUUCGACUUUUGAGGCACUUUGGAAUAUGCAUUCAGAAUCCUGCAUUUGGAAGCCAAAUAAAUAAUGUUAAUAACAAUUUUACAAUAGAAAAAUUAAAAAUUGAUAAAUGGCAGUUGUAAUUUAUGUAUGUGUAAAGAUAGCAUCACAUCCAGGGUCCUCCCAUAAACAUGCUUGUAACAAGAAUUAGUUUGCGUCAACUGCUAGCAACUAUACAAUAGUAAAAAUCACUCUUAUGAACUCAACAAUACUAGGCACCAAUAAGAGUAUGAUACAGCCAUUCUAAAUGGAAGAGAAUACAACUGUUUUACAACUAUGUUGCAUCAGGAGAUAUGUUAGGAGUUUUAAUCCAGAUACCUUCCAACCCAAUUAGGAAAACUCGAGUCAGAAACCAGGAGCUGCAACUGAACCUUACAAUCUUGAAGGAAGAAGGAGACUUGGGGCAUUUUUCUAGAUAGGUGACUUACUAGAUCUACUGCCAAGAAAAUAUCUAUUGCUUUGAACCUCCAUUGAAAUUUCUUUUCCCUUUUUCUUAUUUUGACUUGGAACUUUCCAGCAUCAUCUAUUUGAUCUUUUUUAAAGCUAAAAUAGCAAUCUACGGGUUGUCAACAUCUUAUCCCCCCCCCCCCCCGGGGGCCCCCAAAAAAAAAACAUCAAUGAGUUGUCAAUAAAUAGCGCCUACUCAACUUAUGUUCUCCAAUGGAUGACAAUGUGCAAAUCGACCUAGCAGCCACAUUUUCCCCCCCUUUCAACCACCAUUAGGCAACUUUUCUAACCUUUCUUCAUUGCCCACGUCUACAGAACUAUCAUAUAAAGACUACAAGAUAGACGCACGGUAUCUAAAUAAUUGUACCAACCCCCUCUCCUGAUUGUCAUAAAACGGCCAAUAUUUAACGCUCGACAACAAAAUUGCAAAUACUCUAGCCUCUAUAUUAUUGGCAUAUAAAUAUUUUCGGUUAGGUACAUUAUAUUCUUCGUUCUAAAACCUCAAUUAUUGGCUAGUACUGUGAUAAAAUGAUUCAUCACUGAAAAUAAAACUAGUUCACGUACAAAUAAUCAAAAACUGAAAUAGAAGCAACGAUAAACCAACCUGUAUUACGUCGAUUCAUCACAACAAACUGAAAUCGAGGCUGUGUGUUCCUGAAAAUUGAAAAAAUAAUAAUUUCACCAACUUCAUGUGUAAUACAAUCUCCAAAACACCAAAUAUCAAAUGAAAAAAUGGAAAGCAUAAGAUAGAAAAGAAUCUAAUUUUAUUGACCUUUUGACGACGACGAGAGAGCCUUCAACAUCCUUACGACUCCAUUGGCUGAGGUCGAUGUUGAACUCGUAGAAGGUGACAUGAGCGGCCGUGAUGAGGAUCUCCUCAAUGAAUGGAUCGAUUCGCUGAAGAACUGUCAGGUUUAGGAGUUUUGUGCUCUGCUGGUCCAGAUUAGGCAUCAAUUUUCCGUUAUGCGACAUUUUUCAUAGUCGUUUUGGGCUCUGCCCCGAGCACAAGCCCCAGGGUUUUUCUGUGAGCUCUCUCUUUUGUAAAUAAAGUGUUUGAUGAGAUAGCCGAGAGAGAGUGAAAGUGUUGAACAGCCAAACACGGUCUCGAGAUUGAUCUUGCUUUAACUUCUUUUAAACAUUUGGGAAAUAGCAUUUAUUUCUUUUAGUUUCUCUACUUUUUUUUUCCUUUAUGUCAUUUAGACCCCAAAAUUAGAUUUAUUAUAAUCCUAUUUUACCCAUACACUAUUAACCCCUUUUAUUUUUAAAAUUUGUCAAUAUUAAUGUGUUAGAAUAAUGUUAAAAAUCCCAAUUAUUAUCUCAAUGUUUCAAUCAUAACUAAUGUGAUAACUCAUUGGUAACUGCAACAUUAACUUAAUUAUUAAUGUAACACAAUAAAAGUUUCGUACAGAUUUUGAUAUUGAGAGUAACACAAUAAAAGUUUCAUACAGAUUUUGCAAACGAAAAGCACAUAAUACACUUAACUAGGAGGAAAAAUUAAGGUGUAUAUAUUACAAACUGCUAACAAUAUACAAUUGUAAAAAUCACUCACAAAUACUAGGCACCAAUAAGAGUAUGAUACAGCCAUUCUAAAUGAAAGAGAAUACAACUGUUUUACAACUAUGUCACAUCAAGAGAUAUGUUAGCAGGAUUAAUCCAGAUACCUUCGAACCCAAUUAACGAACUCGAGUCAGAAACCAGGGGCCCCCAACUAAACCUUACAAUCUUGAAGGAAGAAGGAGACUCGUGGUCCAGAUAGGUGACUUACUAGAUCUCCUGCAAAAGAGAAUAUCUAUUGCUUUGAACCUCCAUUGAAAUUUUUUUUUCCCUUUUUCUUGUUUUGACUUGGAACUUUCCAACAUCAUCUAUUUGAUCUUUUUUGAAGGUAAAAUAGCAAUCUAUAGGUUGCCAACAUGUUAUUCUGCCAAACCCCACCCCACCCCCCCGGGGGACAACAAAUCGACCUAGCACACACCUUUCUUCAUUGCCCACACCUACAGAACUAUAAUAAAAAGACUACGUUACUAUUGGGGUAGAGAAAAUAUACAGACUGUAUUAUUAUUACAUCGCAUUUUACUAAUUAACUAGUGCAAGACUUCUUUAGUGUCAAAUCAAGAACUAAUUAGAAAAGACAACUCAUGAUAAUACAGACCUUAAUAAGCAAUUGCUAACAACAUCCCAUAUACUCCUAUUUUAGCCUUCAUUAUCCUGGUAAAAACACAAAUAAGUCUUGCAAACGAACAUUUAUAAGUAAAUUCAACAUUAAUUAAGAUUAGGUAUCUACUGCACCUAAUAGCAUGGUCAACCAUCCAGUUCCUGUAGCCUUCCAUGUACCUAUGUUAGUUACAUUUUACAUAUUAAGCCACGAAAACGAAGAAUCACAGCCUGGUAAAGAAAGACAUUAAUUAAUAGUUUUUGUUUAAAAAGUUCUCCUUUAGAUCUUUCCUAUUCAAUGAAUCAAUGUAAUCUAAAGAGAAUUCUUCCAUUUCAAACAGUGUUAGAAGGUAUUUGCAAAGCCUAAAGAUAAUAUACAAGGACCAAGAUAUACACAGAUGGUUUCUUUAUGGAAUUAAAGAGCUUUAUAGAUGUUAAAACUGUUUCAAACAAUUUUUCUUGUUUGGUUUAACUAAGGAAAAGCUUGUGGAAGAUUAAAAAUGAUGUUUCCUAUUCUCUGUAGGAAACUUUUAGGAGAUUUUUUGGGCUUUUUUGAAAGGUUGAAUUGUCAAAAAUACCUUGAUGUUAUUGUUUGCUAAAAGAUGUUACGGACAUCUAAACAACCAACAACAUUUUGUUAAAAGCUCUACUAGUGUAGGAUCUACUUAAAGAAGCUAUACCAAACAGACUCUUAGACUGAAUAACUCGAUCUUAAGUUUGUAAAAUUGGGCUCAGAAUCUCCACUAACAACCCCGCUUCGGUGAGAAAGCCCAAGCCUGUUACUUUGUAUAACCUUAUUCUGUAUGUUUGAUUGCAGGAACUGGCCGAUCAUACCGACGAGGUGAGUGUGCAACAUGAGGUGCUUGACGGGAUGUUUACUUUCUAUGAUACAACUAAAGCUAGCCUCAACAUAUAUCAGGUGCCUGCUUGUUUUUACCUUCUAGAUACUAAUAUUGUUUAGACGUGUAAUCUCUCUCUCCAUUGAACGCUAGACGGCUCGUCUCAAGCCUUCUACGUACUUCAGAGUCCUUCACUAGCUUUUUAUGUAUAAAGUUUUGAUCUUUUUCCUUCAUUUGCUUGAAGCUCAUUACUGCAGAUUUUUUUUACAGGUUGGUAGUGUAACAUUCGACUUGCUGUUGCUUCUAGUCUUGGGAUCGUAUUUAAUUGUGCUUUUCAGCUUUCUUGUCAUAACAACUAGGGUAUCACUCUUUCUCCAUAUCAAGCUUGAAGUUCUAAAUUUCAGUUUUAUCUUUUAUUUGAUGUUUUAUAAUUUCAUUGCAAACAGAUUAGAAUAGAAACUUCAAAAGUUCCAACUGACUAGUCCCGUGUAACUUUUUCAGGGAAGAUUUUCUCUCAUAACAACUACGAACGUGUUAUGGUUUAGCCCAGUGACACAAAGGACAGUUUUCAACAAUUGAUCCUAGGAAGAUGCCCAUAGCUUGUUGUGCCAAAAAUAGAAAAUCUAAGAUGCGAAAAAAUUUUGUUGAGAUUCAUUUUUCAUCCUGAUGUUACCGCUGGCCUUUUUUUUUUUUUUUUUUGGCAGAGAAUAAUGCUUAUGUGAUUUCUGAACUUGGUGAUUGUUGAAAUGAGCUGAAAAUGAGCUGGAAAUGUGUUUGGUUAAUGAGAAAGAGAGCAAGAAAAUGAAAGAAAUCUAUUUCACUUUUUAUUUAUCAGCAUGAUUACAUUCACAAUGAAUCUAAGCUGCUAUUUAUACUUAAAUGACUACACACGAGAAUCUUCUUGCUAGAUACUUCUAGAAACUCUACACGCACACUCACACUGAGCUAGUGGUUACCAAAACCGUUACAACGAUAUUGCCAGCUCAGCAUAACCAACUUAUAACUAACACACUCAGCUGCAGGGGAAACCAUCAAGCUUACUGUGCGUCCUCUGUAAUCAAGCUUCUUUAAGCAUGCUCUGCAGAUCAUACGUCUGAAUUAUCGAAACAAGAUGAAUUAUUUUUUGUUUAUUGCAGCAGGCGAUCAAUGAGCGGAAUUUCUAGCUUGUAUUCAAUUCGCGAACACAGUUUGAGAAGAAUCAGACCAUUAAUUUUCUUUUGAGCCAAUCAACAGAAUGUACAUUUCUUCUAAGAACUUGUAACCGAAACCGCAGUUUUUCAGGUUUGAUGCAUCUGGGAAAAUUGUCAGAUGGAAUAAAACCACCAUGCGCCAAGGUACCAAUGAUGUUUCUUCCAGCUUAUGAGCACUUCAAAUAAACUUAGGUCAUAUUUACACAAGGGCGCACAUGAUAUCAAUCUAAUGGCAAUUAUAUCAUCUAAAAUCCAAAACCAAGAGUCUCCCAUUUUCCCGCCCUCUACUCUGUUCGUAUUAUCAUAACUUGAAGAUUGCAAGGCAGCCGCAAUCUCCCAGAUCUUUGCUCCUUCCUCAUAGCAGUUAGUCAAACGAUAAACAGAGAUAUCCCAUGUCAACAAGAAGGUAAUCAUAAAAGAACAACAGAAUUGUUGCAAUAUAUUCAUAUGAAAUGUAAAACAAUUUUGAGAAAAAAUAUUGGGAAGAUGAUUUUUUUUUUCAUAGAAGUUGCAAUCUUUACGUUAUAUGCUAGUUUGACUAUGCUAUAUAAGGAAGCUAUAUGAAAUUAGAAAAAUAAGCUAUACUAGGAAAGAAUAAAUAUAUGUACAGAAAAUGAGGCUAUAAUCCCUGACUUUCAACAAAUUUAAUAUCAAUUUUCUUCUGGAAGUUGUCUCAAAUGGGGUGCAUCAGUAUUGUAACAUACUGUGAGAUGCUUAAACUCAACAAUAUAAGCAUGGUAAAUUAGAGAAAAAUGAUGCAAUUUUACCUUCCCAUUCAUGUAUGCCAAGGCUUUUUGGGCUUCCUCUUCUGUACUGAAAGUCACAUACCCGUAACCUUUUGAUCUAUUCUUACCUUUAUCCAUUAUUAUUGUAGCUGCAAAAAGAAAAGAACCGGAUAUUACAAAAUAGUGAAAGGGAAGAGGGGUUGAGACUUAAAACAGAAAUAGACCAAACCCUCAGUGACUUGGCCAAAUUGUGAAAAAGCAUCAGCUAACAUCUCUUUAGUGGUCGAGAAAGAUACGCCUGCAAAGAAUGCCAGUUAAUUUUAUCAUAAUUAGAUGGUAAGAUUGCAAAUUCUGCAGCCAAAGGUGGUACGGAACUGAAUGAAGGAAAUCAAAUAUGAAUAUGUUUUCAAUCUUAAAAUAUUAAGAGUAGCAUAAGUAACUUGUGAAACAGUUAUAAGUUCAAGGGAAUUAGAUGAUGGCAUGGUUGAAUUUUAUAAAUAUUUGAUAUUUUGGACCGAACAGGGCAAACAGAUGGAUCCAGAUAAUCAAGAAAAACAUCAAUUCCAUGCAGCCAAAUUAGUGUGGGCAAUGCAAUUGAGCAACACUAUAAAAUUAUUCAAAGAAAUCUCUAGGUCAGUAUCCAAAUAUAUGGCUCCGUCCGUUCCACCACCACAACCAAAAAAAUCAGAUCCCCCCAUUUGGAUUCGAUUGAUUAAUUUGAGCAUAAAAAAUCGGGUUUUAAACUUCCCUAAGCAAAAUUUAUAUUCCACAGAAUCAGUUCCUUUAACAUGAUGCAUUACAUAAUAUUUUGUUUGCAAAAUAAAGAAGAAAGAUGACAUAAUAGAAACACUCACAGAGAGAGAAUACCUUUGACGAAAAGCUUAGAAGUGAAUCCUCUGUAAAAUACGAGUUGAGCUGCUGAAUUUUUCGAGUUUGAAUGAGAGACUGCGGCAAUUCUGAAAAUGUUUUUUUCUCAUUAGCGCCGCCAUUUUUGUAAUAGAGGGUAAAGAAAUAAGUAACAAAGUAAGAGGUGAGCAGAAGCGGCCCAAUUUAGUUAUAUGCCAUGCAUGCGAUCAAAAUUGAAUGGUUAAAUGGCAGCCACUAUGUUACAUCUUGUGUAAGUAACAAACCGCCUACAUGGAUCGUUGGAUUUGGGAAUAUGAAAUCCAAUGGAUAAUAUUGAAUUUAACGAAAAAUAGAUUACAGGUUGCAUUAGUCCAAGUUUAUUUCAAACAAACCAGCUGAUGAAAUAGCCGCUAAUCGAAUUUAAAAGGGAAAAAAAAUCAAAUUAUAGGUUAUAGAUCUUAUUUCCAUCUUAAAUCUAUGUCUUUCAUGGUGACUCAAUGUGUAUACUAAUUUAUAAUUUGGAUCUAUAUUAGAGGCUUAGAGCCAAUGCUUCCCUAAAUAACUAAGAAAAUUUUCUUUUCAUUGAUUAAAUAUUUAUUUCCAAUAUCUUGUAUAUGUAGGAUUUGAAAAGAGGGAAAAUAGUAGGGAUGAUGAUGAGAGAAGAUAAAGAUGUCGAUUCUCAAAUCUAAUAUUAAUGCUAUACUUAUAUUCCUAUAGUAAAUAAAUUAUCCAAGGUUCGUGGUUAAUGAUACGUUGCGAAAUUUUAACUGUCUAAUAUGGCUUUUCAUAAAGCUUAGAGAAAAGUAGGGCUUUUACAAAAAAAAAAAUUUAAUUAGAAUUGUCAAUGAUAAAUUUUAAAAAGUACUUUAAUAAAUAAGCUUUUAAAAUUAUAUAUAUUAUGAAAGAAAUGAAAUAAGAUUAUAUAAUAAAUUAAGAGUAUCUUAGAUAAUUGAACUUUAAAAAUAAAACUUGCUAAGAGGUUUAAAAUUUGAGUUUUUAAUAGUGGAUACAAAAUAGUUUAUUUAAUUCUCAAAAGUACUAUUCAAAAUACAACCAUGUAACACAAAAAUUUUUAAUAAGUUUUUUGGACUAGUUAAGUACUUUUUUUGAAAAAAAAUAUAUUUUUUUCAUUGAGUAAAUAAUACUAAACAUGCACUAAAGUGUUAGGACCAGAAGUUGUACAAAUAAAACCAUGAAAUUAUAUGUUGUUGGAUGGAUAUUUUUCAAAUUUGCUGUAGUUUUUUUUUUUUAAUUUUCUGCUGGGAAAUUGAAAUGAUGGCUACAACUUAAAUUAUGAAUGGAGUAAUCGGAGAAUAUUGAAACCCAUUUAAUUUGGAUCGUGCAUUGAGGGACGAAAGGAUAAAAAAUUUAAUUUUGAAAUUGCUGUUGGGUACGGUACAAUGACUUACCGUUGACAGCUUUUGCAACCGGAUUACAAUCGGUUAGUUCAAUAAUUUUAUAUCCCUAUUUAACCGCCACGUGCUGCUGUUACAUGGGUCAAUUAAUCAUGUCUUUACCGAUACUUACAACUGCUGGUUAAAUUCUGUUGUUUCCAAUAAUUUUAUGCUGUAUCUUCUUUAAUAAUAAAGAAAACUUGCAUUAAAAUUAAAAUUAGGGUAAUACCUGAUUUUAUAAAUAGAUUGCAAUGUAAUUUUGAAAAAUAAAACAAUAAUUUACAAAAUGUUUAUAACAUAAUUUUAAUUUUUUUCAAAAAGGAAAAACAACAAAAGUAAGAAAUAGAGAAUAAGGGCUACCAACUUUGUAUCUUAAACGGCCGUUAAAUUAUUUGUAAAUGAAAGCAACGGUCAGAUAUUGGUGGAUUAUGGAAACAUGUAAUCAUAAGGACUACGAGUUUUUUUUGUUACAUUGAUAUAUUACAAUUAAAAUUCUAUUGGUAUUUACAACUAGAAUUUCAUCUGACUAUCUUUGAUAAUUCUAAACUAGUACAGCCCAAAUUCUUAUUCUCAUAUAAUAUCAAAGAUAGAUAUAUAUUCUUUUCCUCCAUUAAUAACGAGACAUUUUUACUUCUAUCCAAUUUAAAUAGAACAAGAAUUAAGUCAUUUUAAUAGUUAGGACUCAGAACUCAUACACACUAGUUUGAGAGUGUGGGGUGUGACAAUGGGCCAAGAGACCAUUGACAAGUACAAAAGAGUGGUAGAAAUUAAUUCAAACCGCUACACACGCUAUUGCAACCAAAUUGAGGGCCCAUUUUUGUUUAUUUCGUUGAAAAGUAGUCUGUAAAAUUAACUCAAACCGCUACAUACGCUAUUGCAACCCAAUUGAGGGCCCAUUUUUGUUUAUUUUGUUGAAAAGCAGUUUGCGCAAUUAAUUCAAACUGCUACACACGCUAUUGCAUCUUUUGAAAAAGAAAAAUGGAAUAGUUUUUCAAAAUUAGUUUAGAGAAUAAGAUUUACUAAUAAUGAUGUUAGAAAUCUUAAUAUUUGAAUCUUAAUAUUAUCUAUCACUCGUUUAUUAAAUAAUAGAUUUCAUAGUUUGUAAAAUUACUUAACCACUUGAUAAAUGUUAUAUUUGUUGGGACUAGAUUGGGACUUAAAUAUUGGAAUAUCUAGUAUUGCAUAAAAAAAAAAAAACUUAACAAUUUAUCUUCACACGACUAAUUGUUUUUACAUCACAACUAACCUUAAUUAUUUUAAAAGUUAUAGUAUUAUUAAAUUGCCCUAACUAGUUAUCAAAAGGUGAAAGCAUGUUUAAAAAAGAAAUUACUAAGAAACAUUUGUUUAAACGAAGGUUAAGGUUAUGAUCAAUUAAUUAAGAAGAAACUUACUAUCAAAGGUUAAGAUUAUGAACAAUUUAAGGAAGUUAUUGAGUAGAGAAAGGGACAGAAUGGUUGUCUGAUUUGUCGGUGACAAGAAUGCUUGUGUUGUGAAAAGAAAGCCGAUGGUUUGUAAAUUUGUUGAAUUGGUCCCAAUUAGUAUAGUAACCAUCUAUUGAGCGGUAAAAUAUUAAUUUAAAUAGUCAUGAAAUCUAAUAUAUAAUAGAUUACUAACACACAUAAAUUAAAACUUAAUUGUCAGAAAUCAUAACAUUAUUCUAAGCUUCAGUGGAGUUCUCUUAACAGAUUAUGUGAGAUUGCCUAUAUUAAAAAUAUGUUGAGACUGCUUGUUGAAAGCAAUAUUCGCUUUUCCAUUAUAUCCAUAACUUUGAAUUGAUAAAGUUGUAUUCAGCAGCUCUUGAAAAGACUAAUUUAUUUUAACUAGUCAUAGAAAUAAGAGAGAAAAGGGGCUAUUUCUUGACUCAAAGUCAAUUAUAAUUAUCAAAACUUGAGGGGACAUCGCAUGCCUAAAUUCCACGCACCCUAAUACGGUUUGAUUUGCUUUCACGCGUUCAUGAAUUUCCAUGAAAGAGCCUGCCUUUCGUCUCUUUCGGGACAGUGACUACAAUAAUGGAAAAAAUUAUAAUUCUCGUUAGAUUGUAACCAAAUUAUUAUCCCUAAUUUUUUUAAGUUACAUAUAAUAAAAUUCAUGCUUAAGUAUUUAGUAAUUAGAGAGAGAUAGAGAGGAUUGAGGGCCAAUGUUUCGCGAUUUGGGGUCAAUUCAAAGUCAACUAACGUGAAAAACACGUGUAUGCAUAGAAAACGCUUAGAUUAUUUGUGUUCCAAGUGCAAGAAAUUAAGAAAAGAAAAAUUGAUUUCCUUUCAUGAACUUCCAAGAAAGAAAGAAGACCCUUCACCUUCUUCGUUACAACAAAUGAAUGAAUGAUGUUGAUAUGACAAAUACAAGCGCUAUUACAGGGAACAACAUAAGACUGAGACUUGAUAAAGUGUUUGUUAAAUUACAUGUUAUUUUCUUUUAACUUGAAUGAUGUUGAAAAUAAAAUAAAAUAAAAUUGUAAUCAGGGUGAUGUGUGGAAUAUAGUGAAAUAAAUAAAUAGAGAAGAGAAAUUUGUUGAUCAAUAUUAAAGACACAUCCAAAGUGAUCGUCAAAGUCUAGAGGUUCGGUAUGAUUAGCAUUUAUUUUAUUUUUUUUGGCUUAGCAUCAUAUAUAGUCACCUGUCGUGUGAUCUAGGACAGGUUUAGAAAUCCUUUUAUUUUAACUUCUGUAUUCUUAUUAUUUAAUUAGUUAUAGGGUUUUUAAGUAUUUGAGUAUUGAUCACAUGUCUCCUAAUCUAAAAAUAUGUUUUUACGAGUACAAAUAACAAACUAGGAUUUUAACAGCCUUUUAUACUAAACCCUAAAAAUACAUGAAUUUAUCAAAAUAAGUAAAUUAAUUUAAAUUAGUAUGGCAUAGUAGAAGUUUUACCUGCCGAAACAAAUUAAAAAAAUAUUACACUUAAAUCAAAUAUUGACAAAAAUAGAUAACAAUCUAAUGAGAAUCUUAACUAGACAUUUUUACUUCUAUCCAAUUUAACUGGAAUGAGAAUUAAGUCAUGUCAAUAGUUAGGACUCAUAACUCAUACACACUAAUUUGAGAGUGUGGGGUGUGACAAUGGGUCAAAAGACCAUUGACAAGUAUAAAAGAGUGGUCGUAAUUAAUUCAAACCGCUACACACGCUAUAUUGAGGGCCCACUUUUGUUUAUUUCGUUGAAAAGUAGUUUUCACAAUUAAUUCAAACUGCUACACAUGCUAUUGCGUUUUUUUUUUUUUUUUUUUUUUUGAAGGGAAGCAAUUUCAUUAAACCAAAACGAAUUACAGACUAUGUAAUAACCACAAAGGUGGAACGAAAUUCCACUCUUGGGGACCUGACAUAGAACCUACUGCCCUUGCAACAGAGUGAGCAGCCAGGUUCGUAGACCGACGUACAAACGAGAAUUGUACUUCUCCUAAAGACUUAGCUAAAGCUCGACAUUCAUCAACUAUUAAACCAAAACCGUUAGGCCCUGAAAACUCCUCAACUAGAGCUUGAAAUACUUGUAAACAAUCAGUUUCAACAAUGACACAAGGAAAUUGUAAGCCUUUAAGCCAACUAAGGGCCUCCCGAAUACCAAGAGCUUCAGCCUCCCUUGCUCCAAAAUUCCCAGCCAUUCCAGCACAUCUUGCUGUUAAGAAAACACCCUCUGAAUUUCGAAGCACACACCCAAAACCAAUAUUUCCCUGAGAUGAAAAGAUAGCAGCGUCAACAUUACGUUUGACCCAACCAAACUUUGGCCUCUCCCAACAUAUUGCCCCAUGGACCAGCUUAUGGACAUCAGUAUCAGCAUAGAAUUGUUGCUUCUUUGCUGCUUGCCACUGAUAGAGAAGUUGCCCAGCAGAAUUGAGCACUUGAUUCACUGAACCAGUUUUGUUAUUCCAUACUUUGUCAUUCCGAUUAAUCCAAACUCUCCAGCAGAUCAUCAUGGCAACAUGGCAUUCUUCUUUGCUGCAGCGUGUAAAGAUGUGAUCAAGCCACUCUAAGAAAGAAUAACAAUGGCCAACAAAACCCACAGAGGAAGAAAUCCAGCAAGCCUUAGCAACAUUACACUCAACCAACGAAUGGAGAAUAGUUUCAUCAGAAGCAAGACACACAGCACAAGUAGGGGGGAUAUUCACCCUCUUAGAAAUUAAAUUAACUGCAGUAGGCAGCACAUUAGUUGCCGCUCGCCAAACAAAAUUCUUAACCUUAUUCGGCACAUUCAAGUUCCAUAGUUUUCGCCACACAUCUGUGAAAGGGCCAGGGGUAAGAGAAUGUAAAACGUUAUAACAGCUACGGACUGAAUAGCAUCCGCGAGAAUCAGCCAACCAAUACCACACAUCAUCAUUUCGGCGGGAACUAAGGGGAAUUUGAAGAAUCAACUCCUUGUCUCUUGCGUUGAAAAGAUCCAAAACAAGAUCAUAAUCCCAAGCUCGUUGAUUAGGCACCAGUAAACUACUAACAGGAGCUGCAGCAAGCUCGGCAUGGAGAUUAGAAGGAACAAAUCCAUUAUUAGUAUCAGGAAGCCACGGAUCCUUACCAAUGAAGAUCGAAUUUCCACAGCCAACUUGCAGUCUACUCCCUUGAAUUACCACAUCCUUUGCAGCCAAAAUAGAGCGCCACAUAUAGCUAGGAUUAUGCCCCGCAGAAGCUUGAAGAACAGAGGUGCGCGGAUGGUAGCGAGCUUUAAUUAUCUUGGCCACAAGAGAUUCCGGACAAGUUAACAGCUUCCACAUUUCCUUUCCUAACAUCGCUAUAUUGAAUAAAUGAAGUUGUUUAAAACCAAGGCCACCAUAUCCUUUUGGUUUGCACAGAUUUUCCCAUUUGGACCAGUUUAAAAAAGAAAAAUGGAAUAGUUUUCCAAAAUUAAUUCAGAGAAGAAGAUUUACUAAUAAUGAUGUUAGAAAUCUUAAUAUUAUGUAUCACUCAUUUAUUAAAUAAUAGAUUUCAUAGUUUGUAAAUUUACUUAACCACUUGAUAAAUGUUAUAUUUGUUUGAAUUGAUCCAAUAGCUCUUGAAAAGCACAUAAUAAUCAUUAUAAAUUUAAUCAAAGACUAAGCAGGUCUUCUUUGCAUUUGAUCACUGGCAUUUCAGUUAAGUUUGUCAUUUAUUUAAAUUUUUCUUGCUUUCAAUUUCCACUGUUGUUUUUUUUAAUAAAAUAAUUUAUUUAAACUAGUCAUAGAAAUAAGAGAGAAAGGGCGCCAUUUCUUGACUCAAAGUCAAUUAUAAUUAUCAAAACUUGAGCGGACAUUGCAUGCCUAAAUUCCACGCACCCUAAAACGGUUUGAUUUGCUUUCACGCGUUCAUGAUUUUGCAUGAAAGAGAGUGCCUCUCGUCUCUUUCCGGACAGUGACUGCAAUUAUGUUAACGUGACGAAUACAAAACGUUAUUACAUACAAGAAUAAGUUUUUGGAGCCGAUACUUGAGGGAGGUUCUAUCUAAUUCUAAAGAUUGUAACCAAAUCAUUAUCCCUAAUUUUUUUAAGUUAAAUAAAAUAAAAUUCAUGCUUAAGUAUAAAUAAUUUUUUUAAGUUAAAUAUAAAAUAAAAUUCAUGAACUUCCUAGAAAGAAAGAAGACCCUUCACCUUCUUCGCGACAACAAAUGAUGUUGACAUGACAAAUACAAGCUCUAUUACAGGGAACAGCAUGAGACCGAGACUUGAUAAAUAUUAAAUAUAUAAAAUAAGUGGAGCAAACGAACAGAAUAAUAGAUUUUUAUAAUAUUCUUCAUAAAAAUCCAAGUUUUGAGCUGGCCUAUAAGCUUAUCUAGUGAAGUCUGGGUAUCCGCGUUGCCCAAGGUUCCGUUUGAAUCCAGGCCGUGUAGAUGUUUAAGACAUCGCAUAUGGACGGAGUGGAAAUAUUUUCAGUUGACUGAAUUAAAUAAAAAUAUAUUACAAUCAUAUUAUAUAUUAGCAGCAAAAAUAAAAAGAAAUGAAGAAAAACGCAUGCAAGACUUAGACAAGUCAAUUAAAAGCUGGGAGUAUCAUCAGUUCAAUUGAUUAUAAAUAGCGUAGAGCCAUCCUCUCGUUGUUGCAGAACUGAAGCAAAGAGACUCAGAAAGAGUGUGUGUAGGUGAUUAUAAUUAAGAAGAUAUAAUGUGUGGUUCAAAAAGAGUGUGGGUGAGUGAGUUAAUUUUCAUAUUAUUAGUAGUAAAAGGGUGGUGGAGUGAGGGAUGUUUGGAGCAAGAGAGGUCUGCUCUCCUACAACUCAGACAUUUCUUCAAUGAUGAUCAACUUCUUCAAAACUGGGUAGACGAUGAGUAUUAUUCAGAUUGUUGUCAGUGGGAACGGGUUGAGUGCAACGACACCACUGGAAGAGUGAUUGAAUUACAACUACUAGAAACUCGAAAACAGGGAUCAGCAGAGUGGUAUAUGAAUGCCUCUCUGUUUACUCCAUUUCAACAAUUAGAGUCUCUUGAUUUAAUGGGGAACAAUAUAGCCGGUUGUGUUGAAAAUGAAGGUCCUUAAUUUACUCUAUUUUAAUUCUUCCUCGUAAUUUCUUACAUUUAUCUGAUCCCUUUUGAUUUUUGUUUAAUUUAUUCGUGAUACAAUAAAAUUACUUUUUAUUUUUUGUCAGGUCUAGAUAGGUUAUCAAGGUUGAACAACUUGAAGUUUCUUUACUUAAACCUUAACCACUUCAACAACAGCAUCUUUUCAUCCAUAGGUGGUCUUUCAUCACUCAGACGCUUAUCAUUGGCUAGUAAUGAAUUGAAUGGAAGUAUUGAUAUUAAAGGUAAGCAAGCUUCAUCCCUUCUCCCGUGUCCCAUCUUUUGUGGAUCUUAUUUUAUUGACCGGCUGGAAGUAUUGAUAUAAGAUCUGGCUAGACUCUUGCUAGUUUAAGCUUCAAGGAUUUAAAUAUUAUAAAAAUAGGUUUAAGAAAUUAUCAAUAUAUGCAAUUUUCAAUGCUUCUCAUAAUCAGACACAAUUCAAUCUAAUUAUUUUGUAUGUCCUGUCUUCAAAAGUAAAGAAUUGUACACUAAAUGGAAAUCGACAUCGUAGCUUUUUAUUUUUUCUAAUGCUCUUUUUUCGUUAACGAGUUUAUAUCCUAAGAGGGAUUGGAUUGAAAAAAAAAAAAGUUUUGAUGUUCAAGGUAGGCCAUAAUAACCCGCAUCUUAUUUGUCUGCCUGUAUCUAAAUUUGUGCACUGAAUUUAGUAUUUUGGUUAUUGUGAAGGGAUCAGAUAUUGGCUUCCAUAGACCAACUUGUAUUUAGUUAAUUAAUUAAUUAACGACAUUUAAUAUUUAACAAAUUAAAAUUUCGUGUUUAAUCUAUUUUAAUUUUUUUAAGAAAAAAGAAAAAGAUAUAGCAAUAGGUAAAGCUAAAAUAAAUUUUAAUUCCUUACAAAUUUAAAUUCAUGGUUGUCAGCUAAAUAUACUUACUUAAAGCCACUCAGUCGAGCCCUUUGAGAGCUGCUUUAAAUUUUUAGCCAUAUUCUUUUCUUAUUAAUAAAAUUCUUUUCGCUGAGAUUUAACAUAAAAAAAGGAGAAAAUAAGUUAUUUAAUUAACUCUGUUUUAAGUGUUGGAAUAAAUACAGGACUGGAAUCCUUGAGUAACUUGGAGGAGCUGGGCAUGAGCGACAAUGCAAUCGACAAUCUAGUGGUUCCUAAAGGUAUACAAAAUGUUCAAAUAUUAAUAAUUUGGAGGACAGUUUAAUUGAUUUGAUUAGGGAAUGCCCAAUGACACUUACCCAAAAUAAUUUAAUCCGAAAUUGUAUCCCAAAUAGAUUACAGAGGUUUGAGGUAGUUGAAUACCUUUUAUUUGGGGAGGGGGGGGGGGGGGAGGGAGGGAAAUUGCAGUGAUAUAUGGAAGCAAGGUGUUGCAAUAAAUAAAGAAAUUCGUUGGUCAAUAUUCAAGGACUCAUCCAAAGUAAUCGUUAAAGUCUAAAGGUCUGCUCUCCUCCAACUCAAACAUUUCUUCAAUGAUGAGAAUUAUUCAGAUUGUUGUCAGUGGGAAGGGGUUGAGUGCAACAACACCACUGGCAGAGUGAUUAAAUUAGAUCUAGGAGCCACUAGAAAUCGGGAAUCAGCAGAGUGGCAUAUGAAUGCUUCUCUGUUUUCUCCAUUUCAACAAUUAGAAUCUCUUGAUUUAACUGGGAACAAUAUAGCCGUUUGUGUUGAAAAUGAAGGUCCUCAAUUUACUCUACUCUAAUUCUCCCUCGUAAUUUCUAGCAUUUAUCUGAUCCCUUUUAGCUUGUGUUUAAUUUGUACGUGAUACAAUAAAAUUAGGUUUUAUUUUUUAUUUUUUAUUUUUUGGCAGGUCUAGAUAAGUUAUCAAGGUUGAACAACUUGAAGUCUCUUUAUUUAGACUUUAACCACUUCAACAACAGCAUCUUUUCAUCUCUAGGUGAUCUUUCAUCACUCAAACACUUUUCAUUGGCUGGUAAUGAAUUGAAUGGAAGUAUUGAUAUUGAAGGUGAGUAAGCUUCAUCCCUUCUCCCGUGUCCCAUCUUUUGUGGAUCUUAUUUCAUUGAGCAGCUGGAGGUACUGAUGUUAGAUCUAGCUAGACUCUUGCUAGUUUAGGCUUCAAGGCUUCGAUUACUAUAAAAAUAGGUGUAAGAAAUCAUCAAUACAUGCAAUUUUCAGUGCUUCUCAAAAUCAGACACAGUUUAGUCUAAUUAUUUUGUAUGUCCCGUCUUUAAAAGUAAAGAAUUGUAUUGUAAUUGGAAAUCGACAACGUAGCUUUUCAUUUUCUGUAAUGCUCUUUCUUCGUUAACAAGUUUAUAUCUUAAGAGAGAUUGGAUUCGGAAAAAGUUUUCACGCUCAAGGUAAGCCAUAAUAACUUCUUUCUUCGUUAACAAGUUCAUUAGUUCAAUUGGCAACUGUUUUUUAAGUUUUUCUGGUUAGCCGUAUACUUUUUUGCUUAUUAAUAAAAUUCUUUUGCGCCGAGAUUUAAAAAUAAAGGAGGAGAAAAUAAGUUAUUUAAUUAACCUUGUUUUAAGUGUUGGCAUAAAUACAGGACUGGAUUCCUUGAGUAACUUGGAGGUGCUGGACAUGAGCUUCAAUGCAAUCGACAAUCUUGUGGUUCCUAAAGGUAUACAAAAUGUUCAAAUAUUAAUAAUUUGGAGGACAAUUUAAUAGAUUUGAUUAGGGAAUGCCCAAUGACACUUAUCCAAAAUAAUUUAAUCCGAAAUUGUAUCCCAAAUAGAUUACAGAGGCUUGAGGAAGUUGAAUACCCUUGUCUUAGGGGGAACGGAAAUUGCAAUGAUAGAUGGAAGUAAGGCGUUGCAAUCAAUAGGAUCACUACUGUCCCUCAAAACACUUUACCUUUUGUAUACUAAUUUUACAGGAACAGUAGUUAAUCAAGGUAAGUAAAUCUUUUAUGUCGAAAAUAAUUGAAUUAAUAUAUAUAGCUAAAAUUUAUUGUUUCUAUUUCUUUCUAAAUAGAAUUACACAAUUUCACCAACUUGGAAGAAUUGAUAUUGGUCGAGUCUGAUCUCCAUGUAAGCCAGCUUCUGCAAAGCAUCGCAUCAUUCACUUCGUUAAAGUAUUUGUCAAUGCAAGUUAGUGUACUCAAGGGUGCCCUGCAUGGUCAAGGUAAAUUACGGGUAUCUGAAGCUUUUGUGAUAUUAAUUCGAUAAUGAUUCUUUCUUUUCAAGUUUAUUUUCUCCCGUAAAAUAAUAUUUUUUUCUUUUAAAUUUUAUAUACUUUCACUGUCCAAUAGUUCUACCUUCUCUAAAUUGUAGGAUUCUUGAUUAAGGUUAAUGAAUUUUUAGUUCUGUUAUGUUAAGAAUAUUUCGAUCGCUUAGAAGAGUAAGGAAAAAUAAGUAAAUUAACCCAAAAAAGAGAAAAGAACAGGACCGGAUUAUCCUUAUUCCCUUGCAUUAUGUGAUCAAUAUCAAAAUUAUAACCAUUUCUUGUUUAUUGCUUGUAGAUUUUCAUAAAUUCAAGAAUUUGGAACAUCUGGACAUGGAUUGGGUGCAGGUUAACGUCAACACCAGUUUUUUUCAAAUUGUCGGCGAAUCGAUGCCUUCUCUCAAGUUUUUAUCACUGGCAAAUUCAAGUCUUAAUAAAAACACCAUUCUUGAUCAAGGUUAAUUAAUGAUUCUCCUUCUCCCUCUCUCGCAUCAUAACUAAAUUUAAUUGAGAAUAUCUAUAAUGCUAGCUAUUUAUAAACUUAAUGAAAGUUGAUGAGGAGCCAUAUUAAUGACAAAAACAACUGUAAAAUAGUGCGCUGUUGUAGCGUUGAUUGAAAAAUAAUGCUAAUGUUUUACUUAACAACACUAUAAGUGAUCAAACUUAAUUUUUAAUGUGUACUUUAAAGAUUUUAUGCAAUUAUUUAAGUUUUAUGCAAUUAUAUUUUUCAGGACUUUGUCGGUUAGUGCAUCUGCAAGAGUUAUACAUCAGCGGUAAUGAUUUGAGAGGUAGCUUGCCAUGGUGCUUGGCAAACAUGACAUCCCUCCAAGUGUUAGAUGCCUCUUCUAAUCAACUUACUGGAAACUUUUCCCCAGGCCUUUGUGAGUUGGUGCUUCUGAGAGAGUUAUACAUUCACAACAAUGAUUUAAGAGGUAGCUUGCCUUUGUGCUUGGCAAAUUUGACUUCCCUUCGAGUAUUAGAUGUCUCUUACAAUCAACUUACUGAAAACAUCUCAUCUUCCCUCAUGCAUCUAAUAUCUAUGGAAAAGCUCAUACUUUCAAAUAAUCACUUCUUCCAAAUCCCUAUUUCACUUAAACCACUUUUCAAUCUCUCAAAACUCAAGACUUUCGAGGGUGAAAUAUGCGCAGAAACUGAGUCACAUUAUAAUUCUUUGACCCCAAAAUUCCAAUUGACUUCUAUCUCACUGUCUGGUUACAUAGAUGGUGGCACAUUUCCCAAAUUCUUGUACCAUCAGCAUGACUUGAAGAAUGCUGAUCUCUCACACCUUAACUUGAGUGGAAAUUUUCCAAAUUGGUUGGUAGAUAACAAUACGAACUUAGAGACGCUUCUUCUUGCCAACAACUCUCUUUUUGGAUCAUUUCGGAUGCCAAUUCAUUCCCACCAAAAAUUGGCAAAAUUGGAUGUCUCCAACAAUUUCUUUCAAGGCCAUAUUCCGGUGGAAAUCGAAACAUAUCUGCCAGUCUUAAUGGGUUUAAACUUAUCUAGAAAUGCUUUCAACGGUAGUAUUCCCUCUUCAUUUGCUGAUAUGAAAAUGUUGGAAAGGUUGGACAUAUCCUACAAUCAGUUGACUGGUGAAAUCCCUGAGCGCAUGGCCACGGGUUGCUUCUCAUUGGAAAUUCUUGCAUUGUCAAACAACAGUUUGCAAGGUCAUAUAUUCUCUAAAAAAUUUAACUUGACAAAUUUAUUAAGGUUGCAGUUGGAUGGUAAUAAUUUCAUUGGAGAGAUCCCAGAAAGCUUAUCUAAGUGCCGUUUGUUAGGAGGAUUAUAUCUGAGUGAUAAUCAUCUCACUGGUGAGAUUCCAAGAUGGUUGGGUAAUUUGUCAUUUUUACAAGAUAUUAUAAUGCCCAAUAACAAUCUUGAAGGGCCAAUUCCAAUCGAGUUUUGUCAGCUUGAUUCUCUGAAGAUUUUAGACCUUUCAAACAAUAGUAUUUUUGGAACUUUACCAUCUUGUUUUAGUCCAGCAUCUAUCGAACAAGUUCAUUUGUCGAAAAACAAGAUAGAAGGACGGUUGGAAAGUAUAAUCCAUGACAGCCCCAAUUUGGUGACAUUAGAUCUCAGUUAUAACCGCUUACACGGAAGUAUUCCAAAUCGGAUUGACAGACUACCUCUGUUAAGCUACCUUCUUUUAGCUAAUAAUUAUAUUGAAGGCAAAAUACCAGUUCAAUUAUGCCAGUUGAAGGAAGUGCGGUUGAUUGAUCUUUCUCAUAAUAAUCUAUCUGGUCAUAUUCCUCCUUGCUUGGUUAACACUUCACUCAGUGAAGGUCAUCAUGAGGCAAUAGCUCCAACUUCUAGUUCGCGGGAUCAAGCGUCUGCCUCUGUACUUCCAUCUGAGGCUCCAAAUGGAUCUCCGAUGGGAAAGGAAGAAACUGUACAGUUCACAACAAAGAAUAUGUCCUACUAUUAUCAAGGAAGAAUUUUGACGAGUAUGUCUGGGAUUGAUCUUUCUUGUAACAAACUGAUAGGUGAGAUUCCUCCUCAAAUUGGAUAUCUUACAAGGAUUCAUGCGCUAAAUCUAUCUCAUAACAAUUUGACGGGCACAAUCCCGACAACAUUUUCAAACCUGAAGCAAAUCGAAAGCUUGGACCUCUCCUACAACCUAUUGCAUGGGAAAAUCCCUUCUCAGCUCACUGUGCUAACUACAUUGGCGGCCUUCAGAGUAGCAUACAAUAACUUAUCAGGCAAAAUUCCGGAUAGAGUUGCACAAUUUUCAACUUUCGAGGAAGAUAGCUAUGAGGGGAAUCCUUUUCUUUGUGGAUGGCCACUGUCUAAAAGUUGCGAUGAUAAUGGAUUAACAACAGUGACAACAGAAGCUUACACUGAAAAUGAAGAAGUUGAUAGUUUAAUUGACAUGGACAGUUUCCUGAUCACUUUUACAGUAUCUUAUGGAAUUGUGAUAUUAGGAAUUAUUGGAGUUUUGUACGUAAACCCCUAUUGGCGGCGAAGUUGGUUUUACCUUGUUGAAGUAUGUAUGACCUCUUGCUACUAUUUUGCAGCAGACAAUCUUGUUCCUAGAAAAUUCUAUGGUGGAUGGAUGUAAUUUCAUUACAUUACAACUUAUAUGUAAUUUUCAAAGAAUUUUCUUUUGCAUGCAUGGAAUAGCAACUCAAUAAAAGUAUUUGAUGCAAAUUGUCCAAGAACAACUUAGUAAUUUCAUUGCUACUAUUCGGUUGUAUGUAUACAGUUAAUGAAAUUUUUAACCAUUCGCAGAAUACCCUUAGGAAUUUCUUUAGAUGGCGGCAAAAAACUAAGAGAUUCGGGGCUCUACACGGUCUGAAUGAAGAUUAACUUAAUGCCCUCAGGAUUAUGUGUAAGUUCUCUUUUAAAUUUAAGGGGUUGAGAUUUCAGGUCCGGAUGAAAGUUGAAUGCAGGUGACGAGACUUCACUGGGACAAACUUAAAAUAAAAAAUUAUAGUCCACAGUAAGAGCAAUGGGUAGCUUAACUUAUGGAAGAUAACUAGAACUUGGAAUAACUUAAAUUAGCUAUAAAAUUAAGACCAUUAUACAACUAAAAAGAAAGAAAAAUUGUUUGCUACUACAUAUCAAAACUAGUAAUAGCAAUGAAAGAUGGCAGACUUCUUACUUAAACAGAUGAGAGGCUACAAAUAAAAAAUUUGUGCAAAUAAAUAUAUGAUAAAGAGCAUAAUACUUUCUUGGGGGCUAAAAAUAAUAUACAACUUGUGAAAUAUAAAUUGAGCUACCGUUACCUUUUAGAUGUGGCAACUUUCGACUUUUGAGGCACUUUGGAAUAUGCAUUCAGAAUCCUGCAUUUGGAAGCCAAAUAAAUAAUGUUAAUAACAAUUUUACAAUAGAAAAAUUAAAAAUUGAUAAAUGGCAGUUGUAAUUUAUGUAUGUGUAAAGAUAGCAUCACAUCCAGGGUCCUCCCAUAAACAUGCUUGUAACAAGAAUUAGUUUGCCUCAACUGCUAGCAACUAUACAAUAGUAAAAAUCACUCUUAUGAACUCAACAAUACUAGGCACCAAUAAGAGUAUGAUACAGCCAUUCUAAAUGGAAGAGAAUACAACUGUUUUACAACUAUGUUGCAUCAGGAGAUAUGUUAGGAGUUUUAAUCCAGAUACCUUCCAACCCAAUUAGGAAAACUCGAGUCAGAAACCAGGAGCUGCAACCGAACCUUACAAUCUUGAAGGAAGAAGGAGACUUGGGGCAUUUUUCUAGAUAGGUGACUUACUAGAUCUACUGCCAAGAAAAUAUCUAUUGCUUUGAACCUCCAUUGAAAUUUCUUUUCCCUUUUUCUUAUUUUGACUUGGAACUUUCCAGCAUCAUCUAUUUGAUCUUUUUUAAAGCUAAAAUAGCAAUCUACGGGUUGUCAACAUCUUAUCCCCCCCCCCCCCCCCCGAGGGGCCCCCAAAAAAAAAAACAUCAAUGAGUUGUCAAUAAAUAGCGCCUACUCAACUUAUGUUCUCCAAUGGAUGACAAUGUGCAAAUCGACCUAGCAGCCACAUUUUUCCCCCCUUUCAACCACCAUUAGGCAACUUUUCUAACCUUUCUUCAUUGCCCACGUCUACAGAACUAUCAUAUAAAGACUACAAGAUAGACGCACGGUAUCUAAAUAAUUGUACCAACCCCCUCUCCUGAUUGUCAUAAAACGGCCAAUAUUUAACGCUCGACAACAAAAUUGCAAAUACUCUAGCCUCUAUAUUAUUGGCAUAUAAAUAUUUUCGGUUAGGUACAUUAUAUUCUUCGUUCUAAAACCUCAAUUAUUAGCUAGUACUGUGAUAAAAUGAUUCAUCACUGAAAUUAAAACUAGUUCACGUACAAAUAAUCAAAACUGAAAUAGAAGCAACGAUAAACCAACCUGUAUUACGUCGAUUCAUCACAACAAACUGAAAUCGAGGCUGUGUGUUCCUGAAAAUUGAAAAAAAUAAUAAUUUCACCAACUUCAUAUGUAAUACAAUCUCCAAAACACUGAAUAUCAAAUGAAAAAAUGGAAAGCAUAAGAUAGAAAAGAAUCUAAUUUUAUUGACCUUUUGACGACGACGAGAGAGCCUUCAACAUCCUUACGACUCCAUUGGCUGAGGUCGAUGUUGAACUCGUAGAAGGUGACAUGAGCGGCCGUGAUGAGGAUCUCCUCAAUGAAUGGAUCGAUUCGCUGAAGAACUGUCAGGUUCAGGAGUUUUGUGCUCUGCUGGUCCAGAUUAAGCAUCAAUUUUCCGUUAUGCGACAUUUUUCAUAGUCGUUUUGGGCUCUGCCCCGAGCACAAGCCCCAGGGUUUUUCUGUGAGCUCUCUCUUUUGUAAAUAAAGUGUUUGAUGAGAUAGCCGAGAGAGAGUGAAAGUGUUGAACAGCCAAACACGGUCUCGAGAUUGAUCUUCCUUUAACUUCUUUUAAACAUUUGGGAAAUAGCAUUUAUUUCUUUUAGUUUCUCUACUUUUUUUUUCCUUUAUGUCAUUUAGACCCCAAAAUUAGAUUUAUUAUAAUCCUAUUUUACCCAUACACUAUUAACCCCUUUUAUUUUUAAAAUUUGUCAAUAUUAAUGUGUUAGAAUAAUGUUAAAAAUCUCAAUUAUUAUCUCAAUGUUUCAAUCAUAACUAAUGUGAUGACUCAUUGGUAACUGCAACAUUAACUUAAUUAUUAAUGUAACACAAUAAAAGUUUGCCACUUCGGCAUUGGUCGGAGUGGUGGGAUGCUUGUGAGGGCAGCGGUUCAAGCCCCCACAAAAGCAUUUGUGGGGGCUAACGUUGUGGGGGCUAACGUGCUUAUUUGUUUAAUAUUUCAAAAAUUUCCUCUCCCUCGUGCAAUACGAGUGGAGUAUGGACAUCCCUCUUCUGUAAGGGAUUAUUUGUCUGGGCAUGUACUUCACAGAAUUCAAUGUAAUAAUAUAAGUCCCAAUCAUGUAUUUCUGAUUGUAAAUAUCAGUGUAAUAUAUCUGCUGUUGAUGCGAGAUUCUGGUUCUCCUCGUUCUACGACCAGGAUCUCUGCUCGAUCAACUUUACCACGACCAGGAGGUCUCCUAGUAAUGCUUCUUCUCCAGAUGUCCCUGCACACACAGACAAGUCAGAGUACGCCGGUUGUUCUCCCGGCGCAAACCCUCCGACGCUCAAGUCAGAUAUGAAGGUUCGGGGAACGCUUGCCACAGGUCUUAUGGCUUUUUCGUGGUUUUCUCUUUUAUCUUAAAAAUGCUAACCCUUUUACCUUCGUUGGCUACCUUUUUAUAGGCUUCUCCGAAUCCCCGUUUUCCGCUUUUUGCCAGACGGUAUGGGACUCUGACUGCUGCGUCAUGGGCGAAGGUGGGAUCUUGCGUGUUACGCCACGGUUCUGGGGAAAGCGUGGCUGUCGUGCCUAGAUUCUCGGGCUGGAGAGCAUGUCUUGCCAACUGCCGUCGACCGGGUCUCCUCGCUUCUCGACCUCUAGCCGGAAUGAUCUUAUGCCUCUUACAGGAAAUUGACCUCGCGGAUGACGUGCUCGUGGACGAGCAGGAUAUUUCUGCUCCUGUUCCCCCGCGCAUCAGGCUUUUACGGAACACACCGGCUCGAGGAACUCUGCCCCCAGAUAUCUGCUCACCAUGCCUGGUCUCGUCGACGUAUUUCUCCUAAACACCGGUCCCCCAGUUUCUGGUGUUGGGUAAUGUAGUGGACCAGCAGUAGAAACUCGAUAGUACUCGCUCACGUGGGACUGGAAAAGGCUGCCAAGAGUCGUGUCGCAUUUAAUUGCGGACGGGGUGACGUGGCGAAAAUCCCCCCCUCCAUUUGAAUUUCAAACCGACGGUUAUGAGGCCCUCGGGAUUCGGCGCUGUUAAAUGCUGGCAACCCAAGAGUCCGUCCCCAUUAGAAAAACCAAAUCCUCUCGAACGGCAUAUUCAUCAUCCACUACGUCUCCGUCUCUGUCUCUCCGGCAAAGAAGUUCCGGCAUAAAAGUCCUCCAUCUCUGAUUUUCACCGACUGAACCAUUACUUCAGGUAUUUCUUCUAUCUCCUUGGCCUCGGAUAGUUGUAGAUAAUUUCUCUUUUCUUCUGUUUGGGUAGUAGUUGGUGGUGUUGUGGUUAGAGCUUAGGGAAUGUCGAAAGGCAAAGAGAAGGUCAUUGAGGUUGACGACGACGAGUUGGACUUCCUGCCUAGUCUGCUCACCGACCCUGCUUUUGACCCCGGGAUUCCCUUAGAGCCCACUAGGUCUAGUGUCGGGACUAGUGCUAGGAGGAUGUCUCCCCAAACAACCUCUACGAGCGGAAGUAGUGGUGAGGAGAGAUCUUCUGACUCUGAGGAUACGUUGAGUGAGAAUGGCGAAGGUGAUUCUGGUGAGGUGUCUCCAUCUAGAACAUCACGACCAGGAGAACGGGGUACAGUAGGAGGCAGAGCCUUGUCGCGCGAUUAUGCCAUUGAUUACAUGACGUGCACGACCUCGUUUGACGAGCUCAAGGACCUCCGGCUUAGGUAUAGCAUUCCUGGUGAGAUACCUCUCAAGGUCCCAGGAAAGAAGGAUGCUCCCAGCCGGCCUCCUAGGGGAUACGUUACCCUGUUUUUAGAGAGCUUUAAGUACGGGCUGAGGUGUCCCUUGCAACCCUACUUUGCCCGGAUACUUAACGGGCUAAACCUAUCUCCUGGUCAGCUGAAUCCCAAUGGGUGGAGAGUGCUCUCUGGUCUGUUCAUAUUGUGGGACAGAUGUUGCCAGAGCGAGCCCACGGUUGAUGAGGUGAGACACCUGUACCAGCUAAAGAGCAGCCCCAAAGAUGCCGGCUGGUACUACUUCCAAUCUAGCACCAAGAGCAGGAAACCUAUAACCGACCUCCCCACUGGUGGUGGUGGGAAUUGGAAGAGAAAGUUCUUUUUUGCUGGGGGUCCUUGGGGUCAGGUUGCACAAAUGAACGGGAAGGAUUAUCGGGUCCCACCCCGUUUCACGGUCCCAGGUUGCCUGCUUGCUUUUAGAUGUCUUGUAUCCAUAAGUGUUCUUGCUUUAUUGGCUUGUCUCUAACCAAGUGUCUGUUUGUGUUGUAGUUUCUUGGGGUGUUCACUUCCCGCUCCCACCCGACCAGCUCAAACGGGUCGAGGAUGUGCUCGCCAAUUCCUGCUCGAGCCGGGAACUGUUAACUACGUACAACUUGCUCGAGUCUCGCUUGAUACUUCCUGGCCAUAGGAUGGAGGACGCUGUGAUUGGGGCUCUGACCCGAAAACGUUCUCGACCCCCAACCACGAAGAGGGACCAGAGUAAGGAUGCCCCUGUGGCAAAGCGGGCCAACAUCGUGCAGCAGGUCCCACCCUUGAAGAUUUUACCUCCUGCUCCCGUAAAAAUUGGGGAAGCUGGUGGAGCUGCCACAGAUCCUGCUUCCUCUCCUCCUCCUGUCGGGCCCCGAUCUCACUUACCUGACAGCCGAGCAGAACAUCUGGUCCUCUACUUCAAUGAGUUAACUAAACUCGUGAGCAGGAAGGAUCUGGAGGACUUUGACGGCCGCACCUUGGGUGAGUUGGUGGGGGCCAUGCAGCAUAGCGCUUUCCACCUCAGCUGCAUGACCACCUAUUACAAGGCUAAGGUUGGCCGCUAUGACCGGAAGAUGAAGGAGGAUAUUCAAUCGGCGACGACCAGAGCUGACGUUGCCGAGAAGAAAGCAGGGGAGCUGAAUCUCGAGAAUCUGAAGCUGAUGGAGCAAGAAUCACUUGCUCAAGCAAAAGCCAUCGCCCUCGAGGAGGAGCUUAUCAAGGUCAGGGAGGAUCUGCAAAGGCAGAAGACAAUGUAUGAGGCUCAGCUCGAAUCUCUUCGCGACUCCCACCGAGCUCAGGCCGAGAACUUGGAGAGGGAGGCCGACAACCAGUACGACCAGGGACUUCGGUAUUCCUAUCGUUGCAUCAUGGCCGUCCUCGGGAAGCAACACCCUGAUCUGAAGAUGGGUGACCUUGCGGCUGGUGUUGCUCAACAUAUGGACGAGGAGGCGGCCAAGGAGGAUGCCAAAGGGGUAGAGCCGAUCGUGAUAGAGGAGGAAAACUCUCCUCCUCAUGUAGUCCCUGCUGAUGUUGGCGAGGCGAGCACCCACCCCAAUGCCUCUAGUGAUACCCCUCCUGCACCUGAGGAGGUCCAGCCAACCGAUGCCGCUGGGCUCACUGAUCCACCAUCUUCUUGAUAUAUUUCUUGUAUUGUAAUGACAAUGUUUAUGAAGAUUAUUCCCUCUGUUAAUUAUUAACAAAUUAAUAAAAAUGUUUUUGAUCACCUUCUUGUGUCGUAAUUACGAAUUAAUUUUCGUUUGAGAAUCUGCUUGUCUUUGUCUAAACGAGCAGGUUCCGGCUUGGCUCAUGGUUUUGCCACAUGCCUUUGAAGAUUUUUCAAUGCUUGGGAUUCGGUUUGCCUUCGCGCAGUUGAGCAGAUCCUGGCACGCUUGGCUUCUGUCUCGCCAUAAGAUAGGCUUUGAGACUUGACGAGCCUUUGCAUGCCUUGGAUUCUUCAAAGCUCAGGAUUCUGCUGCCUUCUCGUGGCCGAGCAGAUCCUGGCAUGCUUGGCUUCUGUCUCGCCAUAAGACAGGCUUUGAGACUUGACGAGCCUUUGCAUGCCUUGGAUUCUUCAAGGGUUGGGAUUCUGCUGCCUUCUCGUGGCCGAGCAGAUCCUGGCAUGCUUGGCUUCGGUCUCGCCAUAAGACAGGCUUUGAGACUUGACGAGCCUUUGCAUGCCUUGGAUUCUUCAAGGGUUGGGAUUCUGCUGCCUUCUCGUGGCCGAGCAGAUCCUGGCACGCUUGGCUUCUGUCUCGCCAUAAGACAGGCUUUGAGACUUGAUGAGUCUUUGCAUGCCUUGGAUUCUUCAAGGGUUGGGAUUCUGCUGCCUUCUCGUGGCCGAGCAGAUCCUGGCAUGCUUGGCUUCUGUCUCGCCAUAAGACAUGCUUUGAGACUUGACGAGCCUUUGCAUGCCUUGGAUAAUUUCUUGGUUUCAAGCGUAAAAUUGCUUCAUUAAUGGCAGGAUUCGACUUACAUAAAAUUGUUUGGGACAUAAAGCGUAAAAGAUAAACGAUAAUGAGCAUGAGCAGAAAUAGCUCUCAAAUGUGAACAAAUCUUACUGGAAGUAUUUUCGGAGGUGUGCUGCGUUCCAUGGGCGUUUCACCUCGUGGCCGUCCGCGCGAACCAGCCUGUAAGCUCCGGGUCCCGCUAUCUGCUUGACUCUAUAUGGCCCUUCCCAAUUCGGUCCCAGCACUCCUUGAGUCGAAUCUUUGGUGCUCUGAUUCACUCUUCUCAGUACCCAGUCUCCGACCCUGAAUUGCCGUAUGUUCACCUUCUGGUUAUAAUACCGAGCAACCCUCUGUUGGUAAGUGACUGAUCGCUCGGCUGCUUGCUCCCUCCUUUCCGUCAGCAGAUCAAGAUUCAAACAUAUCUGCUCGUCGUUCUCCUGCUCAUUGAAAUGAUCUGUCCGGUGUGUGGUCGUUCCUAUCUCAGCCGGCACGACCGCUUCGUGUCCGAAAGCCAAAGCGAACGGUGUCUCCCCCGUUGCGGUUUUGUGGGUUGUUCUGUAUGCCCAUAGCACACCUGACAGCUCGUCAACCCACGCACCCUUUUUUGCACCAAGCCUGGUUUUCAAAAGCCUCUUGAUGGUCUUGUUGGCUGCUUCUACUUGUCCAUUCGAUUGAGGGUGAGCAGGCGAGCAAUACUUCAGCUCUAUCCCGAGGUUCUGGCAGAAAUCCCUGAAGCUGUGAUUAUCGAACUGCCUGCCAUUAUCCGUUACCAAGGCAUAAGGGAUCCCGUAUCGACAGACCAGGUUUCUCCACACGAAGUCUGUUGUUUUCUUCUCCGUGAUCCUGCUAAGGGCUUCCACCUCUAUCCACUUCGUGAAGUAAUCUAUAGCAACUAUUGCAUGUGUUGCUGCUCCUCGUCCUUUUGGCAAUGGGCCGAUCAGAUCAAUUCCCCAUUGAGCAAACGGCCAAGGGGAGGCCAUAGAGGUGAGCUUCUCUGGUGAUUGGUUGGAGAAAUUUACAAAACUCUGGCAGCUUGCACAACCCCUGGUCUUCUUUUGCGCAUCCUGGUGCAUUGUCGGCCAGAAAUAUCCCUGCCUUAGGACCUUGUGGGCCAGGGACCUCCCGCCAGAAUGAUUUCCGCAAAUUCCUUCAUGUACUUCUCUCAGCACGUAAUCCGCGUCGUCGUCAUCCAAACACCGAAGGAACGGUAAUGUGUAUCCUCGCCGAUACAGUACCCCAUCGAUCAUCGUGUAUCUCGAGGCCUGAGCUCUAAUCUUCCGAGCUCGCAGCUUAUCUGGUGGUAAUACCCCGUCUCUAAGGUAUGAAACUAUCGGGUCCCUCCACGAGCAUUUUUGUUCUAUCCGCAACACCCCCAAAUUCUGCUCGAUACUUGGGCUGGACUUCACUUCUAGAGGGACGGACUUUGGCAUUUUUGGGUCGGCUACUGCUGCCAUCCUAGCCAAAAUGUCUGCUCGACUAUUCUGCUCCCUGGGGAUUUGUAUCACCUCCACUGCUUCGAACUUCCCCAUCAUCUGCCUGACUAUCUUCAGGUACUGUUCCAUCUUCUCCUCUCUUGGUUGGAAUCUUUCACUGACAUGAUUCGCAACCAGCUGGGAAUCAGUUCUGAUCUUAACUCUGUCUGCUUUCACGGCCCUAGCCAAUUCCAGGCCUGCUAUCAAGGCUUCGUACUCUGCCUGGUUAUUUGUGACUGCAAAUUCCAACUUUACAGCAUAAGAGAUCUCCUCCCCCUCUGGGCCUUCCAGGACAAUCCCUGCUCCUGAACCCCGCUCCCCUGAUGACCCAUCUACAGACAUCUGCCAUACUUGAGUUUCGUCAUUGCCUAUAACUGCAUCUUGUUGACCUAAGCAUGUUUCGGGCUCUGUGAAUUCAGCUACGAAAUCGGCCAUUGCCUGGGCCUUUAUCGCUGCGCGGGGUUUAUAGUCUAUGUCGAACUCGCUCAGCUCUACAGCCCACUUGACGAGCCGCCCAGAGGCAUCUGGCUUGUGCAGAGUCUGACGCAAUGGCUGGUCUGUUAUUACCGAGAUCGGGAAGGCUUGAAAAUAUGGCCUCAACUUCCGAGCAGCAACCACAAGGGCAAGUGCCCAUUUCUCCAACGGUGGGUACCUGGUCUCAGCGUCGAGCAGGGCCUUGCUGGUGUAGUAUAUCGGAUACUGAACUCCUUCUUCCUCUCUCACCAGAACAGAACUGGCGGCCCGAUCCGAUACCGCCAAAUACAGAUACAACUUGUCCCCAUUCCUCGGUGUGGACAGCAGCGGAGCUUGCUGCAAGUAUUGCUUCAAGUUCCGGAAGGCUUCCUCGCAUUCUGGGGUCCAUUCUGUUUUCUUUCCCCUCCUUAUCACUUGAAAGAAUGGCUGACACUUAUCUGUAGCUUUGGAUAUGAAUCUGCUCAACGCCGCCAACCUCCCCGUGAGGCCCUGCGUCUCCUUCAGGUUACGAGGAGACGUCAUUUGCACAAUCGCCUGGAUUUUCUCGGGAUUUGCUUCAAUCCCCCUAUGGCUCACCAUGAAUCCCAGGAAUUUCCCUGACUCGACCCCAAAAGCACACUUCUCCGGAUUGAGCUUCAUCUUAUACUUCCUCAAAAGCUCGAAUGUCUCCUCGAGGUGUCUGACAUGUUCCUUCGGGAUCUUGGACUUGGUGAUCAUGUCAUCCACGUACACCUCCAUGGUUUUCCCGAUCAACGGCUUAAAGACUUUGUUCACCAGCCUUUGAUAGGUGGCCCCAGCAUUCUUGAGACCGAAUGGCAUCACCCUGUAACAGAACAAACCUUGGUUAGUGAUGAAAGCCGUGCUCUCCUCAUCCUGCUCGUACAUGGGGAUCUGGUUGUAUCCCGAGAAUGCGUCCAUGAAGCUAAGCAGACCAUGUCCAGCUGUUGAAUCUACUAGCUGAUCGAUCCUUGGUAAAGGGAAGCUGUCUUUUGGGCACGCCUUGUUGAGGUCUGUGAAAUCCACACACAUCCUCCACUUGCCGUUUGCCUUCUUUACCAACACCACAUUUGAUAUCCACUCUGGGUAACUGACUUCCCGAAUGAACCCUGCUCUCAGGAGCUUCUCCACCUCGUCAUUUACAGCCUCAUACCUCUCCUGGUUGAAGCACCUCCUCUUCUGCCUUACUGCCCGAGCACCUUUCUUUAUUGCCAGCUUAUGACACGCUACCUCAGGGUCAAUCCCUGGCAUGUCUUCAUGUGUCCAGGCAAACACAUCAGCAUGAGCCUGUAAGCAUUUCACCAACUCCUGCUUUUGCUCUCCCUUCAGUCUCGACCCGAUUCUGAUCGUCUUUCCCGGGUUCUCUGGUCCCAUGCUUACCGUUUCCAGAUCCUCUACAGGUUCUUGUCUGCCAGUCUUGUUUUCUACUCGGGUAUCGAAGGAUGUUAUCUGCAUUGCCUCCCUUGCUGCCGAGGAGUAGCAGCUUCUUGCGAUCCUCUGGUCUCCUCGUACCACUCCUACUACCCCAUUCACCCGGUACUUCAGAGCCAGAUAAUGGUUGGACAAUACCGCUUUGCUCAUCCUUAAAAACGGCCGACCUAGGAUCAUCUGGUAAGGACCUUCCUCAUCCACUACGACAAAGUCCAGUAUCAUUGUUCUUUCUGUUAGGGGGCUCCCAAUUGUGAUAGGUAGUUCGACCACGCCCAGGGGAACCAGCUUCCCUCCUCCGAACCCCUUCAAGGAGGUGUUGGUGUAUUCCAACUUCCGGUCGGCUAUUCCCAUCUCUUCCAGGGUUGACUUAAAUAACACAUCAACUGAGCUCCCUGUAUCAACCAGUAUCCGGUCAAACUUCUUGCUAGCGACCGUAGCCUUGAUGACUAAGGCAUCCUCGUGGGGGUAUAGGAUCCCUUCCUCAUCCUCAUCCGUCCACAUGAUUGGCACUUGCCUGACCCUUGCCCGUUUGGCUGCUGGGGUGUUGAGGAGUACCUCUUUACUGGUCAUGGCGUACCUAGCAUAAUUUUUUCUCGAUCUGUUUGAAUCUCCGGCCAACGUUGGGCCCCCCGCUAUCACCCUUACUGCGGGCUGCUCGUGCCUCAAGAUUCUAUCACUCUGCUCCCCUUCAUCUGUUGUGGCCACCAUCGGGAAAGUCCCAUCCAUAAACUCGUCCAGGUACCGAUUUCUCACCAAAUCUUCGACUUGGGUCUUGAGAUCUCUACACUCUGCUGUGGUAUGGCCAUGGGUGCCAUGGAACUUACAAUAACGUCCUCUAUCCCUCCUGUUGGGUAGCUUUGUUAUUGAUGUAGGGAGGUGCAGCAGCCCUCGAUCCUUUAUAGCCUCGUACACCUCAUCCAGGGACAUCUUCAAGGGAGUGUACCGCCCAUAGUCCUGGUGCUGGUCGAUCCGAUGUACUGCUCUUUCUCUGUUUGUCCCGCUCUGAGUUGGGGGCGGUAGAAGUACUUCUGGUCUGCUCGUCCUGCUACCGUGGGAAUGUUGAUGAAGACCACCAGAUGCCGGAUCAUUUCUUGUCCAAGGUUCCCUAGCUGGGGAACGAGGAGGUUGCGCCCUGCUGCGCUGAUACUGUGGUGGCCUCUGAUGAGGCUGGUAAGCAGUGACCCUGCCUCCUGCUCCACUACCGGAGGCCUGGUGGUCCCUCCUCCUGAUCGGCCCGUUCCCUGGUAAUGCUUUCAUCUCUCUCCUCCCCAACCCUUCUAUCUGGUCUGUCUUGAUCCGUGCAGCCUUCUCCUCUUCAAUCUCGAUGUCUCUUUUAGCCUGUUCGUAUGCGGCCGCAUACGUUUGAAUAGCUGGGCUUCUCAAAUUGUACCACAGCCUUCCUAUCUUCACCCCUUCUUUCAAUCCCCUUAACGCCUGAGGGUGGUUGAAGGCUCCCAAGUCGAGGACAGCCCGAUGAAACCUCUUGAUGAAUUCCGGAAGGGUUUCUUGCUCCCCCUGUUUCAUGCUUUUUAGCUCCAUCAUGUCAUCUUCCGGUGACAUUGCCCUACUGAACUGCUCCGCGAAUUCCUGGCACAUCUGCUCGAAGGUUUUAAUGCUGCCCCGAGGAAGUUUCAUGUACCAUUCUCGUGCACGUCCCUCAAGGGAUAGUGGGAACACCCUGCACCUUUGGGAUUGAGAUAAUCCUUGUACCCCAGUUAUGUCGUUGAAGCGCUCUAUGUGCAUCAGCGGGUCAGUUCUUCCCGUGUAUCUGAAGUCGGGGAGGCGGAAAUCUCUCGGAAUAACUGCCCUCAUGAUCUCUGCUGCGAGCGGUGAUUCUCCGUCCAGCAUUAUCCUCCAACCAGGGGCUCUGUUCCUCCCUUGCAUAUCGUCAAUUAUCUGCGCUAGUCUGCGCACUUCCUCCUCCAGCUGCCCUGCACGACCAGGGUCACGUGCUGCAACUUGAUCCCGCUCUUGCUCUACAUCUUGCAAGUGUUGCCUCAACUCGGUUUCCUCUGCAUUCACCACCCCGUCGUCCGCGUCACAAGUCUGUCUUGCCGGGGACCGCUCUCUUUCUCUAUGAAAUUCUCCCCGUAGAGGUGCGUUACCUCUCUCACCACCAAAUCUCCCUGUGGUUUGACUUCUCCCCGCACUAUCGGGACCUGGUGCCACUCCACCGCCUCUCACCCUUCCCUCUUGAGUUACCCUUCGCUCGCUCCGUAGCUCAUGCAGGAUGGUUGUCAAGGUCUCCAUCUGCUUUUCCAUCCGUUCCAUCCGGUCGAACAUGACUUUUCCCGUGCUUCACUGACUAUCUCCCUCAGCGUCACGAAAUCGUUAAGCCUCAUAUCACCCCCUUGUGCACUACUUCCUCCUGUCUCCAUUGCUUUUUGCUUACUCCACCCCUCUUCUUGCUAUCAACAGAAGCUUUUUGCUCUGGGUCCCCACAGACGGCGCCAAAAUGUUGAUGCGAGAUUCCGGUUCUCCUCGUUCUACGACCAGGAUCUCUGCUCGAUCAACUUUACCACGACCAGGAGGUCUCCUAGUAAUGCUUCUUCUCCAGAUGUCCCUGCACACACAGACAAGUCAGAGUACGCCGGUUGUUCUCCCGGCGUAAACCCUCCGACGCUCAAGUCAGAUAUGAAGGUUCGGGGAACGCUUGCCACAGGUCUUAUGGCUUUUUCGUGGUUUUCUCUUUUAUCUUAAAAAUGCUAACCCUUUUACCUUCGUUGGCUACCUUUUUAUAGGCUUCUCCGAAUCCCCGUUUUCCGCUUUUUGCCAGACGGUAUGGGACUCUGACUGCUGCGUCAUGGGCGAAGGUGGGAUCUUGCGUGUUACGCCACGGUUCUGGGGAAAGCGUGGCUGUCGUGCCUAGAUUCUCGGGCUGGAGAGCAUGUCUUGCCAACUGCCGUCGACCGGGUCUCCUCGCUUCUCGACCUCUAGCCGGAAUGAUCUUAUGCCUCUUACAGGAAAUUGACCUCGCGGAUGACGUGCUCGUGGACGAGCAUGAUAUUUCUGCUCCUGUUCCCCCGCGCAUCAGGCUUUUACGGAACACACCGGCUCGAGGAACUCUGCCCCCAGAUAUCUGCUCACCAUGCCUGGUCUCGUCGACGUAUUUCUCCUAAACAUCUGCUAUAAUAGCAGUUGUAAAUAUAUGUGUAAUGCAGUAAUAUGAUGAUUAAUCAGUAUUCAAAACACAAUAAAAGUUUCGUACAGAUUUUGAUAUUGAGAGUAACACAAUAAAAGUUUCAUACAGAUUUUGCAAACGAAAAGCACAUAAUACACUUAACUAGGAGGAAAAAUUAAGGUGUAUUUAUUACAAAUUGCUAACAAUAUACAAUUGUAAAAAUCACUCUUAUGAACUCACAAAUACUAGGCAGCAAUAAGAGUAUGAUACAACCAUUCUAAAUGAAAGAGAAUACAACUGUUUUACAACUAUGUCACAUCAAGAGAUAUGUUAGCAGGAUUAAUCCAGAUACCUUCGAACCCAAUUAACGAACUCGAGUCAGAAACCAGGGGCCCCUAACUAAACCUUACAAUCUUGAAGGAAGAAGGAGACUCGUGGUCCAGAUAGGUGACUUACUAGAUCUCCUGCAAAAGAGAAUAUCUAUUGCUUUGAACCUCCAUUGAAAUUUUUUUUUCCCUUUUUCUUGUUUUGACUUGGAACUUUCCAACAUCAUCUAUUUGAUCUUUUUUUAAGGUAAAAUAGCAAUCUAUAGGUUGCCAACAUGUUAUUCUGCCAAACCCCACCCCACCCCCCCGGGGGACAACAAAUCGACCUAGCACACACCUUUCUUCAUUGCCCACACCUACAGAACUAUAAUAAAAAGACUACGUUACUAUUGGGGUAGAGAAAAUAUACAGACUGUAUUAUUAUUACAUCGCAUUUUACUAAUUAACUAGUGCAAGACUUCUUUAGUGUCAAAUCAAGAACUAAUUAGAAAAGACAACUCAUGAUAAUACAGACCUUAAUAAGCAAUUGCUAACAACAUCCCAUAUACUCCUAUUUUAGCCUUCAUUAUCCUGGUAAAAACACAAAUAAGUCUUGCAAACGAACAUUUAUAAGUAAAUUCAACAUUAAUUAAGAUUAGGUAUCUACUGCACCUAAUAGCAUGGUCAACCAUCUAGUUCCUGUAGCCUUCCAUGUACCUAUGUUAGUUACAUUUUACAUAUUAAGCCACGAAAACGAAGAAUCACAGCCUGGUAAAGAAAGACAUUAAUUAAUAGUUUUUGUUUAAAAAGUUCUCCUUUAGAUCUUUCCUAUUCAAUGAAUCAAUGUAAUCUAAAGAGAACUCUUCCAUUUCAAACAGUGUUAGAAGGUAUUUGCAAAGCCUAAAGAUAAUAUACAAGGACCAAGAUAUACACAGAUGGUUUCUUUAUGGAAUUAAAGAGCUUUAUAGAUGUUAAAACUGUUUCAAACAAUUUUUCUUGUUUGGUUUAACUAAGGAAAAGCUUGUGGAAGAUUAAAAAUGAUGUUUCCUAUUCUCUGUAGGAAACUUUUAGGAGAUUUUUUGGGCUUUUUUGAAAGGUUGAAUUGUCAAAAAUACCUUGAUGUUAUUGUUUGCUAAAAGAUGUUACGGACAUCUAAACAACCAACAACAUUUUGUUAAAAGCUCUACUAGUGUAGGAUCUACUUAAAGAAGCUAUACCAAACAGACUCUUAGACUGAAUAACUCGAUCUUAAGUUUGUAAAAUUGGGCUCAGAAUCUCCACUAACAACCCCGCUUCGGUGAGAAAGCCCAAGCCUGUUACUUUGUAUAACCUUAUUCUGUAUGUUUGAUUGCAGGAACUGGCCGAUCAUACCGACGAGGUGAGUGUGCAACAUGAGGUGCUUGACGGGAUGUUUACUUUCUAUGAUUCAACUAAAGCUAGCCUCAACAUAUAUCAGGUGCCUGCUUGUUUUUACCUUCUAGAUACUAAUAUUGUUUAGACGUGUAAUCUCUCUCUCCAUUGAACGCUAGACGGCUCGUCUCAAGCCUUCUACGUACUUCAGAGUCCUUCACUAGCUUUUUAUGUAUAAAGUUUUGAUCUUUUUCCUUCAUUUGCUUGAAGCUCAUUACUGCAGAUUUUUUUUACAGGUUGGUAGUGUAACAUUCGACUUGCUGUUGCUUCUAGUCUUGGGAUCGUAUUUAAUUGUGCUUUUCAGCUUUCUUGUCAUAACAACUAGGGUAUCACUCUUUCUCCAUAUCAAGCUUGAAGUUCUAAAUUUCAGUUUUAUCUUGUAUUUGAUGUUUUAUAAUUUCAUUGCAAACAGAUUAGAAUAGAAACUUCAAAAGUUCCAACUGACUAGUCCCGUGUAACUUUUUCAGGGAAGAUUUUCUCUCAUAACAACUACGAACGUGUUAUGGUUUAGCCCAGUGACACAAAGGACAGUUUUCAACAAUUGAUCCUAGGAAGAUGCCCAUAGCUUGUUGUGCCAAAAAUAGAAAAUCUAAGAUGCGAAAAAAUUUUGUUGAGAUUCAUUUUUCAUCCUGAUGUUACCGCUGGCCUUUUUUUUUUUUUUUUUUGGCAGAGAAUAAUGCUUAUGUGAUUUCUGAACUUGGUGAUUGUUGAAAUGAGCUGAAAAUGAGCUGGAAAUGUGUUUGGUUAAUGAGAAAGAGAGCAAGAAAAUGAAAGAAAUCUAUUUCACUUUUUAUUUAUCAGCAUGAUUACAUUCACAAUGAAUCUAAGCUGCUAUUUAUACUUAAAUGACUACACACGAGAAUCUUCUUGCUAGAUACUUCUAGAAACUCUACACGCACACUCACACUGAGCUAGUGGUUACCAAAACCGUUACAACGAUAUUGCCAGCUCAGCAUAACCAACUUAUAACUAACACACUCAGCUGCAGGGGAAACCAUCAAGCUUACUGUGCGUCCUCUGUAAUCAAGCUUCUUUAAGCAUGCUCUGCAGAUCAUACGUCUGAAUUAUCGAAACAAGAUGAAUUAUUUUUUGUUUAUUGCAGCAGGCGAUCAAUGAGCGGAAUUUCUAGCUUGUAUUCAAUUCGCGAACACAGUUUGAGAAGAAUCAGACCAUUAAUUUUCUUUUGAGCCAAUCAACAGAAUGUACAUUUCUUCUAAGAACUUGUAACCGAAACCGCAGUUUUUCAGGUUUGCUCCUUCCUCAUAGCAGUUAAUCAAACGAUAAACAGAGAUAUCCCAUGUCAACAAGAAGGUAAUCAUAAAAGAACAACAGAAUUGUUGCAACAUAUUCAUAUGAAAUGUAAAACAAUUUUGAGAAAAAAUAUUGGGAAGAUAUUUUUUUUUCAUAGAAGUUGCAAUCUUUACGUUAUUUACUAGUUUGACUAGACUAUAUAAGGAAGCUAUAUGAAAUUAGAAAAAUAAGCUAUACUAGGAAAGAAUAAAUAUGUGUACAGAAAAUUAGGCUAUAAUUUUCAAAUUAGAUGCCAGUUAAUUUUAUCAUAAUUAGAUGGUAAGAUUGCAAAUUCUGCAGCCAAAGGUGGUACGGAACUGAAUGAAGGAAAUCAAAUAUGAACAUGUUUUCAAUCUUAAAAUAUUAAGAGUAGCAUAAGUAACUUGUGAAACAGUUAUAAGUUCAAGGGAAUUAGAUGAUGGCAUGGUUGAAUUUUAUAAAUAUUUGAUAUUUUGGACCGAACAGGGCAAACAGAUGGAUCCAGAUAAUCAAGAAAAACAUCAAUUCCAUGCAACCAAAUGAGUCUAGUCAAAGAAAUUAUUCAAAGAAAUCUCUAGGUCAGUAUCCAAAUAUAUGGCUCCGUCCGUUCCACCACCACAACCAAAAAAAUCAGAUCCCCCCAUUUGGAUUCGAUUGAUUAAUUUGAGCAUAUAAAAUCGGGUUUUAAACUUCCCUAAUCAAAAUUUAUAUUCCACAGAAUCAGUUCCUUUAACAUGAUGCAUUACAUAAUAUUUUGUUUGCAAAAUAAAGAAGAAAGAUGACAUAAUAGAAACACGCUAUUGCAUCUUUUGAAAAAGAAAAACGGAAUAGUUUUCCAAAAUUAAUUCCGAGAAGAAGAUUAACUAAUAAUGAUGUUAGAAAUUUUAAUAUUUGAGUCUUAAUAUUAUGUAUCACUCAUUUAUUAAAUAAUAGAUUUCAUAAUUUGUAAAAUUACUUAACCACUUGAUAAAUGUUAUAUUUGUUGGGACUAAAUUGGAACUUAAAUGUUGGAAUAUCUAGUAUUGCAUUAAAAAAUAAAUAAAAACUUAACAAUUUAUCUUCACUUGACUAAUUGUUUUUACAUCACAACUAACCUUAAUUAUUUUGAAAGUUACAGUAUUAUUAAAUUGUCCUAACUGGUUAUCCAAAGUUGAAGCAUGUUAAAAUAAAAAAAAUUACUAAGAAACAUGUGCUUAAACAGAGGUUAAAGCUAUGAACAAUUAAGAAGAAACUCUUAAUUUGGUCCCAGUUAGUAUAAUAAUCAUCUAUUGAGCGGUAAAAUAUUAAUUUUAAUAGUGAUGAAAUCCAAUAAAUAAUAGAUUACUAACACACAUAAAUUAAAACUUAACUGUCUGAAAUCAUAACAUUACUCUACUCUUCAGUGGAGUUCUCUUAAACAGAUUAUGUGAGAUUGCCUACAUUAAAAAUAUGUUAAGACUGCUUGUUGAAAGCAAUAUUCGCUUUUCCAUUAUAUCCAUAACUUUGAAUUGAUAAAGUUGUAUUCAGCAGCUCUUGAAAAGACUAAUUUAUUUUAACUAGUCAUAGAAAUAAGAGAGAAAAGGGGCUAUUUCUUGACUCAAAGUCAAUUAUAAUUAUCAAAACUUGAGGGGACAUCGCAUGCCUAAAUUCCACGCACCCUAAUACGGUUUGAUUUGCUUUCACGCGUUCAUGAAUUUCCAUGAAAGAGCCUGCCUUUCGUCUCUUUCGGGACAGUGACUACAAUAAUGGAAAAAAUUAUAAUUCUCGUUAGAUUGUAACCAAAUUAUUAUCCCUAAUUUUUUUAAGUUACAUAUAAUAAAAUUCAUGCUUAAGUAUUUAGUAAUUAGAGAGAGAUAGAGAGGAUUGAGGGCCAAUGUUUCGCGAUUUGGGGUCAAUUCAAAGUCAACUAACGUGUAAAACACGUGUAUGCAUAGAAAACGCUUAGAUUAUUUGUGUUCCAAGAAAGAAAGAAGACCCAUCACCUUCUUCGUGACAACAAAUGAAUGAAUGAUGUUGAUAUGACAAAUACAAGCGCUAUUACAGGGAACAGCAUAAGAUCGAGACUUGAUAAAGGGUUUGUUAAAUUACAUGUUAUUUUCUUUUGACUUGAAUGAUGUUGAAGAGAAAAAUCAAAUAACAUUGUAAUCAGGGUGAUGUGUGGAAUAUAGUGAAAUAAAUAAAUAGAGAAGAGAAAUUCGUUGAUCAAUAUUCAAGAACUCAUCCAAAGUGAUCGUCAAAGUCUAGAGGUUCGGUAUGAUUAGCAUUUAUUAUUAUUUUUUUUGGCUUAACAUCAUAUAUAGUCACCUGUCGUGUGAUCUAGAACAGGUUUAGAAAUCCUUUUAUUUUAACUUCCGUAUUCUUAUUAUUUAAUUAGUUAUAGGGUUCUUCAGUAUUUGAGUAUUGAUCACAUGUCUCCUAAUCUAAAAAUAUGUUUUUACGAGUACAAAUAACAAACUAGGAUUUUAACAGCCUUUUAUACUAAACCCUAAAAAUACAUGAAUUUAUCAAAAUAAGUAAAUUAAUUUAAAUUGGUAUGGCAUAAUAAAAGUUUUACCUGCCGAAACAAAUUAAAAAAAUAUUACACUUAAAUCAAAUAUUGACAAAAAUAGAUAACAAUCUAAUGAGAAUCUUAACUAGAUAUUUUUACUUCUAUCCAAUUUAACUGGAACGAGAAUUAAGUCCUUUCAAUAGUUAGGACUCAUAACUCAUACACGCUAGUUUGAGAGUGUGGGGUGUGACAAUGGGCCAAAAGACCAUUGACAAGUACAAAAGAGUGGUCGCAAUUAAUUCAAACCGCUACACACGCUAUUGCGUCUUUUAAAAAAAAAAUGGAAUAGUUUUCCAAAAUUAAUUCAGAGAAGAAGAUUUACUAAUAAUGAUGUUAGAAAUCUUAAUAUUUGAAUCUUAAUAUUAUGUAUCACUCAUUUAUUAAAUAAUAGAUUUCAUAGUUUGUAAAUUUACUUAACCACUUGAUAAGUGUUAUAUUUGUUGGGACUAAAUUGGGACUUAGAUGUUGGAAUAUCAAGUAUUGCAUAAAAAUAAAAAAUAAAAACUUAACAAUUUAUCUUCACAUGACUAAUUGUUUUUACAUCACAACUAACCUUAGUUAUUUUUUAAAGUUAUAGUAUUAUUAAAUUGCCCUAACUGGUUAUCAAAAGAUGAAAGCAUGUUAAAAUAAGAAAUUACUAAGAAACAUGUGCUUAAACAGAGGUUAAGGCUACGAACAAUUAAGAAGAAACAACUUACAAUCAAAGGUUAAGAUUAUGAACAAAUUAAGGAAGGUAUUGAGCAGAUAAAGGGACGAAAUCAUUGUCUGAAUUGCCGGUGACAAGAAUGCUUGUGUUGUGAAAAGAAACCUGAUGGUUUGUAAAUGGGUUGAAUUUUUUAUUCGGUCGCUCCAACUGACUUACUAAUGCCAAAUUUAUUACUUUGCACAGUAGUGUUUAGGAUCCUCAAGAUCAACUCUUAAUUUGGUCCCAAUUAGUGUAGAAAUCAUCUAUUGAGCAAUAGAAUAAGAAUUUUUCUAGUCAUGAAAUUCAAUAUAUAAUAUAUCCUUGACACACAUCGAUUAUAACUUAACUGUUAGAAUUCAUAACAUUACUCUACUCUCAAGGGGAGUUCUCUUAACAUAUUAUGUUAGGUUGCCUACAUUCAAAAUAUGUUAGGCUGCUCUUUGAAAACAAUAUUCCUUUUUCCGUAACUUUGAAUUGAUCCAAUAGCUCUUGAAAAGCACAUAAUAAUCAUUAUAAAUUUAAUCAAAGACUAAGCAGGUCUUCUUUCCAUUUGAUCACUCGCAUUUCAGUUAAGUUUGUCGUUUACUUAAAUUUUUCUUGCUUUCAAUUUCCACUGUUGUUUUUUUUUAUAUAAAAUAAUUUAUUUAAACUAGUCAUAGAAAUAAGAGAGAAAGGGCGCCAUUUCUUGACUCAAAGUGAAUUAUAAUUAUCAAAACUUGAGCGGACAUUGCAUGCCUAAAUUCCACGCACGCUAAAACGGUUUGAUUUGCUUUCACGCGUUCAUGAUUUUCCAUGAAAGAGAGUGCCUCUCGUCUCUUUCCGGACAGUGACUGCAAUUAUGUUAACGUGACGAAUACAAAACGUUAUUACAUACAAGAAUAAGUUUUUGGACCCGAGACUUGAGGGAGGUUCUAUCUAAUUCUAAAGAUUGUAACCAAAUCAUUAUCCCCAAAUUUUUUCAGUUAAAUAAAAUAAAAUUUAUGCUUAAGUAUAAAUAAUUUUUUAAAGUUAAAUAUAAAAUAAAAAAAUUCAUGAACUUCCUAGAAAGAAAGAAGACCCUUCACCUUCUUCGCGACAACAAAUGAUGUUGACAUGACAAAUACAAGCUCUAUUACAGGGAACAGCAUAAGACCGAGACUUGAUAAAUAUUAAAUAUAUAAAAUAAGUGGAGCAAACGAACAGAAUAAUAGAUAUUUUAUAAUAUUCUUCAUAAAAAUCCAUGUUUUGAGCCUGCCUAUAAGCUUAUCUAGUGAAGUCUGGGUAUCCGCGUUGCCCAAGGUUCCGUUUGAAUCCAGGCCGUGUAGAUGUUUAAGACAUCGCAUAUGGACGGAGUGGAAAUAUUUUCAGUUGACUGAAUUAAAUAAAAAUAUAUUACAAUCAUAUUAUAUAUUAGCAGCAAAAAUAAAAAGAAAUGAAGAAAAACGCAUGCAAGACUUAGACAAGUCAAUUAAAAGCUGGGAGUAUCAUCAGUUCAAUUGGUUAUAAAUAGCGUAGAGCCAUCCUCUCGUUGUUGCAGAACUGAAGCAAAGAGACUCAGAAAGAGUGUGUGUAGGUGAUUAUAAUUAAGAAGAUAUAAUGUGUGGUUCAAAAAGAGUGUGGGUGAGUGAGUUAAUUUUCAUAUUAUUAGUAGUAAAAGGGUGGUGGAGUGAGGGAUGUUUGGAGCAAGAGAGGUCUGCUCUCCUACAACUCAGACAUUUCUUCAAUGAUGAUCAACUUCUUCAAAACUGGGUAGACGAUGAGAAUUAUUCAGAUUGUUGUCAGUGGGAAGGGGUUGAGUGCAAUAACACCACUGGCAGAGUGAUUGAAUUAUAUCUAGGAUAUACUCGGAAAUGGGAAUCAGCAGAGUGGCAUAUGAAUGCUUCUCUGUUUACUCCCUUUCAACAAUUAGAGUCUCUUGAUUUAAGUUGGAACAAUAUAGCCGGUUGUGUUGAAAAUGAAGGUCCUUAAUUUACUUUAUUUUAAUUCUUCCUCCUCGUAAUUUCUUACAUCUAUCUGAUCCCUUUUGGCUUUUGUUUAAUUUGUACGUGAUACAAUAAAAUUACUUUUUAUUUUUUGUCAGGUCUAGAUAGGUUAUCAAGGUUGAAGUUUCUUUAUUUAGACUAUAACUGCUUCAACAACAGCAUCGUUUCAUCUCUAGGUGGUCUUUCAUCACUCAGAAACUUAUCAUUGGCUGGUAAUGAAUUGGAUGGAAGUAUUGAUAUUAAAAGUAAGUACGCUUCAACCCUUCUCCCCUGUCCCAUCUUUUGUAGAUCUUAUUUCACUGAGCAGCUGGAAGUAUUGAUACGAGAUCUAGCUAGACUCUUGUGAGUUUAGGCUUCAAGGCUUUGAAUAUUAUAAAAAUAAGUUAAAGAAAUUAUCGAUAUAUGCAAUUUUCAAUGCUUCUCAUAAUCAGACACAAUUCAAUCUAAUUAUUUCGUAUGUCCUGUCUUCAAAAGUAAAGAAUUGUACACUAAUUGGAAAUCGACAUCGUAGCUUUUUAUUUUCUAUAAUGCUCUUUUUUCGUUAACGAGUUUAUAUCCUAAGAGGGAUUGGAUUGAAAAAAAAAAAGUUUUGAUGUUCAAUGUAAGCCAUGAUAACCUGCAUCUUAUUUGUCUGCCGACAUCCAAAUUUGUGCACUGAAUUUAGUAUUUUGGUUAUUGUGAAGGGAUCAGAUAUUGGCUUCCAUAGACCAACUUGUAUUUACUUAAUUAAUUAAUUAACGACAUUUAGUAUUUAACAAAUUAAAAUUUCAUGUUUAAUCGAUUUUAAUUUUUUUAAGAAAAAAGAAAAAGAUAUAACAGCAUGUAAAGCUGAAAUAAAUUUUAAUUCCUUACAAAUUUAAAUUCAUGGUUGUCAGCUAAAUAUACCUGCUUAAAGCCACUCUUUUCGCUGAGAUUUAACCAAAAAAAAAAGGAGAAAAUAAUUUAUUUAAUUAACUCUGUUUUAAGUGUUGGAAUAAAUACAGGACUGGAAUCCUUGAGUAACUUGGAGAUGCUGGACAUGAGGGACAAUGCAAUCGACAAUCUAGUGGUUCCUAAAGGUAUACAAAAUGACACUAACCCAAAAUAAUUUAAUCCGAAAUUGUAUCCCAAAUAGAUUACAGAGGUUUGAGGAAGUUGGAUACCCUUUAUUUGGGGGGGAAGGGAAAUUGCAGUGAUAUAUGGAAGCAAGGUGUUGCAAUCAAUAAAGAAAUUCAUAGGGUCAAUAUUAAAGGACUCUCCUCCAACUCAAACAUUUCUCAAAUAGAUUAUUUAAUCUGAAAUAGUAUCUCAAAUAGAUUAUAGAGGUUUGAGGAAGUUGAAUACCUUUUAUUUGGGGGGGAAGGGAAAUUGCAGUGAUAUAUGGAAGCAAGGUGUUGCAAUCAAUAAAGAAAUUCGUUGGUCAAUAUUCAAGACUCAUCCAAAGUGAUCGUUAAAGUCUAGAGGUCUGCUCUCCUCCAACUCAAACAUUUCUUCAAUGAUGAGAAUUAUUCAGAUUAUGGUCAGUGGGAAGCGGUUGAGUGCAACAACACCACUGGCAGAGUGAUUAAAUUAGAUCUAGGAGCCACUAGGAAUCGGGAAUCAUCAGAGUGGCAUAUGAAUGCUUCUUUGUUUACUCCCUUUCAACAAUUAGAGUCUCUUCAUCUAAUUGGGAACAAUAUAGCCGAUUGUGUUAAAAAUGAAGGUCCUUAAUUUACUCUAUUUUAGUUCUUCCUCGUAAUUUCUUACAUUUAUCUGAUCCCUUUUGGCUUUUGUUUAAUUUGUACGUGAUACAAUAAAAUUAUUUUUUAUUUUUUGGCAGGUCUAGAGAGGCUAUCAAGGUUGACCAACUUGAAGUUUCUUCAUUUAGACUAUAACUGCUUCAACAACAGCAUCUUUUCAUCUCUGGUUGGUCUUUCAUCACUCAAACGCUUAUCAUUGGCUAGUAAUGAAUUGAAUGGAAGUAUUGAUAUUGAAGGUGAGUAAGCUUCAUCCCUUCUCCCGUGUCCCAUCUUUUGUGGAUCUUAUCUCAUUGACGGGUUGGAAGUAUUGAUACGAGAUCUAGCUAGACUCUUGCUAGUUUAGGCUUCAAGGCUUUGAAUAUUAUAAAAAUAGGAUUAAGAAAAUAUCAAUAAAUGCAAAUUUCAAUGCUUCUCGUAAUCAGACACAAUUAAAUCUAAUUAUUUUGUAUGUCCUGUCUUCAAAAGAAAAGAAUUGUACACUAAAUGGAAAUCGACAUUAUUGUUUGCUUUUGAUUAGUGGAUCAAAAAUCGACUAAUUUUGAUUUAACAUAAAAAUAAAAAAGAGAAAAUAAGUUAUUUAAUUAACCCUGUUUUAAGUGUUGGCAUAAAUGCAGGACUGAAUUCCUUGAGUAACUUGGAGGAGCUGGACAUGAGCGACAAUGCAAUCGACAAUCUUGUGGUUCCUAAAGGUAUACAAAAUGUUCAAAUAUUAAUAAUUUGGAGGACAGUUUAAUUGAUUUGAUUAGGGAAUGCCCAAUGACACUUACCCAAAAUAAUUUAAUCUGUAAUUGUAUCCAAAACAGAUUUCAGAGGUUUGAGGAAGUUGAAUACCCUUCGUAUAGGGGGAAGCAGAAUUCGAAUGAUAGAUGGAAGCAAGGUGUUGCAAUCAAUAGGAUCACUACCGUCCCUCAAAACACUUGACCUUUGGUAUACUAAUUUUACGGGAACAGUAGUUAAUCAAGGUAAGUAAAUCUUUUAUGUCGAAAAUAAUUGAAUUAAUAUAUAUAGCUAAAAUUUAUUGUUUCUACUUCUUUCUAAAUAGAGUUGCACAAUUUCACCAACUUGGAAGAAUUGAUAUUGCUCGGGUCUCAUCUCCACGUAAGCCAGCUUCUGCAAAGCAUCGCAUCAUUCACUUCGUUAAAGAAUUUGUCAAUGCCAGUUUGUACCCUUACAGGUGCCGUACAUGGUCAAGGUAAAUUACGGGUAUCUGAAGCUUUUAUGAUAUUAAUUCGAUAAUAAUUCUUUCUUUUCAAGUUAAUUUUCUCCCGUAAAAUAAUAUUUUUUUCUUUUAAAUUUUAUAUAUUUUCACCGUCCAAUAGAAGAGUAAAGAAAAAUAAGUAAAUUAACCCAAAAAAAAGAAAAGAACAAGACCGGAUUAUCCUUAUUCCCUUGCAUUAUGCGAUCAAUAUCAAAAUUAUAACCAUUUCUUGUUUAUUGCUUGUAGAUUUUCGUAAAUUCAAGAAUUUGGAACAUCUGGACAUGGGUGGGGUGCAAGUUGAUGUCAACACCAGUUUUCUUCAAAUUGUCGGCGAAUCAAUGCCUUCUCUUAAGUUUUUAUCACUGGCAGAUUCAAGUCUUAAUAAAAACACCAUUCUUGAUCAAGGUUAAUUAAUGAUUCUCAUUCUCCCUCUCUCGCAUCAUAACUAAAUUUAAUGGAGAAUAUCUAUAAUGCGAGCUAUUUAUAAACUUAAUGAAAGAUGAUAAGGAGCCAUAAUAAUGACAAAAAUAAUUGUAAAAUAGUGCACUGUUGUAGUGUUGAUUGAAAAAUAAUGCUAAUGUUUUACCUAACAACACUAUAACGUCGGAUAAUUUUUAAUAUGUACUUUAAACUAUCAGUACUCAAACUAUCAGUACUCAAACUUAAUUUUUAAUAUGUACUUUAAAGAUUUUAUGCAAUUAUUUAAGUUUUAUGCAAUUAUAUUUUUCAGGACUUUGUCGGUUAGUGCAUCUGCAAGAGUUAUACAUCAGCAGUAAUGAUUUGAGAGGUAGCUUGCCAUGGUGCUUGGCAAAUUUGACUUCCCUUCGAGUAUUAGAUGUCUCUUACAAUCAACUAACUGAAAACAUCUCCUCAUCUCCCCUCAUGCAUCUAACAUCUAUCGAAGAGCUCAUACUUUCAAAUAAUCACUUCUUCCAAAUCCCUAUUUCACUUGAACCACUUUUCAAUCUCUCAAAACUCAAGACUUUCGAUGGUGAAAUAUGCGCAGAAACUGAGUCACAUUAUAAUUCUUUGACCCCAAAAUUCCAACUGACUUCUAUCUCACUGUCUGGUUACAUAGAUGGUGGCACAUUUCCCAAAUUCUUGUACCAUCAGCAUGACUUGAAGAAUGCUGAUCUCUCACACCUUAACUUGAGUGGAGAAUUUCCAAAUUGGUUGCUAGAAAACAAUACAAACUUAGAGACGCUUCUUCUUGCCAACAACUCUCUUUUUGGAUCAUUUCGGAUGCCAAUUCAUUCCCACCAGAAUUUAGCAACAUUGGAUGUCUCUAAAAAUUUCUUUCAAGGCCAUAUUUCGGUGGAAAUCGGAACAUAUCUGCCAGGUUUAAUGGAUUUAAACUUAUCUAGAAAUGCUUUCAACGGUAGCAUUCCCUCUUCAUUUGCUGAUAUGAAAAUGUUGGAAAGGUUGGACAUAUCCUACAAUCAGUUGACUGGUGAAAUCCCAGAGCGCAUGGCCACAGGUUGCUUCUCAUUAGAAAUUCUUGCAUUGUCAAACAACAGUUUGCAAGGUCAUAUAUUCUCUAAAAAAUUUAGCUUGACAAAUUUGACGACGUUGCAGUUGGAUGGUAAUAAAUUCGCUGGAGAGAUCCCAGAAAGCUUAUCUAAGUGCUAUUUGUUAGAAGGAUUAUAUCUGAGUGAUAAUCAUCUCACUGGUGAGAUUCCAAGAUGGUUGGGUAAUUUGUCAGCUUUGGAAGAUAUUAUAAUGCCCAAUAACAAUCUUGGAGGGCCAAUUCCAAUCGAGUUUUGUCAGCUUGAUUCUCUGAAGAUUUUAGACCUUUCAAACAAUAGUAUUUUCGGAACCUUACCAUCUUGCCUUAGUCCAGGAUCUAUUGAACAACUUCAUUUGUCAAAAAACAAGAUAGAAGGACGAUUGGAAAGUAUAAUCCAUGACAGCCCUUAUUUGGUGACAUUAGAUCUUAGUUAUAACAGCUUACACGGAAGUAUUCCAAAUCGGAUUGACAGACUACCUAAGUUAAACUACCUUCUUUUGGCUAAUAAUUAUAUUGAAGGCGAAAUACCAGUUCAAUUAUGCCAUUUGAAGGAAGUGCGGUUGAUUGAUCUUUCUCAUAAUAAUCUAUCUGGUCAUAUUCCUCCUUGCUUGGUUAACACUUCACUCAGUGAAGGUCAUCAUGAGGCAGUAGCUCCAACUCCAAGUGGAUCUUCGAUGGGAAAGGAAGAAACUGUACAGUUCACAACAAAGAAUAUGUCCUACUAUUAUCAAGGAAGAAUUUUGACGAGUAUGUCUGGGAUUGAUCUUUCUUGUAACAAACUGACAGGUGAGAUUCCUACUCAAAUUGGAUAUCUUACUAGGAUUCAUGCACUAAAUCUAUCUCAUAACAAUUUGACGGGCACAAUCCCGACAACAUUUUCAAACCUGAAGCAAAUCGAAAGCUUGGACCUCUCCUACAACCUACUGCAUGGGAAAAUCCCUUCUCAGCUCACCGUGCUAACUACAUUGGCGGUCUUCACAGUAGCAUACAAUAACUUAUCAGGCAAAAUCCCAGAUAGAGUCGCACAAUUUUCAACUUUUGAGGAAGAUAGCUAUGAGGGGAAUCCUUUUCUUUGUGGAUGGCCACUGUCUAAAAGUUGCAAUGAUAGUGGAUUAUCAGCAGUGACACCAGAAGCUUACACUGAUAAUGAAGAAGGUGAUAGUUUAAUUGACAUGGACAGUUUCCUGAUCACUUUUACAGUAUCUUAUGGAAUUGUGAUAUUAGGAAUUAUUGGAGUUUUGUACGUAAACCCCUAUUGGCGGCGAAGAUGGUUUUACCUUGUUGAAGUGUGUAUGACCUCUUGCUACUAUUUUGUGGCAGACAAUCUUGUUCCUAGAAGAUUCUAUGGUGGAUGGAUGUAAUUUCAUUUACUUUACAACUUAUAUGUUAUUUUUAAAGAAUUUUCUUUUGCAUGCAUGGAAUAGCAACUCAAUAAAAGUAUUUGAUGCAAAUUGUCCAAGAACAACUUAGUAAUUUCAUUGCUACUAUUCGGUUGUAUAUAUACAGUUAAUGAAAUUUUUAAUCAUUCGCAGUAGGAAUUUCUUUAAAUGGCGGCCAAAACCAACAGAUUUGGGGCUCUACCUCUACACAUCAUAACAGGCAAAAGGUCUCUCUUUUACACUAUCUGAAUGAAGAUUAGCUUACGCCCCUGGAGUUCUCUAUUAAACUUGACGGUUGAGAUUUCAGGUCCAGAUGAAAGUUAAAUGCAGGCGACGAGACUACACUUUAAGUAAACUGGGACAAACUUAAAAUAAAUAAAAAUUAUAGUCCAGGGUAAGAGUAAUGGGUAGCUCAACUUAUGGAGUAUAACUAGGACUUGGAAUAACUAUCAGAUUUGCAACUCUUGUUAUAUGCUUGGGAGUUACAGUAAUCGAUUCAUUUCCUCCAUUUCUGAUGGUAACCCAGCUCUAUACAAGAACAAUCAGAGAAGGUUCAUUUAAGAAAUUUCACAACCCACGCUUUUUUUUCCUUUUUGCCCUCUUCCUCACAAUAAAAACACCUAACACACCAAGCCGUGCACAAAAUAGUCCUAUUUUAUUCAUGUCAUGAAUCCAAAAACUAUCCCAGCUCACUUUGUUUAACCAGCAUAACUAAAUUGUGGGUAUAAAUGAACACACUUUCGAAGCCUGUAACUUAUAAUAAGCUCAAACCCAAAAAUGACAUUUAAAUCCUGCAAGUGUUUUUCAUCAUCCCUAACAAAAAGAAACAAGAAUAAUUAUAUACCAAUAAUUUUUCCAUAAAAAAUACUGAUACCAAUAAUUUUUCCAUAAAAAAUACUGAUUUGAGUUGAAACACUAUACAAACUGGGUUUUAUACACUUGCAGAAAGCUACACGAUAGACAAAAUCUAGCAGCUACAUAAUGGUAUCACUUUCAGCUGGUCAUGAAUGGUGUGCAUUCAGCAGUGCUCGAUAGACCAUGUCUAUGAAUUGAUUGUCCUAUUACAUAUAAAAGCUGGUCAGCUAUACAAGGAAAAAAAUAAUAAUUGAAAAUGCAUCACAAAAAAUAAGUGUCUCGCAUUAGUGUUUGCACUCUAAGCAUGGCAAAGUGGUGCGGGUUCAUGAUUUUGAAGACUGGGAUAAGUGAAAAAUAGUUCAAUCCACUGAUGAACAUAAAUUUAUUUACAUGUCAAUUUAGAUAUCAUAAAAAAGUAAACAGUAAUUCACAGUCACUUAAAAGAGUUGAUAAAAUGCGUGCCGUGAAUGCAUUUUUGUACAUAAGAAAUCCAAAGAGUAUUUCUGACAAUACAAAUAUGCUAGCUUUAAAUCUGCUGUCAAUAUGCAAUUAAGAAGAUUAUACCAGCUGCAUGAUAAAGUUCCCCUAAUCUUAAUAACAGUAAACAUGAACAUGUCAGAUGCAAUUAUAGCUUCGAGCAUUUGCAUAACCAGAAAUCCUAACCUGAACAAGCACCAGAAGUGUCUCUCGGACUUUCUCCUUGUUGAUAAAUGGUCCGCUGUUUGAAGUAAGAGCAGGAGUAAGAGAUGGUGGAGGGGUUGGUAGUGGAAAAGGUUGAAGCAUUGGGGCACCAUAUGGGCGUUGCAGACUCAGGGGAGGAUUAAGUGGCGGAGCUGUUGGUGUAGAUGAAGAGACAAGCUGCAUCAUCUGUGCAUAGGAGGAUGGAGGAGGAACAAAGAAUAAGGAAGGCUUUACAAGAUUAGGGGUAGGUGCUGACAGAGGUGGAGAUGGUAUUUGCAAGGUUGGCACGAUAGGAGAAGCAACACUGGCGGGAUGAGAAGGUAAAGAAAUAGUUGUAUUGGACUGGUAAGGUUGUGCAGAGAUUGCUGCAUUAGAAGUAUUCCCCACAGUCAAAGCUGUCUGCAAUGAUAAGGACAGAUGUCAUAUACAAGGACAAGUGAUAACAUAUGAAAAUAGUAUGACUUGCUGCAGUUUUGUGGUAAUGUUGCAUACUUAUGCAGAAACAUAUUAUUUCAAAGAAAACAUACACUGAAGUAGUUCACAAAAGCAGGAUCUUCAGGAACAUCAGCAGCAUUUGAGGGAGUUGACUCUAGAGGACCAUCCAUAACUGCCAUAGUUGGAACAGCUUCCAGUUCCUCAAACUCACUGCAGUUUAACAUAAAAGGAACUUGAUGACCAAUUUAAGUAAUAAUUAGAUGAUAUAAGAGGUUAGGGAAAAUGAUGAGUGGACCCUUAUGGAAGGUGAUUUCACCUUAGCUAAACACGAAAAUAAAAAGAAAUCAAAGCUGAAUCCUCGAGUGCAAUGCAAAGAAUUUUUUCUCGCUCUUCUCUAACUCCUCUUAUUCGAAAUUGCUCAUCAUUGUGCUGUUCUUCGAGUUUUCGCUAGAGUAGAGAAAGCUAUUCUCUCGUUAAGUGCAGAGGAAAGAGAAGGGCAAGGGCCUGGUAUGAUGCUAUUCUAUAGGAAGUGAGAAGGUGAAGGGUUAAAAUAUUUUGUAAUUUGGAGGUGGUGUUUGUUAGUGUGUGUGUACUUCUGAAUUUAUUACCUCUUUAGGAUCCAUAGAAAUUGCCUCUUGUUCAGCAUGCACUGUGCCUACGAGUAAGACGAGCUUGCAUGGUAUCUAUUGUCUAUUUACUUGGAUAUUCAAACAUGACUACCAGCCACCAAACACAAAUCCCCAAACAAAACACUCUUUCAAGUGCAAGGAAAGAGUAACUUGGGCAUAUUUAUAGUUCAAGCACUACAAUAACUAAGAAUGUGAUGACUGUCCACAAACACUAUAUCAGUGCCUUUUGAACUACAUUACAUGCUCGAAGACUUUUUUUUUAGUCAUACAUAAAUUAGCUAUAAAAUUAAGACCGUUAUACAACUAAAAAGAAAGAAAAAUUGUUUGCUACUACAUAUCAAAACUGGUAAUAGCAAUGUAAGAUGGCAGACUUCUUACUUAAACAGAUGAGAGGCUACAAAUAAAAAAUUUGUGCAAAUAAAAUAUAUGAUAGAGAGCAUAAUACUUUCUUGGGGGCUAAAAAUAAUAUACAACUUGUGAAAUAUAAAUUGAGCUACCAUUACCUUUUAGAUGUGGCAACUUUCGACUUUUGAGGCACCUUGGAAUAUGCAUUCAGAAUCCUGCAUUUGGAAGCCAAAUAAAUAAUGUUAAUAACAAUUUUACAAUAGAAAAAUUAAAAAUUGAUAAAUGGCAGUUGUAAUUUAUGUAUGCGUAAAGAUAGCUUCACAUCCAGGGUCCUCCCAUAAACAUGCUUGUAACAAGAAUUAGUUUGUCCAACUGUUAGCAACUGCUAACAAUAUACAAUAGUAAAAAUCACUCUCAUGAACUCAACAAUACUAGGCACCAAUAAGAGUAUGAUACAGCCAUUCUAAAAUGGAAGAGAAUACAACUGUUUUACAACUAUGUUGCAUCAGGAGAUAUGUUAGGAGGAUUAAUCCAGAUACCUUCCAACCCAAUUAGGAAAACUCGAGUCAGAAACCAGGAGCCGCAACCGAACCUUACAAUCUUGAAGGAAGAAGGAGACUUGGGGCAUUUUUCCAGAUAGGUGACUUACUAGAUCUCCUGCCAAGAGAAUAUCUAUUGCUUUGAACCUCCAUUGAAAUUUCUUUUCCCUUUUUCUUGUUUUGGCUUGGAACUUUCCAGCAUCAUCUAUUUGAUCUUUUUUAAAGCUAAAAAAGCAAUCUAUGGGUUGUGAACAUCUUAUCACCACCCCCCCCCCCCCCCCGGGCCCCCAAAAAAAAAUCAAUGAGUUGUCAAUAAAUAGCGCCUACUCAAAUGUUUUCCAAUGGAUGACAAUGUGCAAAUCGACCUAGCAGCCACAUUUUUCCCCCCUUUCAACCACCAUUAGGCAACUUUUCUAACCUUUCUUCAUUGCCCACGUGUACAGAACUAUCAUAUAAAGACUACAUUAUUAUUGGGAUGGAGAAAAAUAUACAGACUAUAUUAUUAUAUCUCAUUUUAUUAAUUAACUAGUGCAAGACUUAUUUAGUGUCAAAUCAAGAACUAAUUGGAAAAGACAACUCAUGAUAAUACAGACCUUAAAAAGCAAUAGCUAGCAACACCUCAUAUACUCCUAUUUUAGCCUUUAAUAUCCUGGUAAAAACACAAUUAAGUCUUGCAAAAGAACAUUCACAAGUAAAUUCAACAUUAAUUAAGAUUAAGUAUCUACUGCACCUUCAAUCAAUGACUGGGUGAAUAGCAUGGUCAACCAUCUAGUUCCUGUAGCCCUCCUUGUACCUAUGUUGGUUACAUUUUACAUAUUCAGCCACGAAAAUGAAGGAUCACAGCCUGGUAAAGAAAGCCAUUAAUUAAUAGUGUUUGUUUAAAAAGUUCUCGUUUAGAUCUUUCCUAUUCAAUGAAUCAAUGUAAUCCAUGGAGAACUCUUCCAUUUCAAGCAGUGUUAGAAGAUAAUUGGAAAGCCUAAAGAUAGUAUACAAGGACCAAGAUAUCGAUUAGGUCAAAUAGUGAAUGUCAAAUAUAAAAAAUAAAUAAAAGAAGUUGUACAUGAUCAUUUACUAUCAAGUUCUGUAAAAUUGAAAAUACCAUUAUCACUGUAGAGAUUCUCAAACAACUCUUUAGCAAAUUAUAAAAUAGUUAAAAAAAGAACAAAAGUUUUUUUUUAAAAAAAGAAGAACAUCCAUAUCAGGAGAUGUUUUUCUUCUCAAUCUCAAUAUUUUCUAGCCGUGAAGCAAUUGAAAAGCUUAACACUAAGUGAAUUAUUAAGAAUUCAUCAUUUAAAUUCCCAAAUCGCAAAAUGUUGGUGCAACUAGGAAAGUGCAAAUGCAAUCACUUAACUAACACAAGAAACACCAAUAGUGAGAGCCCACUUUGUAUCAAAUUUGAAACAGAUAGAGGUCAAAAAAAUUAUACACUCAAUUAAAAGCCUUUCAAACAGCUUUUGCAUGGAACAAGAACAAAUCAAAGGCAAUGUGAAUGUAUUCAAAGACUAAUUUACAAUGAUCUACAGGACAUAAAUAUCUUGGAUACCUACUCUCUAUACCUUACUGUCCCACUAGAAAUCAUCAAAUCCCUCCAAACAAAAAUGACAAAAUGGAUAAGAAUUGUGUCGUUAAACUUCAAUAACUUAGCAGCCACAGCAAAAACUUAUGUAGGCACGCAAGCCACUCAAAAUAGUCAUAUUUUUUGCUUUCCAAACAAAAGCCACUUUGUAAUGAAUAUUCAUAAAUUGCUACUAUCAUGUUUGUUAAAACACGUGAAAACCACCAUAACUAACUAAAUGUAACUGAUGAUCAUCAUCAAGUUCAUGGAAUCACAUAUCUGACAGUAUUAAUUAGUGCAAAUGGCAUGCUUCUUAAAACUCCGUAUUUAUCACAUGGGCGCCAUUCCAAUCAACCAAUGAUUCUGAUCUAGUCGGCAUAUUCAACCCACGAGCGAGUAAUACCUCCUAUUGCUUCUUUACAUUUCUCAACGAAAUUCCACAUUCUAACCAUACUUCUGAACAUGUUGCUCCCAUAGACUAAUACAAUAUAAAGAUUUCUUCCCACACCACCUCAGCCCACACUCCUGAAAAACCAAUUUAAAUUCUCAUUGGCUGUACAACCUAUAGUCCAUACCAAAUUGAAAAAUUUACAAAUAUAGAACCUCAAAGAAUCUUCUUGUGUUCCAUUUUUUACGGCAAGAAAUUUGACUUUUACCACAUGCAAGUCAACAAAUAAAAAAAUCAUGUCUUUGUGAGAUGCACAUUUUCAGAUGAAUCUAAAGAGCAAUGAAACCGUAAAAACCGAAUAUCAGAACACCGAGGACUCCAGAUAUCACCUAUAGAAUCUUUGGUCCACACUUGCACGAUGAAAAUGAUGAAAAACAAUUGAAGGCUUCAUCACCAGCUCCCCAGGUUGUUUUGUUCUCCUAUCUCCUAAAUAUAAAGGAAACGCAACCCGUUCUUUUUUCCAAUCUUAAGGGGCACAAAACGACUCUGGUAUAAAAUAGUCAGUUUCUAUACAAAAAUAACUCCUUUGCACUUGGCAUUGCACAUCUCGAAAUAAAAAGCAUGCUAGAAAGAGAAUAUAAUAGCAUUAAACAAGUUUUAUUAACCAAACUUCAUGCCACACAAGGCAAAAAAGGAAUCUGUACAUGCCAGAUUCCAAGAAUAAUAAUUCCAAUAUACAAUUCAGGAAAACAAUAACUAAAACUAGGUUCACGAGGCCUCGGCAGAAGCAACAUGUAAUAACCAUACUCUAUUAUUUGAAACACAUUUCUAAGUUUGGUUAAGAUUCUAAACUAUUCUCUGUGUCAAUUAUUAACAUGUAAAACAUAAUAAUAUACACUUAAACUACUACACAAACUACUACAGUAGUAAAACCAGUAAAACAACAAUACCUGUUGAAAAGAUUUGCUACCUCUUCACAUUCACGAGCAUUGUAGAACCAAAUCCCAUUUACUUCUUGGGAUGCAUUUCGAUAUAACAAAUACAGAACCUGAACUUCAAACUCAAAAUCUCCCAAAAGAUUUUCCACUAAAUUAUCUGCACAUAUACAAGAUAUUGAAGCUUAUCAGUGCAAAAACAUAUACAAAAAGACAUGAAGGUUAGAAGACAUAACUAAAACUUAGCAACAACUGAUAAGCACAACAAGACAUGAAAUAUAACACUAGUUGUAAACAAGAUAGACACAUGGUAUCUAAAAAAUUGUACCAACCCCCUCUCCUGAUUGUCAUAAAACGGCCAAUAUUUAACCCUAGACAACAAAAUUGCAAAUACUCUAGCCUCUAUAUUAUUGGCAUAUAAAUAUUUUAGGUUAGGUACGUUAUAUUCUUCGUUCUAAAACCUCAAUUAUUAGCUAGUACUGUGAUAAAAUGAUUCAUCACUGAAAUUAAAACUAGUUCACGUACAAAUAAUCAAAACUGAAAUAGAAACAACGACAAACCAACCUGUAUUACGUCGAUUCAUUACAACAAACUGAAAUCGAGGCUGUGUGUUCCUGAAAAUUGAAAAAAUAAUAAUUUCACCAACUUCAUAUGUAAUACAAUCUCCAAAACACCGAAUAUCAAAUGAAAAAAUGGAAAGCAUAAGAGAGAAAAGAAUCUAAUUUUAUUGACCUUUUGACGACGAAGAGAGAGCCUUCAACAUCCUUACGACACCAUUGGCUGAGGUCGAUGUUGAACUCGUAGAAGGUGACAUGAGCGGCCGUGAUGAGGAUCUCCUCAAUGAAUGGAUCGAUUCGCUGAAGAACUGUCAGGUUUAGGAGUUUUGUGCUCUGCUGGUCCAGAUUAGGCAUCAAUUUUCCGUUCUGCGACAUUUUUCAUAGCCGUUUUGGGCUCUGCCCUGAGCACAAGCCCCAUGGUUUUUCUGUGAGCUCUUUCUCUUUUGUAAAUAAAGUGUUUGAUGAGAUAGCCCAGAGAGAGUGAGAGUUGAACAGCCAAACAAGAUGAGGUGAACAGUUUCGGAUUGAGACUCGAGAUUGGUCAAGCUUUAACUUCUUUCAAACAUUUGGGAAAUAGCAUUUAUUUCUUUCAAUUUCUC
rnacentral:lncRNA from 1 species